AUUUGAGAAAGAAUAAAGAUCUCAUUGAUAAAUUGUUCAAGAUACCCUUCAUUUAUAGUCUUGGACUUCUUUACUGCAACAAUUCUCCCAUCAGACAACAUUCUUUUAUAAAAUAUGCCUUAGCCACCACAACCCCAUAUUCUGUUUUCAUUAUAUUGAACAGUAGUUAUUUCCAAUUAACAAUUAAACUUAUAAACUAGUCAUUUUUUUUUAUUUCUAAGCUUAAAAUUUAAAAUUUUAUCACUAAAACUUCAAGUAUUUAUCAAUAACAACAUUUUGAAACUUUUAGUUUAACAAAUUAAGGCAUAGGUUAGCUAGCUUAAGCCAGGAUUUUAAUAAAUAUUAAAUAUUAAUAUCUACGAACAGGUUCAUGGAAAUGACAUUUUAGAACUGUAAUUUUUUACACCACUGAGAACCGGUUUGUUACAAACUAAUUUUCUAAAUACCUAGGGGAGAUGAACCCUAAGAUGAAUUCUAUUGUUUGAUUUUUAUUUUACACAAUAAAUAUUUAUUUUCUUGUUCUCAAUUAUGUGUUCUUAAUUCUUAGUUUGAUAUUUCUAAAAUAUUUAUCCAUGUUCGAUAUGCUUAAAUCGGUGGUUGAAUAGACCCCUUUUAAAAUUAGAUCUUGCGUAAUUGAGUGGAGUUACAUACAAUCCUAGAAAUAAGAAGAUAUAAAUCUAUCGAAUUAGAGUCAAAUCUAAUAAGGGAAUCCAUUAUACAAAUUAGUACGAUAAUAGAGGUUUUAAUUAGAAAGAAAUUUUAAUUAAUCAAUCUAGAAGAAAUUUUAAUUAAUCAAUCUAGAGUCAGUUGCCCUUAUGCUCAAAAGAGAUAUUAGCAUAAUUUGGGAAUUUUUACAUAUCAAGGUGCUAAGUGAAGAAAUUGCGUAAUUUCGAUUAAUAGUGACAGAUGAAAUCUAGACAGAUUCUUUUCUGCGUAUUAUUUUAUUUCUUGUUGUUAUUCGAUUACUUUAGUGGUUUAUUCUUUGUCGCAUUUGUUAAUUAAUUAAAUUAGUUAAUUUUUAGUUUUUAAUUGACCACUUGAAUUAUUCGGUUAAAUAAUAGAAAGACGGUAAUUACUAGUACUUAUAGUCCUCGUGGGAAUGAUAUAUUUGCUCAUCAUAGCUAUACUAUUAAUUGAUAGGUACACUUGCCUUAGUCAAAUUUUUAGUUAAUUUUAUGACCAUCAGUUAUAGAUUUUAACCUAAAAGUUUCGUCUAAAAAGAUUAUAUAACCCGGCACACCACCAUUAACUGUAAAAAACAUUUCAACAACCAAAAUGUAACAAAUUAGAAACAUUUCAUAUCAUAAGUUUUUAAGAUUUAGUGAUCAAAAUAUAAUUUAAACCAAACAUAAGUGACUAAAUUUAUAAUUUAUCCUCAUGUUUAUGUUUCAUUUUAAAUUCAAUUAUUUAUAUUUUAAUUUUUAUUAAUUAAAAAUAAUAAAAAAUAUGAAAUAAAUUAUAAUCAUAAUUUUAUACAUCAAUUAUGUGAAUGUUUAAAUAUUACAAAUGAUUGCUGAGCAAAUGAAAAAACUAAUUCCAUGUGAAUAUAUAUAAGUGGAAAACCAAACACUAAUAUUUCAGUAAUAGUUUCUGGAUCAUAUUUAUAUGAGAAAGAGAAAAACAAUAAUGAUAUAACCUCCAAGCAUGACACUUAAUUAAUUAGAAUUCAUAACUAGAAUGUAAAAAAACAAAACAAAAUGUUCAUAACUGAUCAUCAAAGGUGGUAUGGAAGACAACGGCAGCUGUCAAUAACGAUGGUUUUUCUUGAACCUUCAAUUUCAUGGGGAAAUUAAGGUCAAGUCAUUGCCAGGAAUAGAAUAGAAACUUGGAGAUCAUGUAAUCAGGUGGAUUCCAACAUAUGUGGAUGAACAUCUGAUUCUGAUUCUAAUUCUGAUUCUGAUGUAGAUGUUAUGCUGCAAUUCGAAUAAUGUUCUGUUGAGAAUGAAGUGAAAUCCCAACUCUCAGCCGAUUUUCUCACAACGACCUCAGCUUGUUUAAUCUGAUCAGUGUGGAUGUAGUCACCUUGUCCAGUUCUAAGUCUCUCGAGUUUCAUGGCCACUUCUUUCAUUGUUGGUCUAUAUCUCCCAUCUAAGUUCAAGCAUCUUUUCGCAAGUUCAGCAACUGCUACUACUUCAUCCUUUUGACCGUCCUUCCCAAAUUCAGCAUCAACAAUAUCCAGCAGAUGGUUUUCUUCCAUCGACGAUAUAAAAUACGAGACUAAGCCUCUCUUUUCUUGCGAUCCAAACGUCGAGAUUGCCCUUUUACCCGUUAAGAGCUCGACAAUAACCACUCCAAAACUAUAAACAUCACUCUUUUCAGUAAACUGACUUGACUGGAAGUAUUCAGGAUCUAAGUACCCAAAAGUCCCAAGCACUUGAGUCGUCAAGUGAGUUUGAUCAAUGCCGAUUGAUCUAGAUGUUCCGAAAUCUGAUACUUUUGCUCGGAACUUUUCAUCUAGUAGUAUGUUACUAGACUUGAUAUCUCGAUGAUAAAUGGGGAUGGACGCAGAUGAGUGCAAGUAAGAAAUCGCACUUGCAGUUUCCGUUGCAAUGCGUAAUCGUAUAUCCCAUGACCUCGGCUACUCUUCAUUUUGGUCAUGAAUGAGAUGGGAUAGGGUUCCAUUAGGGAUGAACUCAUAAACAAGGAGGGGCACUUCGAUUUCCAAGCAACAGCCUAAUAGCUUGACAAUGUUUCUGUGGUCAAUUUGAGAAAGAAUAAAGAUCUCAUUGAUAAAUUGUUCAAGAUACCCUUCAUUUACAGUCUUGGACUUCUUUACUGCAACAAUUCUCCUAUCAGACAACAUUCAUUUAUAAACUAUGCCUUGGCCACCACAACCCAAUAUUCUGUUCUCAUUAUAUUGAUCAGUAGCUAUUUCCAACUCUUUAGAACUGAAAAGUUUAGUUUGAUCCAGCCUACCUUCAUUUGAAGACAUCUUUUUUUGAAACAAUAACCCACCAUUUCUUUCAAAAAGUUCUUGUUUAAGUUUUAUGUACUUUCUUUUCUGCAGUAUCUUAUAAAACCACCAAACCCCAGCAAUUAAAAACAAGAACACUAUACUUAAACAAAUACCUGCAUGAGAUCGAAAUAAAUAUGUCAAUGUCACUUAUUUGAUUAACUCCUAACAUAGUCAAUGUUACCAUUUAUGCUACCGUUUGAAUAAAAUUUAGAUGGCCAUAUCUUUCGCCACAUGAAUCGAGAUAUUGUACAUAUUGCAUUAAUUUCUCAAUUUUUGAAAAAUGGGUUAAUAAAAUUCUUAAUUAUCUCCAAGUCACUAUUUGAUUCUUAGCAAAUGAUGGGAAUGUGCUUCAACCAAUUAGUGGAAAUGACAAACAAUCGGGCAAGGACGAAAUUAAAAAUUUCUUUUAGCAGGGACUAAAAUUAAAUUAUAAUUUUUACAAUAGUAAAAAUAAAAUUUUACCAUUUUAAUAGUCUAUAUCUUUAUAAUUUUUAAAAAAUUAAAUUAUAUUUUUAUAUUUUUAGAGAAGACCAAAGUUCAAUUUUACAUUUAUUAAUUUAAAAUUUUAAAAAUCAGCCGGAGCACUGCGACCCCUAAUUUCCCCCAUGCGGGUAAGUAAAGUUGAUAUCAUUACACAAUACAAUCUUAAUAAUAAGAAAAAAAAUUAAAAUAUUAAUAUUAAAAUGUAUUUAAAUAUAAUAUAAAAUACUUUCAACACGAUUAUGACACGAUAAUUAGGGAAACAUGAUAGUAACACACAAAUUGGAAGAUAAAAAAAAACUAAUGUUAAUAUUUUCAAUAUUUAUUUAUAUAAAUUAAUAAUUUUGGACAUAUAAAAACUUAAAAUAGCUUUCAAGAAUAUCAAGAUAAUCUUGUUUAUGAUAAAAUCGUAAAAAUAAAAUUAACUUUUCAGUGUGAAUUUUUCUUCUAAAAAAAUUCAUCUAAUAGUACAAUUUUUGAAAUCAUGUAAUAUAAAAACCAACAUGCAUCAUACUAUGUUUUUUUACUUCAACUAAUGCAAUUUAUGAUCUAUACAAAACUAAUUUUAAAAACAUUAUUUAUAAAAAAAAUUACACCGUUAGUACCCCUAAAUAGGAGUCAUUCUUAUUUUGAUCAUCUCAAUUUACUUUUGUUAAUUUGGUAAUUCAAAAUAAAAAUUGAUCAAAUUGGUUACUCCACUGUUAAAUAGUAAUGGAAGACUAACAGUGCAUUUGUAGGAAAAAUAUUUUGGGGUGAUCAAAAUAGGAACGACCCCUAUUUAGAGAGACUGGUAAAUAGUUUAUCCUAAUUUUAGAGUAACUAAUAUGGAAAUGCACCAUAGUCUUCUGUUACCAUUUAAUGGUGAAAUAACAAAUUUGAUCAAUUUCUAUUUUGGGUGACCAAAUUAAUAAAAAAUAAAAAUUGAGGUAACCAAAAUAAAAACGACCCAUACUUAUAGUGUAACAAGGUAGUUUACCCAUAUAAAAAUAUAUAGGUUGAAAGUUAAGAAAAUAAAAAUAAUUUGGAUAAAGAUUACAAGUUUUUUUUUUACAUAAUGAUAAAUUUAACCUAUAAUAUUUACCUAUUUUGUCGUUUUGACCCUAAUUCUUUUCUUUUUCUUUUUUACCUCUUUGACCUUUAACCUUUCAGAUUUGGUCAAGUUGUUGUUUCCUGGAGGAAAUAAUCGACUUAACAGUUUAAAAUUUAACCAUAUUGACUUGAUAAUUCCUAUGACAAUUCAUGUAUAUUUCAUCAAAAAAUUUUAAAAAAGAUAUAAAAAUUAUUUUUUAAAAAAUCAUAAUUAUUUUUUAAAAAAUUCCACAAGCUAUCAUGUUAACUCUUUUAAAAUUUUAAUAAAUUAAUCAAAUUUUUCAAAAAAUAAUAAUUUUACUAAAUUUAGAAAGUUGAUAACAAAAAACUCAAAACUAAAAUGAUAAACAAAGAUAAAGAAUAAGGAGUAAAAAGUUGUAAUAAUUAAAUAUUAAUAAUGUACACUAUUGACUCACAAAAGAGUUAUUUAUUAUUAGUUAAUUAUAAAGUGGCUAUUAUUAAUGAAGUAAAUAAAUCUUAUUAAUUAUAUCAAACUCACGCCGGCUACUUUAAUAAUUAUGGGAAUAAAUGAUGAUUUUAAAAAAUUAAUUUUUAAGCAUCAAUAAAAAUAAGUCAUCUCAUCAAUUUUAAAUCAAUAAAAAUAUAAAUACACAAAUCCAUAGAAAAUCUCUUCUUAAGUAACAUUUACUUAAGUGUACCAACCUAGUGCGACAAGAAGAAUGGGAAAACUCUCGCGAUGCGCCUUGGGUUUAGGAGAGCAACCUGUUCCAUAUUUCCGACCAUCACCCUCAAAUCCUUCAGGGCAUGUACAAUAAUAGCUUCCAAGUGUAUUAUGGCAUAUUCCAAAUUCAUUGCAAGGCUUCAGUGCUUCACAUUCAUUAAUAUCUACAGUUUUUAAACAUUUUAAAUAAGCAAAAUAUAAUAAAGUAGAGUUAGCUAAUUUCUUCAAAAUGAAUCUGCAAUAGAGAACUUGAAAUCUUUACCUUGGCAACCGUUGCAGAGAUAAGGGUUACCCUGAAAACCAUCAUUACACUUGCACAAAUAUCCAGGGCCACUUUCUGGAUCUAUACAAGCACUAUUUUGCUUGCAAGCAUAAUUUUUUGGGUCCAUUUUAGCUUCUUCACAUGUUUGAUCCCCGAUUGCCCAAUCAAGAAUAAGUGGGUAUUUCCUUUUGUUGAAAUCUAUGUUGGAAAGAUCUGAUGUAGAGAAUGUGUAGACUCCAUCUUCCACAAGAAAUCCAUAACUGCAAGGAUUGAACCUCAACACUGUGGAAUGACUCUGAAGAGUAGUAAAAUUGAAGAAAUAAGCCUGCAUUCCUCUAGGGAUAGCCGUCUGGCAGCAGCCAAUGCCGGAGCAAGACCCAUUUAUCACAUCGCCCACGUCACCACAAAAUGUUAAACAUCCGGUUGAAAAGUUUUUUGCUUUAAAAACUAUGUUUGAAGAGUCAGGUCCGGAGAAACCAUUGAUGUAGGCGAUAGUGUCACAACCAAUGGCAGUGAACUUGUUUCUGGAGUAAGAUAUGGAGAAUUUUCUAUGAAGGAACAUGGACGUGUCAUAUGAAGUGGGCCCUGAUGAAUUAUAACAGUCAUAAUCUACGGACCUGUGAUAUUGAAUGCGCAAAGAACCAUCAUCCAGGGAGAUGUUGAGAACUUGUAAUUCUAAACCAGUGUCGCUUAAGAAUGCUUUUGGGGGGUUAAAAGAGGUGUCACAAUUAAUGAAGAAGUCCCUGCUCAUGUAGCAACCAUUGCUUGUACCAAAAGGGUAGGGGAUGCUUAUAUUUCCGCAUUUGCUUUGGCAUCCAGGCUUUGCUUGAGCUGCUACUGAAGUUGCCAUAAUUGUUACCACAACUGCAAACACAGCAAGCUCCUUAAACAAACCACCAAACCCGAUCAUCCUCUCUUGUGUUUUUUCCCCCACACUCCCGGCUAUGUGAAUCUAGAAUAUCUUAUAAGAAUAGCAUGAAUGUUUGAAGACUCAGUGCCAUUUUAAUAGACAAGUUGUUGAACACUAUAGCCGGCAACUGAUUCAUUAUUGCCGUCUUGACUGCUUCCUUUUCCUUUCAGAACUUUUUCUUUAAUAUAUAUAUAUAUAUAACAAAGUAAAAAUAUAUACAAUGAUCACAAGUGGCACAUCUCUCUUUUUUUAUUUAGUUUUAAAAAUAAUUUUCAUAAUUAAUUUAAUUUCUAUUAUUUUUAAAAUAAUUAUUUUAUAUCAUCUCUUACUUUCUUUUCUUUUUGGCUUUAUGUCUUUAUCAUUAAACCAAGAGGUAAUUAAGGUAAUAAAACAAAGAGAUUCAGAAUUUGGAAAAGGUUAAGACUUUAUUUACUCCAUUUUUUAUUUAUAAAGCAUGAGUUAAUCCCCAACACUUCUGUCUUCAUCUGUAAUUAUCGAAUGAAUAAAAAUAAAUUAUAAAUCAUAAUAAUGAUUUUGUAUGGUAAUAAAACUUAUAUAAUUAAAUUAAAACAGUCGUUAUGAAGAUGCCAUUUUAAACUUCAGAUUAUUUAUCAUUACUUUUAUAUAUCCAUAUUUUGAUUAUUUAUUCUAAAAAUUUAUCUUCCACAAUAUCCACACAAAUAAUAUAUUUAGAAUAUUAGAAAAUAUAUAUAACUUCAAGGCUUAAUAUAUAGAUUGGCCCCUAAACUUGACAACUUUUUUCAUAUUGCCCCCUAAACUUUUUUUAGAUCACAUUAGCCCUUAAGAUUGGCAUUCAUUAUAGAUAUUGGUCCCUACACUAACACCAUUUUUUUUUUGAAAAAUUUGUUGAUGUGGAAAAAUAAUAAGACAAUGUCUUUAACCAUUCUUAAAUUCUUUUUAAAAAACCUUAAAAUUUCAAAAUGAAUAAAACUUAUUAAAAAUAUAAGAAAUAUAUAAAUUACAAAACUUCAAAAUAUAUAUAUAAAUUGAAAAUGCACAUAAAAAAGAAUAUAUAAAUUAAAAAUAAAAAUAAAAAAUUUAGUUAAAAUUUAAAUAUGUGUAUUGUUUAAAUUUGUAUGAAAAAAAAGGUAAUUUCUUUUCCCCACCUUUUUAAACCAUUCCAAAAAUUCGGAUUAAUAUUUAUGUUGUCGAAACCAUUUUUUAAAGGGAUGUUUGAAAAAUGAGGAUCGACUUUUAAAAAACGAAAACGGGAGUCGCCACCAACCUUUUUAGGUGUGAUUGGAUCACCUUAUAAAACGUUUUGGUCUACGAAAAUUAAGAAAAUAGGUUCGGGAGUCGGUUACGUUCGAGGAAGGAUUAGCACCCUCGCAACGCCCAAAAUUGGUACCAAAUUGAAUAGUUUUCUGUCUUAAUGUCAAAAAUUUGAAAGGAUUUAAAUAUAGGAUCCCUUUUUUAAAACCGGAAUUAUUUAAGUUGAAAAAAUCGAGAUUCCUUAGCUCCGAAAGAAUACAAACAUCACAUCCAGCAUGAUAGGACACAAUAUUCUUAAACUCUCGUAACUGAAAUCAUCUCGUGAUUUACAAAAUCUAUUUAGAAGGACACUUUAGGCAUUUAGACAAACGGGAAAUCGCAACCCAGCAUGUUAGGGCACUAUUUCCCGAAUUCCUAAAUACGAAAAACAUUGCCUCAUUUUAGAAAAACUUUUGGAUAAAAUAUGACAAUUAAAUGAAAUAUAUUUUUUUAAAAUAAUGAUUUGAGUAAAAUUUAAAAAUUAAUUUACUAAGAGUAAUACUAAAAAAAAUAUUAAAAAAAUGAAAGAGUUUGAUAUGAUACUAAAAUUAUUAAAAAAAUUAAAAUAUAUGAAAAAAUCCGGGAAACAUGGAUUAAAUCAAAAUAAAAAGGGUUGAAAAACGAAGAUGAACAAAGAAUAAAAUAAGAACAAACCGUAGAAAAUAAGAACGUAAGAGGGAGAGAAAUUUGAGUGAAAGCUCUCAAAAAUUUUUAUUGUUUCCCAAAACUCCAGUGUGUUUACAAUGAAGGGAGAGGCCUCUAUUUAUAGUUGAACCUCCUCAAAUCCAAUGGUACAGAUCAAUUACAUCAACGGUUAAGAUUAAAAGGUAUCUACAAAUUAAAUCUAUAAGAUUACAAAAUCAUAUCUUCUAAGAUUGCAUAUCAUAUCUAAGAUUGCAAUCAUAUCUAUGAUUGCAUAUCAUAUCUAAGAUUGCAUAUCAUUGAAGAUUAUAUUUCCAUAUGAGUCAAGCUUGUAGAUGGACCUUAAAUCUUUUCAAGUAAUGGGCCAUUCCGAUCGGGCCAAAUUAUAUUUGUAGUUCUGGACUGAACUUGGACUUCGUUUUUUUUUGGGUUUAUUAUUUUUGUUUUUGGAUUUAUUUCUGGGCCCGGGCAAAAUUAAGUGUCUACAGCUGCCCCUCUUUGCUCAUUGUUGUGUAAUAGGAAUAGAGCAAAGACUAUAAAAGGACCAAUUUUGCCCGAGCUCGCCGAGUCUUGAGUUCUUGAUCCUUGAUCUUCUUUAAAUGGCCUUUUUACGGCUUCAAUCUGCUUCACUGCAACUCAAGAAGGCGAUAUCUGCUAUCUUUGAUCUGCUCCCCGUCUAAUACAGAGACGCCAAAUCUGUUAUCUUCGAUCUGCUCCCCAUCUAAUACAGAGAUGCCAAAUCUAUUUUUUCAAUCUGCUCCCCGUCUAAUACAGAGAUGCCAAAUCUGUUAUCUCUGAUUUGCUCCCCGUCUAAUACAGAGAUGCCAAAUCUGUCAUCUUGGAUCUGCUUCGAUGUAAACACAUGAAGGUCAGAUCUGCUAUGUCUUCGAUCUGCUCCCCGUCUAAUACAGAGAUGCCAAAUCAUCUUGGAUCUGCUUCAAUGAAGGUCCAAUCUGUUAUGUCUUCGAUCUGCUCCCCGUCUAAUAUAGAGAUGCCAAAUCAUCUUGGAUCUGCUUCAAUGAAGGUCAGAUCUAUUGUGUCUUCGAUCUGCUCCCCGUCUAAUACAGAAAUGCCAAAUUAUCUUGGAUCUACUUCAAUGAAGGUCAGAUCUGCUAUGUCUUUCAUCUGCUUUCCGUCGAAUAUGGAGAUGCCAAAUCUGUUUCUUCAAUUUGUUCUCUGACAGUACAGAGAUGCCAAAUCAUUUUAGAUCUGCUUCAGCGUAAACACGUGAAAGCCAAAUCUGCUAUGUCUUCGAUCUGCUCCUUGUCAACGCAAGGAUGUCAAAUCAUCUUAGAUCUACUUCGAUGUGAAGACAUUCGAAGGUUAGAUCUGCUAUGUCUUCGAUCUGCUCUCCGUCGAAUAUGGAGAUGCCAAAUCUGUUUCUUCGAUUUGUUCUCUGACAAUACAGAGAUGUUAAAUCCUCUUGGAUCCGCUUCAGCAUAAACACCUGAAGGUCAAAUCUGCUAUGCUUUAGCCUGUUACCCUACUGCUUAGGAGGUUAAGGCAUAUCAAUCUUCAUUGUCCCUUGAAAGGCAUAACCUGUAUAAUGUGUAUGAGUUCAUGCCUAAUGAUUAGGAUGCUAUGAUCGAAGUGAGUCAAAUGCUCCUAAUUAAACCUGUUAUAAUGCAAAAUGUUUAUGAAUAUGACCCAUAUUCCAGACGUCACCACUCAUUCUUUCAUCGAAGUUUAUCCUUAUUUCUCUCGAAGUAUCAUUCCUACUCAGCCUAUGGGUUUGUAUCAUUCUUCAAAUGCUAUGACCCACCUAAAAUGUUUGUAAGAUGAUCCUCUCUUAGGAUCGAAUCGUUUGAUUUGUCCAAUCAUCAUUUUGGACUUAAAAAAAAUUUCCUCGAGUUCUUUCAAACCUCACUUAUGUGAAUUCUUCCAACAAUUGUUCUGUUUUAGUUUCUUGUAUUAUCUAAAAAUUUCUAGAGUAAUAAGCAAAACUUCAUUUGUGAAAAUUAUUUAGUUCAUCUAUCAUUAUUUUAAUGCAACAUACUUUAAGAAUAAUAGAAGAUGAAUUUAAUCUUGAGAAUAAUUAGAUUUGAAUAAAUUUGUCAAAAUACAAAAGAAAUUAAUCUGAAAGCCUAUCUUUGAGAAGGAAAAGAAUCUAAAGAUAGCAAACAAGACAAAAGUUAGAUGCCCUAGACAUCGCUGCUUGAGCAUUUAUAUGCCAGCUUCAUGAAGACUUUCUUGAAUUCAACAUGUGUUUAAAAGAUCCAAAGUACUUUGUUGAUGCCCCGAUAUGCAACGCGCUUCACUCUUCGUUGAAUCAGAUAUAGCAAGAUUACUGUGUGCUCUUCAAAAUUUGAGCUGCCCUUUCGAGUUUUCAACUCAAAGCCCCUUUGGUCAUAAGGUGCCCUUUGCGGGUUUUCACAUUGGCCUCUCUAUUUUUUUUUUGAAAACUCAAGGCGUCCUUUGCGAGUUUUCACCCUAAAUUCUUCUCUCCUUUAGACAAAAUACUUUUUGACUAAGUCUGAAUUCACUGGAUUGGGCAAACUCUUCCCAUCCAUUUCUAUUAAGAUCAAUGCAUCCCUGGAGAAGGCCUUCUUCACGACAUACGACCCUUCCCAAUUUGGCAUCCAUUUUCCUCUAAAGUCCUUAUGAAUAGGGAGGAUCUUUUUCAGCACAAGAUCCCCCCGUAGAAUUUUCUUGGUCGCACUUUCUUGUCAUAAGCUCGCAUCAUUCGCUUUUGAUACAUCUGACCAUGGCGAAUGGCCUUUAGCCUCUUUUCCUCAAUCAAGUUCAACUGAUCAUAUCGCGAUUGUAUCUAUUCAGCUUCAUUCAACUUUAUCUCUGAUAAGACUCGAAGAGACGGUAUUUCCACUUCAAUGGGUAACACUGCUUCCAUCCCAUAAACCAACGAGAAAGGAGUUGCCCCGGUAGAGGUUCUGACAGACGUUCGGUAAGCUAAGAGUGCAAAUGGUAACUUCUCAUGCCAGUCUCUGUAAGUUUCAGUCAUUUUCCCCACUAUCUUCUUGAUGUUUUUGUUAGCAGCUUCCACUGCCCCAUUCAUCUUUGGGCGAUACGGCGAAAAGUUAUGAUGCUUAAUCCUGAACUGACUGCAAACUUCUGCUAUUGUUUUGUUGUUCAAGUUCAGUGCAUUGUCUGAUAUGAUCCUUUCAGGCAUCUCAUACCGACAAAUAAUCUCUUUCUUCAAGAAACGACUUACAGCUGACUUAGUAACAUUCGCAUAAGAAGCAGCCUCUACCCACUUCAUGAAGUAAUCAAUGACCACAAAAAUAAAGCAAUGCCGAUUUGAAGCUUUUGGUGAUAUUGGCCCAAUGACAUCUAUGCCCCACAUAGAAAAAGGCCAUAGAGAAGUCAUAACGUGUAAAAGUGAAUGUGGUACAUGAAUCUUGUCUCCAUAAAUCUGACAUUUAUGGCAUUUUUUGGCGUAGUUGAUACAAUCCCCUUCCAAAGUAGACCAAUAAUAUCCAAACCUCAUGAUUUGUCUAGCCAUCGUGAAACAUUAGCGUGCAUCCCACAAACACCCUCGUGAACUUCUUCCAAGAUUAACUUAGCUUCCACGGCGUCAACACAUCUCAACAGUACUUGGUCCUUUCUUCUUUUGUACAAGAUGUCCCCAUCCAAAACGUAGUCACAGGCUAAUCUCCUUAAAGUUCACUUAUCAUUUUCAGUUGCCUGUUCUGGGUAUUUACAAUCUCUCACAUAUCACAAUAUAUCCUGAUACCAAGGGUUAUCAUCCUUUUCUUCUUCCUCAAUGUUACAACAGUGAGCUGGAGCCUCGAAGAUACUCAUCUGAAUGGGUCUCAUCUCCUCCUCUUUAUUCACUUUAAUCAUUGAAGCCAAGGUUGCUAGAGCAUCUGCCAUCUGGUUUUCGGCUCAUGGGAUAUAAUUGAAAGUGAUGUCAUCAAACUCCUCAAGUAACCCCAAAACUACCUUUUGAUAAUUGAUCAAUUUAGGAUCCCUUGUCUCUCAUUCACCUUUAAGCUAGUAAAUUACCAAUGUGGAGUCUCCAUAAACUUCCAAGGUUCUUAUUCUUCGCUCUAUAGCCGCUCGGAGUCCCAUGAUGCAUGCUUUAUACUCGACCAUAUUGUUUGUGCAAUCAAAAUCCAACUUGCACGUAAAUGGAUAAUAAUCACCAUUUGGGGAUACUAAGACUGCCCCAAUUCUAUUUCCCACUGUAUUGGAUGCCCCAUAAAAGCUCAACUUCCAAGGAUAAUCCUCUAUAGCUGCUACACACAUCAACCCCUCAUUUGGGAAAUCAAAAUUAAAUGGCUCAUAGUCUUCUAGAGCUCUACUAGCCAGAAAUUUUGCUAUUGCCCUUCCUUUUAUAGCCUUCUGGCUCACAUAAACUAUGUCAAACUCUGAAAGCAAAAUUUGCAACCUCGCCAUUCUUCUAUUCAAAGUUGUUGACUCCAUCAUAUACUUCAGAGGACCAAGUUUUGAAAUAAGCCAAGUAGUAUGAUAUAACAUAUAUUGCCUCAACCUUCGAGUCGUCCAGAUUAAAGCACAGCAAAAUUUCUCAAUUGGCGAAUAUCUCAUCUCACACUCUGUGAAUUUCUUGCUGAGGUAGUAUAUCGCCUUCUCCUUUCUUCCCGACUCGUCAUGUUGGCCAAGCACACAUCCCAUAGAAUUGCUAAACACUGAUAAGUAUAGAAUUAAUGGUCUACCUGGAUUAAGUGGAGAUAACACAGGAGCAUUUAACAAGUAUUGCUUAACCUUAUCGAAAGCACUCUGGCAUUCCUCAUCCCAAGUAUCUUGGUUGUGUUUUCUAAGGAGGCGAAAUAUAGGGUCACAUUUCUCAGUUAAUUGUGAAAUAAACCGAGAAAUAUAAUUCAACCUUCCAAGAAAACCCCGAACUUCUUUCUGAGUACACGGUGAAGAAAAAUCUUGUAUGGCUCUAACUUUGUCUGAAUCAACUUUUAUUCCUUUUUGACUGACUACAAAACCUAGUAACUUCCCCGACCUGGUCCGAAAGUGCAUUUUGCCAGAUUAAGUUUUAACUGAAACGUCCUUAAUCCCAAGAAUAGUUUCUUUAAAACCUCAAUAUGUUCCUCCUCUGUUCGAGAUUUGGAAAUUAUAUCAUCAACAUACACUUCAAUUUCCUUGCGCAUCAUAUCGUGAAAUAAGGUCACCAUAGCCCUUUGGUAUGUUGUCCCUGCAUUAUUUAGCCCAAAGGGCAUUACCUUGUAACAGAAAGUCCCUCACAAGGUUAUGAAGGUGGUUUUGUCCAUGUCUUCAGGAUGCAUCUUUACCUGAUUGUACCCUGAAAAACUAUCCAUGAAGGAGAACAACGAAUAUCCCACUAUGUUGUCUACCAAAGUGUCUAUGUGAGGUAGAGGGAAAUUAUCUUUUGGGCUAGCUUUGUUCAGAUCCCUGUAAUCAACACAUAUUCGUACCUUCCCAUCCUUCUUAGGAACUGGUACAAUAUUAGCUACCCAUUCAGAAUACUUCACCUCUUGUAAGAAUCCUGCAUCGAACUGUUUCUUGACUUCAUCCUUUAUUUUUAAUACGAUAUCUGGUCUCAUUCUUCACAACUUCUGUUGAACUGGUUUACAAUCCUGUCUUAUUGGAAGAUGAUGCACCAUAAUAUCAGUAUUUAACCCUGGCAUAUCUUGAUAGGACCAUACAAAGAUAUCCUUGAACUCACGUAACAACUCAAUCAAUCCUUGCCUUAUAUCAUCAGCAAUAUGCGUGCCAAUUUUCACCUCUUUCCCUUCCUCUAGGGCUACAUUCUCUACUGCCUCUUUCUCAUGUGGCAUGAUUUGUUUCUCCUCCUGUUUCACCAUCCUUAAAAGAUCUAGAGACACAUCACAAUCCUGGACAUUUUCAAAAUCCUGUGAUUCCUCUAAACACAAGUCUCACUCACGAGAGAAAUCAAGAUUUGUAAUAUCAAUGCUCAUGUCAUUGAUACCUAGGGAUCUGUGAAGUAUAAAGAAUAUACAAAGAAUGAAUGAAUUUAAGAAUGAUUAUUUAUGUGCUAUGAAUAAAAGAAUCAGAAUUUCCAAAAUUUAACGGAAUAUUGGUUGAUAAAAAUGAAACAAUACUCGUUCAAAUUGAUAAAAGUUAUGCUUUAUUAAAAAAUAAUAGAUUAUUGUAAGCCCAUUUCACAAAUGUAAUCCUCUUACUCCUAGGCUCUAGAGUAACAAGAAUGUUUCGAGCAUUACUCUGAAAAAUUCCUAAAGACUAUAGGAAGUUCCUCCACAGUCCAAUUGUUCAGAGAGCUUCCCGGUUCGUAAGGGCGAAUGCCCUCAAGGUUUCCUUGCUCCGAUCCUUUGUCGUGUAUUGCUCUCUUUCUCCCUAUUAAUUUUAACUAAUUAGGGUCAUUCUAUAAACUUGAAUGCAUAUGAUACAAUGAGAUGCUAUGAAAUGAAAAUGCAUGAAUGCAAAAAGAUGUCGAUUCUGAUUCAAUUUUAUUUUAGAAAACGUUAUUUAAGGAACAAAAAUCUUUUCAUAAAACGGAUUACAAAUACGCUUUCACCCGUAGGCCUAGAGUCUUCACCCUAUCUAAUAAUAAUGUUAACUCUCAUCCUCUGUCUGAGGAUGACUCAUACAUUAUACUCAGCAUUCUAGCUUGUACUGCCAAAUCCUGCAAGUGUUCAGCAACCUCUCGAAUCUGAACUAAGGCUUCUCCCAUGAGAUAAUUCCUAUUUCCAACUUGAUCCUGAAGAUGGUGAAGUUCUCCCUUCCACUAUUCUUCUCUUGCCUCGAGCUGCUCAAUCUGUAGCUCACAGCCCUGUAGUGCUGCUUCCAACCUUCCAAUAUCGUGCUUCAUUUCCUCGAUCUUAUUCAAGCUUUCCUUUAACUCGAUUGCAAGGUUACGAAUUCGGUGAUGAUGAAGAGAUUGUCCAAUUUCAGCCACCUUAGUUUUUAAUCCUUGAUUUUCCUUCUCUAGGGCCUGAUUACGCGACUGCAUCUCUUGGAACUUCUUCUCCCAAUACUCGGCAUUGGCUCUUUCUUCCUGAAUCUCUUGCUACCACUACUCUGGAAAUCUCCCUAAUCCGACCCUUUUCAAUGUUACCUGGGCCUUUUUGUAGUGCGUCUUUAAAUCAUCUCGAUCUUUCUCUUUUCCUUUUUCACCUUCUCGACUUCCAUCUUUUGAACAUCGACGUCGAGACUUAAGCAUAUUUUUUUCUCUUCGAGCUUAUCAAUCCUCUUUUCAAUCUCCGAAUUCUUUCUCUCGAACUCUUACUUCAUAACCUCCAACUCUAAUGGAAUCACUCGUAAGCUCUCUUCUAAUGAUCGAGCCACUCCUAAAAUUGGCCUAGGAACAUUAUCAUUGACUCUCCUACUAAACCACCCUUUAUACUCAAGGAUUAACGUCGAGCCUUCGGUCAAGAUCUUCAUACAGAAAGCCUUCUUCCAAGCCUCAGAAAUCUCUCGCAUCUUCUUUUUAUAGUGAUCUCCUUUAUAAGAGAAAUCACUUUGAGCUAGACCCUGUGUAACCGGUAUGAACUGCCUCACUCUAUAUUGCCUUAGAACAAGAAAUGGUGCAUAUCCAACAACUCCCCAAAUCCCUGGCAAAGGGACCUAAUCAAAACUGCCACAGCGGUAAAGGACUUUACUAGGAACCAACCAAGGAGCCUUCCACAUAACAUCUUCCUCUCGAAGAUUCUGAAGAAUGUCUAUCCACCUCUCCUCUGAAAUGUCAUCUCUCAUCGGCAUGUCUACUGCUUCUUUUAAGAGAGAAUAACCCUCAAAGAAUACUCGGUAAGGAACCUUAUCAAGCUUCUAAAAAUGACUGUGGAACCAAACCAACAGCAACUGUGCACAUCCAAUGAAUCUACCUUCGCCGGCUCUCCGACAUGCACUCAAAGAUCUAAAUGUCUCAGCUAGGAUUGCUGGUACCGGUGUAUUCUGCUUACCAAUGCGAUCGAACAAAUCCGCAAUUGCCUCAUCUAUGUGCCCUAGCGCCUUUGGGAAAAUCACCAUGCCGUAAAUACUCAAAGCCAAGACGUUGACCCUUUUCUUUACGUCUGGAUGUGUCGAUAUCAAAUUUCUUAAAACGGCCUAUGGAACGCACUUACUAUCACCCUUUUGCUGUAUACGAGCAACAGCCCACUGCUCACUCAUCCCAGUAAUCAUCACCAACUUCUUUGCAAAAGUUGGAAGACUAGUAGGCCUAACAUAAGCCUUGUGACCUUGAAUCCUCGGGCAACGCAGUAAAGUCGUAUACUCUUCCAAAAUAGGCGUAAGAUCAACAUCACCAAAUGUAAAGAAACUAUAAGCAGGGUUCCAGAACUGUACCAUAGCUCGCAACAAGUGCCUAUCUACUUUGACGUCUAGCAAAUAGGGAAGGUCUCCAUAAUUCUGAUAAAAAAGCUACUUAGCCUCGUCAUCCCAUUGGGCCCAAAUGUUUCUCAGCUCCUGAAACUCAUUCUGCGUCGAAUUAAUACAGGUGAAGUCCUAUAACUCUGACGUAUAUCCCUCAGUAACACUAUCUCCUUUCUCUAACUGAGUUUUCUCUGACCAGGUACAGAAAGAAGCAUUGUCCUCCACUCUAUCAAGGUAUUCAUUCUUCAUUACAAAACUUUCUAAUCUAGAAAUCGAGCCGUAAAUCGACACCUUUAAAUGUCAAAUGACAUGCAAUGAUAGCAAAAUAAAAAUAGGUCAGUAUCAUAAAAAAAAUGAUAAACAAGUACUUAAAAUGGUAGCUUACUAAAGGCUAUCACUAUCUUUCCUAAACUCUUUAAAGUUCACUAUAUGAGUUUUAGCUCUAAAGCCAGGGUACCUGAACUAGCAGAUUCCUUGGUCUUCACCCAUUAUAGGCUCAUAUAGACCAAGUUCAGUUCAGGGGGACACAUUUCCCUAUGGCCAUACGAAGAUGAAAAUCUCACGAAGACAUAGGUACAGUAUCCCGGAAGCAAUCCACUAGCUCAUACGAAGGUGAAAACCUUGCAAAAGCGUAGCUUCUCAUUCCCACUUAAGGGUGUGACCACAACGGUCAUGCAAAUGCAAUGUACAACAAUAAGGUAACAAACAUAUGCAGCAAACACAUAUAAAAAAGAUCCAAUUUUAAAUUUUCCAAACUUCCGACAUUAAGACAGAAAAUACUCAAUUUCUUGGCUUGACUCUCUUAAGUCCCUACUGGAGUCGCCAAGCUGUCGAAACCAUUUUUUAAAGGGAUGUUUGAAAAAUGGGGAUAGACUUUUGAAAAAUGAAAACGGGAGUUGCUACCAACCUUUUUAGGUGUGAUUGGAUCACAUUAUAAAACGUUUUGGUCUACGAAAAUUAAGAAAAUAGGUUCGGGAGUCGUUACAUGUGAGGAAGGAUUUGCACCCUCGCAACGCCCAAAAUUGGUACCAAAUUUAAUAGUUUUCUAUCUUAAUGUCAAAAAUUUGAAAGGAUUUAAAAAUAGGAUCCCUUUUUUAAAAUCGGAAUUAUUUAAGUUGAAAAAAUCGAGAUUCCUUAGCUCCAAAAGAAUACAAACAUCACAUCCAGCACGAUAGGACACGAUAUUCUUAAACUCUCGUAACUAAAAUCAUCUCGUGAUUUACAAAAUCUAUUUAGAAGGAUACUUUAGGCAUUUAGACAAACGGGAAAUCGCAACCCAGCAUGUUAGGGCACUAUUUCCCGAAUUCCUAAAUACGAAAAACAUUGCCUCAUUUUAGAAAAACUUUUGGAUAAAAUAUGACAAUUAAAUGAAAUAUAUUUUUUUAAAAUAAUGAUUUGAGUAAAAUUUAAAAAUUAAUUUACUAAGAGUAAUACUAAAAAAAUUAUUAAAAAAAUGAAAGAGUUUGAUAUGAUACUAAAAUUAUUAAAAAAAAAUUAAAAUAUAUAAAAAAAAUCCAGGAAACAUGGAUUAAAUCAAAAUAAAAAUGGUUGAAAAACGAAGAUGAACAAAGAAUAAAAUAAGAACAAACCGUAGAAAAUAAGAACGUAAGAGGGAGAGAAAUUUGAGUGAAAGCUUUCAAAAAAUUUUAUUGUUUCUCAAAACUCCAAUGUGUUUACAAUGAAGGGAGAGGCCUCUAUUUAUAGUUGAACCUCCUCAAAUCCAACAGUACAGAUCAAUUACAUCAACGGUUAAGAAUAAAAGGUAUCUACAAAUUAAAUCUCUAAGAUUACAAAAUCAUAUUUUUUAAGAUUGCAUAUCAUAUCUAAGAUUGCAAUCAUAUCUAAGAUUAUAUCAUAUCUAAGAUUGCAUAUCAUAUCUAAGAUUGCAUAUCAUUGAAGAUUAUAUUUCCAUAUGAGUCAAGCUUAUAGAUGGACCUUAAAUCUUUUCAAGUAAUGGGCCAUUCCAAUCGGGCCAAAUUGUAUUUGUAGUUCUGGACUAAACUUGGACUUCGUUUUUUUUUGGGUUUAUUAUUUUUUUUUGGACUUAUUUCUGGGCCCGAGCAAAAUUGAGUGUCUACAUGUGUAUUGUUCAAUUUUUUUUCAUAUGAUUUCUCAAAUGAAUUUCAAAAUAUUUAAUUAUAUUAAAUACAUUUAUUACAAUUGUAGAUAUAAAUAUAUAUAUAUAAAUAUUUAGAAAAAUUGAUAAAAUUUUGUUGAUUGAUUCUUAGUUUGAUUGGCAUCGGAUUAUUGCCAGUGAAGGAGGGCGUGUUUUUCAAUACACUGAAACGCAUUAUCCUUCUAUUUAAGGGUUGGGAAGGGUUAUGGAUAAUUUUAGAUAUUGUAUAAAAAAAUUGAUAAAAAUUUAACAAAUAUUUUAUCAAUAUACUUUAAAAAGAAAAAAAAAUUAUCCCAACAUUUAUUUGAUCAAUAUACUUUAUUUUUUAUAUGGACAGUUGUGGACCAAAAUCAAAUUCAUGUUGUAUGGACGACGAAAACUGAAUUGAAGAGGAUCAAAACCUAACUUGGCAAGAAAGCAACCUAAAACACAAAGAAAGACCAAGUUGAGUUAUGGCAAUUCCACAGUAAAUAAAAUAGUAAGAAAACAAAUUUCAAGAAAAAAAUAGGAGAUCUAAAUGAUUCAAAGAUAAGAUAUAACUCUUCGAUUGGUAUGGAGACAUCUCAACUCAGAAAUGCCUAGAUCACAUCCAAAAAUACGCUGUAAGUCGACUGAUCUUUUGAGCUAAAAAAACAACUUCAAUGAAUUUAAGUUAAUAAAAUUUAUCUCAUCCACACGUGUCACAUUCAAAGUUGAUCUUGAAUUUAUCCUAUCCACACAGAAUUUUUAGAUGAGGUUAUUAUAGAAAAUUACGAGUUUCAACUUUAAUUCGAGUUUAAGUCAUAUUGGGUUCAAUUUUAAGGUUUAAUUUUGAUUAGAUGUGAGCUGAAUAUUGUAUUUAUUAGGUUUUAUAAUGUUAUUUGUUCUGAGUUUUAGGAUAUUUUUAAAUAUUUCAAGUUGUUUAAAAGUAUUAUGUUUCUUAGUCAACAAAUGCAACAGUCCGGUUUUGACCCUAGUCAGAAUAGUGGUUUUCAGACCACAAAUUUGAGUCUCAAUAAUAUUUUAAUAUUAUUUUCUGUGUCUAUGAUAUGUGAAUUUACAUUUGUGAAAUUUCUGUGAUUUAAUUUGUCUGUUUCUGUGCUCGAUUUGCAAAAAGAACCAAAUCGCGUAAGUUGUAAAAGGUGCCUACUGUUUGUUAAAAGUGACUAUUUGAUUUGACUCAUUAAAUAUGAGGUCCUUAUGAUGAAAUAAAACCAUUAUAUGAUAGUGGGAGACAUGGUUUGGCAAUAUUGUAAAUAGAUAAAUUUUUGAAGGGCAAAAUGGUAAAAGGGGAAUUCAUGUAAUAAAAUAAAAUAAACAUGAAAGUGGCCAUACAUUCAUCUUGUUCAGCCGAAAAUUAAGAGAAGAAGAAGCAAUUGAAGCUUCAAAAUAUUUUUCCCUUGCAUGAGUGGAUAGGUUAGUCCAUUUUACUCAGUUUUUGAUAAUUUCUGCGUUUCUAUGAUCGUUGCUUCGUGUUCUUCAAAACCCAUGUCUAAGUUUCUAUUUUUUUGGAGAUUAUGAAAUGUUCCAUUGAUGCUUAAAUGAGCUUUGUAGUGCUCUUACAUGGAUUAUGAAAGAUAUAUGUUAAAUUAUCAUGUUUUGUUCUUGAAAUUUUAAUGAAAUGAGCCAUUAGGGCUAAAUUGUGAAAGUGAGGUUUUGAAGGACUAAUUUAUGAAUUAAAUGUGUUAUUUGGGCUUGUAUGGAAGCCAUGUAUAUUUGGCCAAGCUAUGGUCUUGGUGAAUUAUGCAUAUUUGUGAUUUUGUGAAAAAUAGACUAAAUUGUCAAAUUGUGUUAAUAUAAGGGCUAAAUUGUAAAGUGCCCAAAAUAUGUGUAUAUGGAUUAAAUUGAAUGAAAUGAAUGAUUGCAUGGUUGAAUUUGAAUUGUAUUAGAUCAAGAACAAAGAAAAUCGGACUUAGAUCGAGGGAAGUCCAAAGUAGUCGAAUAGUCGACUCGGUUAUCCGAAAUCCGUCAGGUAAGUCAAACUACAUUUACGUGUUAAGUUGAUUAAAUUAUGUGUUUAUAAACUAUUAUUUGCAUUGGACGGCCUUGAGAGCCCGAUAAAAGAAUGUUGGUAUUGAUCUGAAUUAUCGUGUAAGACCGUGUCUGGGACACAGGCCUCGAUUUGAAAUCUACGUGUAAGACCAUGUCCGGGACAUCGGCAUCGUAUCUGAAUUCGUAUAAGACCCUGUUUGGGACAGAGGCAUCGAUAUUGAAUUACAUAUAAGACCACGUCCGGGACGUUGGCAUUGUACUCGUUUAUGAAUACCUGUAUCGUUUAUGAAACGUUUGAUGACAUAGUAUGAGUCAUAAAAAUGAGUAUUUGAAAUGCAUAAUUGAUUCAGGUACGUUUGUAUCAUACCUAAUUUCUGAAUAUGAGAGACUCUGUUUCUGAAAAUUUAUGAAUGCGAAGUAGGUCUGAAAUCAUGGAAAUGAAUUUGAUAUACAAGCAAAUGAUUAUGGUUAAGAUUAUGAACCACUCUCUGUAAUGGCUAUGAAUUCUUAUUGCUGUGUUGUAUUACUUAUAUAUGUUUUGGUAAUUAAACCAUUUGUGUUUGGCUUACUAAGCUCAUGUAGCUUACUUUGUGUGAAUUCUGUCUGUUUUACAGUUAUCGUAGCUACUGAAGACUCGGGAUAGUCGGGGAUUGUCAUCACACCGUCAAGCUCUUUUUGGUACUUUUGGAAAUGUACAUAUUUAAGUAUGGCAUGAUAGGUUAGAAUUGUUAGUUGAUAUGUAUGUAUAAGUUAUGCCUUAUAAGUUUGGCUAACAAAUGAUAUGUUUGUGCAUAGUUUGAUGUAUGUUUUGAAAUGUGUUUUGGUCAUUUUUGGAGCAUGGAAAUUAGUUGGAAAUGUUGGCAUAAUUGUUGUUUAUCAUGCUUGUAGGGUUGGACCCUUAAAGAGAGGCAAAUUGGCUUAAACCAAGCCUGCAUUGUGCCACACGGCCAGGGAACACGAGCUUGCCCUGUAGCCGUGUGAAAGAGUCGAUAGCUAAUUAAAUUUUACACGGUCAUGGCACAUGGCCGUGUCUGUUGGCCGUGUUAAUAAGUCAGUAUAAGACCUAUUUUUGGCACGGUUGGACCACAUGAGCGUGCCUUAUGCCCGUGUAAGUCACACGGCCUAAUCACACGAGCGUGUGACUUUGACAGUUUUAAGAAGUAUGUUUAAGUUCUGAAAAUUUUUGAAUAGGUUCGGUUUAGUCCUGACCUUUCUUAAAUGUAUAUUUCGGGUCUCGUAGACCAUCUUAAUAGAUGAAUUGUGGAUGAAUGUAAAUGUAUUAAUGUUAUAUGGUACCUGUGAAUCUGUGUUGUUCUGAAAUGCUCUGUCUGUCAGGUGACUCCCCUUACCUAUUUCGGCGACGAUUACGGGAUAGGGGUGUUACAACAAGAGAGUUUAGUUCCACUAGAACUACUUGUUUAGAUUAAUUAGAGUUUAAUUAUACUUAGGAGUUUUAUUUUGAUGUAAUUAACUAGCCUAUAUAAAGGUUUUUGCAUUAUUCAUUAAAGAUAUCAUACACCAUUCAUUAUUUUGAUUCAAUAUAGCUCUUUGAUUUUUUCUCUUUAUGAGAUUUCUCUCUUAUUGAUUUUAGAAAGAGUUUUUUCUUGGUUUCUUUAGGAAGUCAUGGGGUUAUCUGUUAACCGUCCAAUUUACUAGGAUUCAGUCUAAGGGGUUAGUUAGAGUCAUUUAUGAAACUUGUUGAAGUUUCUUCUUCAAAGAGUUUCAUAGCAUAUCGAAUUUUUAUCACCUUCCAUCGAAUCUUUUUCUAUCUCGCCUUAAUCUUUAUCUUUCUUGAUUUUCUUUUUCUAUUUUUUUUCAUUGUUUCUAAUCUGUAUUGAUUUCCUUGUUUCAAGACAAUUCAAACAACCUUGGUUACUUUUAAGAACACAUUUUCCUUAAAGAUUUAGUUCUCUCAUCUUCGAAUUAAUCCUUUGGAUCUCCUUUUAUUUUUUCUUGCUAUUUUAUUUGCUGCCAGGUUUCCCUAAUUCAGCUUGGUCUGUCAUUGCGUUUUAUGUUGCUUUCUCUCCAAGUUAGAGUUUGAUCUUGGUCCAUUGCUACCCAUAUCUCUCAUUUUCAUUAUAUGUUAAUCCUUGAUCGAGUUUAUCAUCAUUUGAAUCUAAAUCUAUAUCAUUAAGAUUAUCAAAAAAACAAAGUCCUCUCAACCACAUUUCAGAACUUUGAAUGUUUCAAAUUGAAGAGUUUGCAAGGCAUCUCUAGUUGCUUGUGUCUAGCUCUAUUCUUUCAAAUGAUAUCAUAUCCCACAAUAUAGUACAAGAAAUUUUUUUGUAUUUGCAUAAUUAGCACGUACCAUAUUAUAUUUAGUUCACAAUGCAAAUAGUCCAUAGCUUUAAUCAUAAAAAAAAUUAUAUAAACUUAAUUUGGAGAAAGACUUAUGCUAAAUUAUAACCAUUUUUAUAAUAUGUAAAUUAAAUAGAAAAUAAUAUACAACCUUUAUAAAAAAAAAUUAUAAAUUGUCCAAUAACUUUCAUAGCACUUCUUGUAAAUAAUAUAAUUUUUUGCCAUAACUUUAGAAAUUUUUUUUUUUUUACAAAUAAGUUAUAGUAAAAAUAAUUGUAACAAUUUUUUUUUUUUACGAAUAAGCAUAUUAUUCUUAUAAUAUAUAGCAUCAAACAUGUUUAUGCCUUAAAAAUAUAAUAUAUAUAGAUUGGUAUAUUAUUUUUACUGAUUCUUAUAACAAAUUCAUAGGUAAAAAUUACUCUAAUUAAUUUAUUUAAUGCUAUGUAUAUUAAACUUAUCAUGGGUAUUCUAAAUUAAGAUAUUGAAAGAAAUAGAAAAAAAAUCAAUGCAAUUAUUGUUUCCAGAAUUGCAUAUAAAGGCAAUACACUCACCGUUUGUCGAAUUGGAAGCAAAUUGUAAAGAAUAAAGAACACAAAGAGGCAUUCACUGAUUUACACACGUUUAACCAUAUCGAACAAAAUAAAUGUAAGCUUAAUUUGCAUAUAAAAUCAAUAAAACUAAAGGAAAGUUAAUUAAUUGUAUAAUGUUUUUCACACCAUAACAAGGUCCCUGCUCGUCAUUUUUAUGCGUUCUCAAUUUUGUAUUAGCGUGCUUUAGGUUCAUGUGGCUCCGCUUGCCAUUUCUCCUCCAUCCCCACCACUAUCUUUACUUAAAAGGCAAAAUUGUUUAUUUAGCUUUUCAAUUUUACAAAAAAAUCAUUUUAGCCCUUCAUUUAAUUCUUUUCAUUUUUAGUGUUUGAACUAUUGUGUUAUUUGUCACAUCACCACAAAAUGAAUACAAAAGUUAAUAUUUGUUAACUUUACUGACGUGCAGGGACAAAGCCAAAAAUUUGCUUUGGGGAUAGAGAUGAAUCAUAAAUUAUUGGGAGGUCAAAGUAUAAUUUUACCUUAAACUAAUAUGUAAUUUCAUAAAAUUUAAGGAACUGAAUGAAAAAUCUACCAUUUUUAGGGGGAAGAUCAAGGCUGCUGCCAACCCCCUUGUCUUCGUCCUUGCUGACGUGGCAUACACGUGAAUUCCAUGCCAGUAAUUAACUAUUUUUUAAAUUUAAAAAAUUCAAAAAAAUAUAAAAAUUAUUUUAAAAAUUAAAAUUAAUUUAAAAAGUAUGAAAUUAUAAAAAAAAUAUUUUUUAUUUUAAAAAAUUAAUUAACUGCUAAUAUAGCAUAAACAUGGAUUGUCAUGUGUAUGUCACAUUAGCAAAGUUAACAAAUGUUAACUUUUCCAUCCAUUUUAAGGUGAUUUGACAAAUAAUACAAGUUGGAGAACUAAAAUGACAAAAAAAUUAAGUGGAGGGCUAAAAUAACUUUUUUUUGUAAAGUUAAAAGAUUAAAUAAGUCAUCAUGUGUUUUGUCACGCCCCAAAAUAUAAGUGAUCAAUUGAAAUAAAUAACUAAAAAAUUACUUAGGUGUGUUGGUUAAGUAGUUAGUAUAUUCUUUAGGGGUCUUAGGUUCUAUCCAUCCCAUUCCUACUUUUUUCAACAAACUAAGAUGAAAAUCACACUAAAACAAAUAUUAUUUGAAGUAGAAAUUAAGCAAGAAAUGGGUAGUAGUCUAAUGAUUAACACACCCAGACUUACUUAAGUUUUAGCCAUGCCUUACCACAUUUCCAUUCCCUUUUAUUCGGCAGUAGGGUAAAUUAUUAAAUAGCCCCUCAAAGUUGAAAAACUCUAGGUAUUUAGUCUUAUUCCUAGUAGCAUUAGAAGUUUUGCUUUCUUUUUCAAAUCCAAGCAAAAUUUUGGCUUUUUUGAUCCUAUUUCUUCUUCUUUUUCUUUUCAUCUUCUUCCUUGCAUUAUAUUUUUCUCCAAUGUUGAAAUUAUUUUGUUUCCCCAAUCAAAAUCUAUUCUAGAUUCAAGCCGUUUUUCAACUGGAAUCAUAAUCGCCAUUAGAAACAUUCUUUAAUCGUUGCCAAGAAUCAGCAAGUAUGCCUCAAUCCCAAUGUUUGAUCUCAAAUCCUUAUAGAAUUACUAUCUAAUGACAAUCUUACAAUCGAUUAAAUGUUCUUUAUCAGUUCUUGCAAAAAUCUUUCAAUAAUCUCGUUGAAUAUUGAUACCUAAUGUUAAUACAUGCGAAAUUUGUCAUUGAAGGACUUGAUUUAGGUGAAUCAAAUCAUUCUUGAUCGUGAGGAAUGUCGUUCAAGCUCCCGGUGAAAGGUGUGUGUUCUUUUACAAGCGAAUCAAGGAAAAUCGUGCCUCAGAUUAAGGCUACAUGGGCAUGUGGACCACUCGGCCCCUCACACAGCUAUGUGCCUCUGAAACCCUAAGCUAGUUUGAAUCUCACACGGCCAUGUCUCCUUGUAACUUAAUUUUUCAUGUUCCACAUGGCCAGAUUUUGUUACACAGCUUGACCACAAUGCCGUGUAACCCCUCCACAUGGCCAAUAGCUUCGAAGAUGGCCGUGUGUCCCCUGUUUUUGCCCAAAAUUUUUGAAAACUGUUCAAUUUAGUCCCUACAUGAUCCUUGAACUGUUUCUAAAAUUUUAUCUCCUUCAAUUGAGUCUCUAAUAUUAUGAAUAAUGCUGGAAUCCAUGAUUUGAUUAACUAAAUUAUUACUAUAUGCAUGAUAUGUAAUUAGUACAUGCCUUCUAUGACGGGAUUACUGAUAAAUUGUUACUGAUACUCAAAUCAUUGUGUUACUGCUUGCAUGAACAACAUGCCUACUGUUAUUGAUGAACCGAAAAACAUGGCAUAAAUGUCUACUACUAUUAUUAACCUGAAUAUAUGCUGAGCAUGUCUAUUGUUUUUGUGUUGUACUGUUAAUAACAUGUCAUACUGCAUUGCAUGGGGUAGGACGCUUUGAAAGGAGAAAGUACUGGCAAUUUAUCUACAAACACUGGUGGUUUAUCCACAAACAUACUGGUAGCUUUUAUAUGCAAAUGCAUUGUGCAUUCACAACUUACAUGUAGCAUAUUAACCUUCAAACACUAGUGGUUUAUCCACAACUUUUACUGGCAACUUUUAUUUGCAAACUCGUUGUGUAUUCACAACCACUGGCAGCAUAUUAACUUGCAACAUUUGUCGUUCAUUCACAAACUGGAGUGUCCGGGAUAUAGGAGUUCUGGGGAACUCUUAUUGUGGGGUGUAGUGUUAGAGUAGGACUUUUCUUUACUGUUAAUCUGAAAUUGCAUUACAUUGGCACUCAUAAGCAUGCUUGAAUGAACUGCCAAUUUUGCUAUGCUAUGUGGUUGUUACUAUACUGAACACUGUUAUUAUGUACUUGGUUUAUUAUUUUGCAUUGAUUUUCUUAUGAUGAAACUCAAACUGAGCUUCAUAGCUCACUCCCCUCUUAUUUCCAUAUCUACAUAUAAUCCACCAAGUUAGGAUGCGGACAUGGCAUCUAGAGGGUCUUAGCUCGAUUUUUAUUUAUCAAAAUAUUUUAGGCUAAUUAUUUGAUAUUUUAUUUUUCAAAGAUUGUAUUAUUUUAUUUUGAACUGUGCAAUGGGACAUAGGAUUUGUGAUUUAUUUUCCAGCUUGCAUGACAUUUAAUUUGAGCUUAGAACUUUGAAUUAUGAAUAUAAGUUAAUUAUACAUGAACCCCGAUUUUUAUUAAAAACGUAAAUUGAUAUCACUUUUCUGUUGCUAAGUUAUAAUUAAAAUUGGGAGUAAUUAAUAAAUUGGUAAUUAAUCAAGUUUUCAAAAAGGAGUCACCGUUACAUAGGUUAGUUACUUUAAACCGGUUUUGAUAUCUCGUAAGUUUUUUUUUUUCUGAAAAUAGACUAAGCUUUUUGCUAAAUUAAACAAAUAUUUUAAAAUGACGAUUUUUAAAAACCCAAUAACUUACUGUAUCAUUUUAGUGACUAAUAUAAUCUUCCAAAUUUAGGUCUAACGUCUAAGCCAGGUUACAGUGGUUACACAUUUGGUUAAUCCACCUAAAAUAUAUUCACUUGAAAACUUCCGGUGUUUGGCCAAAACAUAGAAGAGAUAGGAGGCAAAGUUGUAGGUGCCAUCGCAAAGUUGGUAAUGAAAUCAUUUAAUGGCAAGAGUUUUCUGGAUAUAAACUACCUUUUUUUUUCCUUCUCAACUUUCAGAAACGUUCAACGUCAACAGAUUGAAAUAUCAUGCAAGAGAGUCGUAGUUAUGUUUCAUAAAAGCUACAAUUUAUCCAAUAUGUUCCCCUUUAUUUUUAAACCUCUUUUUCAUUUAUAAAAUAUAAUUCCAAAUGAUUAUAAAGAUAUAGUAGAUGGAUACCCAUACCAACAAAAUCCUCUUAUGGUAACCCUGUUUUUAUAAUAAUAUAAUUUAUUCUUUUUCACAAAUGGAUGCAUUAAAAAAAGAUUGAAAAUUUGACGGAUGAGUUAGCUGUUUCGGAACAGUGAAAGAUAUAAUGCGAUGAAGAGUACUUACAGUGAAGAAUUUUUUUUUAUUAUACCACAAAGUUGUUAAUGUAAAUACUUCUCUUGAUAAAGAAUUGUAUGAGUUAAACAGUGUAUAAAUUCAUGCAAAUUAUGCAUUUAUGAUCUGAAAAGAUGGCUUAAUUUUAAUCAACUAAAUUGAUUGGAUACAAAGUAUGCCAUUAACAAAAAUAAGAAUUACUUUUUUUAAUUACUAUUGAGAUUAUAUAAAAUUUAAAUAUUCUUUAUUUAAAUUUAAAAUAAUGUAAAAAAAUAACAUAAAAAGAGAUGUAUAAUAUUUAAGUCUACAAUAUUCUUAUCAUACAUAUUUAUAUAUUUUUUUAAAAAAUUAGAGUAUAAUUAUGUUGUUAACAAAAUUAAAAAUAUUUUUCCCACAUUAAAAAUGUUUUAAAAAAUUUUUAAUUUUCAAAAUAUUUUAAAGAAAAAAACAAAUUUUAAAUAUUUCUUAAUGUUUCAUAAAAAUAAAAUUAAACAAUUGAAAAUUUUAAACUUAUUAUCUAUUUAUAAUUUGUUUUUAACAUUAGCUUAAACAAAUUUGAUACAUAUGAUCUUUUUAACAAACAAUAUUAUUUAUAAAAUUAACAUAUCUUUAAAAUAUAUAAUUUUUUAAAUAAUGUUACGUAACAUAAAAGUUUCUACUAUGAAACUUUACAUUUCAUCCUAAAUAUAUAUUGUUACAAACCAAUUUGCCCUGCCUAAAACCCAACCUACCUUAACCUAAUUACAUCAGCCCAAACCUAAAAUAAACCCAAAUGGCCCAAUAAAAAAAAAACAAAGCCCAAAUUAACCGUAGCCCAAACAGAAAACAGAAAACAGGAAGGAUCAAUUUUUCAAACCCUAGGUGCGCCGCACUUAGGGCAUUCGGCCAACUGCUCUCUGUCCCAUUGCUCAUACCACCGCCACUGUGCCACCGCUCAAGUUGCACCUGCAAGAAUUAAAAAGAAAUGACAAGUAGUUGAACGAAAACAAUUGGUAAAUGGCUAUAUAAAGCCUUUUUAAUCUUUGUAGAUUUUUUCAGAGACAUUGAAUACAAAAAAGAACAGUGAUUCAAAGCAGAUAAUAAAAAUCAGGAGAAAAGCUCCAAAUCAGAAAAACCCAAAAUACUAGAAAUCAAACUCGAAAGCCUAAGGUUUUUUUUUCUUUUCUUCUAUUUUCGAAUCCAUUUAUUCACAUGUAUAUACAUAUUAUAAACACACAAAAAAUACAAAAAUAAAAAAUAAAAAAGAGAAUACCUUUUGGAGUUCUGGCCACCGCGCGACCCUACGGUAGCUCUCCUCGUCAGAUUCUGACUUCGGGCAGAGAGAAAUGAGAGACCCCCCUUUUUUGUUUUUUGAAACAAGAAAAAAUGAAUUUUUUAUAAAAAUUUUUGCUUUUAUAACACCAAGGAAACGACGUCGUUUUCAUUGGCCUCUCUAGACGCCAAAACGACGUCGUUUUGGGGAGGCCGACCUGAUCCGACCCGUCUGCCCAAAGAUCCGCAUGUGUUUUAGCGAAAGGGCUAAUUGCACUUUUGGCCCUUCCGCUUUUUUAUGGUUUUGCAAUGCGCUUUUUUAUAUUUUUAAUUUUUCCCUACAAUUUUAUUUCGAUUACAAUUUGGUCCCCAAACCAUUUGAAGAGUGGACAUUGGAACGGCGUCGUUUUGGGAUAGGGCAUAAUUGUGCAAUCCGUCCCUCCUUCGUGGUGCGUGUUUCAAUUUGAUCCUCCUUACUACUUUUCAUUUUGGAGGUUGGGGUUAUUCUCCACUGUAGUCCCUCCUUGUUAUUCACGUAUUGAAUUUAGCCCUUUUCUUUUAUUUUUUAUUUCAAAUUUGCCCCAAAAUUCCGCUUAAGGUCUGAUUUAAUCCUUUUUUUUGUUAUUUUACUGUUUUUCUUUCAAAUUAAUUAUUUUAUUAUCAUUUUCGGAUAUUAUAUUUAUUAUUACUAUUAGUAUCAACCAUAAUUAGUGCUACUACUAUAUUUAUUAUUAUUAUUAUAAUUUUUUAUUACCCUUUUAAUAUAUUAUUAUUAUUAUUAUUUACUAUUAUUAUUGGUAAUCUAUUACUAUCCUUAUGAGUGUAUUAUUAUUUCCUAUUUUUCAUAUUGUUGUUGUUAUUAGUAUAUAUUAUUAUUAUUAUUCUCAAUUAUUAUUAUUUCCUAUUAUUAUUAUUAUUACUAAUAUCACUACUAUCAUUUUUUUAUUACUGUUAUUUUUUUUUACUUUACUAUCUAAUAUAUUAUUAUUCCCUUUUAUUAUUAUUACUAUUGUAUCAUCACUAUUAUUAUUAUUCUAUUUUCUUCCUUUUGUAUUUACUUGUACGUUAUUAUUCUUAUAUUAACUAAUUUAACAUAUAUAUUUUUAGUACACUUAUUUUAUUUAUAUAUCAUUACUCUUAUUACAAUCCUUUCAUCAUUUAUUUUAUAUGUACCUUUUCAAAUAAUUUCAAACUUUAGAUUAUUUAUUAUUUAUAUUAUUGUUAUUAUUACUGCUUAUUACUACCAUUAUUAUUAUCAUUAUUUUUACUUUUAUUACUAUUGCUAUAUUGUUUUCAUUCUUAUUUUCUAUGACUAUAAUCAUUAUUAUUAAUACUAAUAUUAAUAUUCUUAUUAAUACUAUUAUCAUUAUCAUUAGUAUUAUUAAAUUUUUUACUACUAUUAUUAUUAUCAAUAAUAUUUUUUUAUUAUCGUUUUCAUUAUCAUUGUCUUUUUUAUUUUUUCAUGUUUUAUAUUUUUAUUUACUUAUGUAUUUGAUUAUUUCAUUUUCCUUAUGCAUUUGCUUUAUGUUUUUAUAUUACUAGCCUUGCUUUUAUUUCACCUUUUUACAAUCGCUCAUAUUAUUGUCAUCGACCCUGUCGCACCUAUUAUUAUGUUCUUAUACGUAUUAGUACCAUAGUUUACUUUUAUAUGCCACUAAAAAUCACGACAUAAUUUUACUCGAUACAUAAAAAGCAACAUUCCAUAUUUAGAAAUAUGAGAAAAUCGUGCCCUAACUUACUGGGUUUCGAUUUUUUCUCGUUUAACCUAAACUAUGGAAUAUUCUUUUAAAAUCGUAAUAUGGGUUUUUUAAAUAAAAGUGCUUAUUCUCGGAGAUACGAAGUGUUGUGCCUUAACUUACUAGAUAUGACAUCUUGUUACCUCGAGACAAGAUUUUUGCAAACAAAGGCAAUAUUCAGUAUUUGGAAGCUCGGGAUAUCAUGCCUUAACUUAUUGGGUUUCGAUUUUUUCUCGUUUAUUCUAAAUAAUUGAAUACCCUUUUAAAGAAGUCAAAAUACAUGAAUUUUAAGUAAAAGGCAAUCUCUUUCUCAAAAGUUCGAGAUGUCGUGUCCUAACUUACUAGACGUGACAUUUUAUUGCUUCGAGACGGGAAGGUCUUUAACAUCCAAAUGUCUUUAUGAAAAGAGUGAUCGUAUUUUAAAAUUCUUCAGAUUUUUAAAUUUUUCGACACUAAGACACUAAUUAAUCAACUAGGUACCAAUUUUGGGUGUUACGAGGGUGCUAAUCCUUCCUCGUGCGUAAUUGACUCCCGAACCUAUCUUUCUGAAUUUCGUGGACCAAAAUCAUUGUUUAAAUUAAUCAUACCAUUUAUUAAAAACUACCACUUUUACGAGGUGAUCCGAUCACACCUCAUCAAAAAGGAUUGGUGGCGACUCCCUUUUUUCAUUUUCAUUUUCAAAAUCAAAGUCGGCCCCGUUCUUUAAAAAAAUGGUUUUCACAUGUACUAUUAAGAAAAAAAGAAUUUUGCCUUCACUAACAAUUCUAUACCGUCGUCGAUGUCACUGAAUAAUCCUUGUUUUCAGCUGGUUCAGCCUCAGCUCCAAACCCCUUUCUUGGGAGGGAAACUCUGGUCUGGCCAUCUAUUAGGGGUGAAUAUUCUAUCGAAUCAAAUCAAAUAGAUUUGAAUUAAAAUAUUUUGAGUUAAUCGAGUUAACGAAUCCUAUUUUAUCAUCUUAACUCGAUUUGAAAUUUUCUCGAAUCAAGUCGAAUAAGAUGGAAUACGAAUCGAAUUGAAUAUAUUUGUUCAAGUUAAAUUAAAAAUGAUUUUGGUGUUUUUUAUUUUUAUGUAAUUAAAAAAAUAUUUUUCUUUAAAGUUUUUAAACAUGAUCAUACAAAGAAAAAUUGAAGUGAACAAGUAAAAACAACUGAUGAAAAAGAAUGAGAGGAUUUUGAUUUUUGGGGGUAAAAGGGGAGAAAUAAAAGAUUUUUGGGUGUAAAAGGGGGAGGGAAUUAAAAAAAAUUGAAGAGAAGAGUUGGUGGGGCAAAAGCAGGGGUUGUGUCACCCCAAAUUUUGAAUGCUUGACUGUUGAAUUCCAUCGUAAUUAAAUUUUUGUAUCUAUAGUCCUGUGCUCUGCUUAUGUGUUUGAGGUUAGGAGUUUAAGUCGUGUCUUUAGCAAUUUUGCAAAUUAAAUUUUAAUUAAUCUAUGCCAUUGAGCUGUUGACUUGAAGUUAAUUCCGUGUAAAUUUGUAUCAAGAAUGAGCUUGCUAAUUCAUUGGCUAAGCAUCAAUCUAGUCUCUGGUCUUGUGUUUGAGUCUCUGCAAAAGCGAAGCGGGAAUGUAUUUUUGCUGCUUUGUAGAAUUACUUUUGGUUAUCUAUUUCUUUUAAAAGUAAUUAUUUUAUUUUUUAUUUUUUUUCUUUUUAUCGUUCUUUCUCUUUCGUUCUUUUUCCUCUUUUCUUCUUUUCUUAUUCCUUUUCUUUUCUUUCCUUGGGUCACUUUUAUAGUCUUGGAAUGUGAUCGGGUAAGUACGCACUUCACUAUUGCCAAUUGAUAGGUUAAUUGCAUGAAUUUUUUAUUUGUAGAACUUCUGUCAAGCGGUUGUUCGUACAUUUCUGUUGGAGUUGUUUUAACUCGAUUUGUUUAAACCUUCUUUUAAGUGACCGUUUGGUUUCUUUUUAGGCGAGGAUUUGAAAGAAGCGAUCCUCAACGCAAUAACUCAAGUAAUUGCUAUUGAUUCUAUCGGUAAGUAUGGUUUCGUUAAAGGUUUUUCGUCAAAACUUUCAACAUAGCUUUUCUGCGCAUGAUUGGGUUUUGCUGUCAAUUGAAUUGUUUAAUUGUGUUAUUGAAAGGUCAUUUUAGGCUUCGAGAGUCUUCUACGUUGCUCAUACUUCAAAACUACUUCAGGUGCGUACUAGAAACCCAAGUUUUUGUGAAUUUUAGAUGCUGAGAAACAUGGCUGUCGACGCCACAUGAUCGUGUGGUAAGCGGUGUGAGUCACACGGCCGUGUGACAAGCCAUGUAACUCAUUGUCUCCAAAUACGAGCCAAAUGGGCAUGUGUCCAGGCAAUGUAACUCACUGAUUAGAAGAUUAUGAUCACACGGGUUAGGGACACAAACGUGUGCCUAGGCCAUGUAACUUACUGUUUGCAAUUUAGGACCACACGAGUCAGAAACAGGGGCGUGUGUCCAGGCUGUGUGACUCACUGUUUGUGAUUUAGGACCACACAGACAGACAACAUGAGUGUGUGCCAAGCUAUGUGGGGUCAUACAGGCCAAUCAUUUAGGUUGUGUGCAACCACACGGCCGUGUGAGUCAGAUAUGGAAUUUAUCUUUGAGGCCAUAAACGUUGUCUAACGCGAUCGUAGGCCUUUCAUAAUGUAUUUAUGACUUGAUAUAGAUCGUAUGAGUUGCUACCUGAUGAUCUGAGACUGAACUGUUGAUUAUAUAAACGUAUAUUGAUUGUGAUGAUUGCCAAUUAUAUUGAUUUAUAUCAUCUAACUAUGAAUUAAACUGAAUGACUGUGUGUACAUUCUUAACAUCUGUAACUUGCACUUGCAUUGGGUGGGAAUUAUGUAAAGGAGGAAGUGAUCUAUUUUGAUUCAGUGGCUAAGCCACAAUUAUAUAUGAAUCUGGAGUUUUAUUGCAAUUUGAUCUAGCAACUGGUCUGCAAUCCUAUUGAACUUGUCGGACCGACACUAUAUAUGGUGUGUAGGGUUGGAGGGGUAUUAAACUCCUUUAUCGGUGUGUUAAGAUGGUCGGAGAUGAUAUGUAGCGAAUGGGGGUAAGAAUAACUGCAUCUUUUUCUAAUUUGUCUUGUAUCUGAAUGGGAACUGUUCUGCCAUUUAAUUGAUGUGUUAAAACUGUACUGGAUAUUAUCUGAUUCUGAGUGGAACUUGAGUUUAGGAAUUUAUUAUUAUAAUUGUGUUUCUAAUUGAAUAUAUAUAUAUAUGUUAUACACUGAGUUCUCAACUUAUUUUGUUGUUGACUAAAUUUCAGGUAACUCGCAAUCUUGAUCGGGUCAGCGUAGCGGAAGCUCGGUCAAUUUGCUUUAUCACCCUUUAUUUAUAUUAAUAGUAGUUCAGUAUUUCGUAGUAUUUCAACUUUCUAAGAUUGUUGAAUUAUCGACGGGAUAUUAUGGUUGUAUAAUUUGUCAGGCGUUUUGACUGUGUUUAUAAAAGUUAGUUCCUUAGUAACAUUAACGUAACUCUUCGGACUUGGUCUUAACGCCUAGGCAGGGUUUGGGGUGUUACAGGAGUUGGGGUAGUUUGAUAUUCGGUUUAUUUGAAUUAUUCAAAUUCAAAAAUUCAACUUGACUCAAAUUUGAAAUUCGAAAAAAAUCGACUUUACUUGAUUAACUCGAUUCGAAUAAUUCGAAAUUUGAAUUUAUUUCAAUUUUUUCAAGUUGAAUUGAAUUUUGCUUACCCAUACUAUCCAUGGGUAAUCCAUCAAGUUUCAAAAGGUUCUUUAAUCUCUCUUCAUUUCUUUAAACGAAUUUGUUCUAAAUAUAUUAAAUUCUCUAGACAAAUUGAAAGGAAUAUGGUAUAUUGAGUUCUCUUCCAACAGCCUCACUGAUCGUCUUCUUUACAAUUUUUUUUGGCAAAUAACAUUUAAUUAUUUCAUAUAUAUGUUCAAUGUAUAUAUAUAUAAUUUUUAGAGUUUAUAUAUAUAUAUUUAGAUUAUUUAUAUACUUUUUCAUUAUUUUUAUAUAUUUUUUAAAUUUUCUUUAUAUUUUUAUAUUUUUAAAAAUUAUAUACAUUUUAAAAUUAUGUAUAUAUAUUUCUUUAUUUUUUAUAUAAUUUUUAUAUUUUAACAAAUUUUUAAAGUUUAUUUGAAAAAGAAAACAUAUUAGUUUUACAAAAAAAUACGCCACAUUUCUUUCUUUUCAUCAAAAUAAUUCUUUAGGUACUAAAUUGGGACAAAACAAAUUUAGAUAUCAAAGUAAAAAAAUAAGUAUACUUCAAGAACCAAAUCGUGAAUUAAAUUUUUUUAAUAAUUUCAAUAAAUGAUAAUAUCAAAAUAAAGUCACAAAUUUUAGAAAAGUCUAAAAAUUAGUGCAGGAGCCCAAUUUUGCCCGGGCCCAAUAAUAAAAAAUCUAAAAUAAUAAAGCCCAAUUACAAGCAGCCCAAAAUAAUAAUAAAAAACCCUAAUGGCCCAGUGGCUCACAACCUAAACUAAGUUUUCAGUAAAACUAAAAACCCUAGCCGCCGCUCCUCUCGCGCAGCCCGAGGCACCUCGUCCUGAGGCUUGACGCCUUGGCCACCUUGCACCAAAAUGGUAAGAUCAUCUCCGUUGACCCCAGCACUUGCAAAAAAAGGAUGGAAAACAGAGCAAAGGAAACAGAUAGAGAACAGUAUCAAACAGUAGCGAAAAAUAUAAAAUAUUGUAAUGAAAUCAGCUAUAAAGCCAUAAAAAUCGAUUGUAAUUGUUUUUCACGGAGAAAGCAAUCAAAAACAGAAAAAAAAUAGAAUACAAAAAAAGCAAAUACUUAACAAAGGUAGAUUUUUUUUUAAAUCUUGUCUAAAAUUGAAAAUAUAAAAGAGUAAAAAGGCACAACUUUUACCUGCGGCGCUUUGUCUCCGGCUAUCGUAGGAAUCCAUCGUCUUAGGGGCUAUCUUUUUUUUUCUUUUUCUUUGUUUCAAAAAAAUAAAAACCUAAGAAACGAAAAGGUUUCAUCUUUUUAUUUUUAUUUUUGAACUUUGGAUAAUUUUUUUGGAGGAUUUUGAUCCCCGAUCCGUGCUCUACAUAAAAAAAGGAUUUAAAAGGUAUUUUUGGUAAUUUUCUGGCAACCGAAGAUGGUGGCCAUCGUCGCUGACGAUCGGCGGUCACAGUGGCUGGAUAGCCGGAUUCUGGGCAGUGCCCAGAGAGAAAACGGAGGGAAGGAAACUUCUUUGUUUUUCUAAAAAACAAAGCAAAUGAUUUUUUUUCUUAAAAUUUUUGCUUUUAUAGCAUUCCAAAAUGGCGUCGUUUUAGGUUUCAUAUCCAGACGUCAAAACGGCAUCGUUUCAGGCCGACCCGAUGACCCGACCCGAAUCCUCCUAGGAUUUGCAUGUUUGUAAAGGGGAGGGGAUAUUUGCGCUCUUAAUCCUUCCACCUUUUGGGUUGUUUUAAUUUAGUCCUAAUUUCACUAUUUUUUCUUUUUAGAAUUUUUACCAUUCAAUUUUACCCCCUUUCAAUUAAGUCCUCGGUUCGCUGAUCUCCUGAACAAUGGAUCACUACAAUAAAAUAAGGCUUUAGUGGCGCUUUUAGCGGCGUUUUAUAAUAAAACGCCGCAAAAAUUGUAAAAAGCAGAGCAAUAGCGGCGUUUUACCAAAAACGCCGCUAAAAACAGAGCAAUAGCGGUGUUUUUGUUAAAACGCCGCUAAAAAUUAUAGAAAUAGCGGAGUUUUACAGAAAAUGCCACUAAAAACCAAAGAAUUAGCGGCGCUUUGUGUAAAACGAAACUAAAAACCAGAGCAUUAGCGGCAUUUUUGGUAAAACGCUGCUAAAAGUCAUUUAAUCCCUAAAACCCUAAACCCCAAAAAACAUAAACACUAAUCUAUAACCCUUAAAACACUAAACCCCCUAAACACUAAACACUAAACUAUAACCUUUAAAACCCUAAUUAAACCCCAAAAAACAUCAUAUGGAUGUUGAUGUGUAUAUAUACAUAGAUAUUAAUGUAAAGGUUAUGUUCAUAAUAAAUUAUGGAAGCAAUAUUACUUAAUAUUGAUUAAAUUUAUUUUUGGGUUGAGGGUUUAAUAUUUAAGGUUUAAGAUCUAUGGUUUAGGGUUUUAUGGUUUAAGUUUAAUGGCCAUGGGUAUAUAGUAUAUUAAUCUCAAGUGAAUCACAUUCAAUAAUUAAAUUAAUCCUAAACCCUAUAAUUAAUUAUUGUUAUCGAUAAUAGAUAUCUUGAUUUUGAUAAAAAAAUAUUUUAUAUAUAUUAAUAAUGUGUUAUAUUGUUUAAUGGAUUGAAGGGAUAUUUUGUGGAAAACGUUUUAAAUUAUAAGUUUACCUUUAAAUUUUAUUAAUAGUUUUAAAUGAUAGUUUAGGGUUUAUGGUACUAUAUAGUUUAAGGGUUGGAGAUUAUAAGGUUUAGAGGAUAGGGGUUAAGUGUUAGGGGUUUAGGGUUUAGAGAUCGAUUAUAUUUUAUGAUUCAUGGUUUAGGGGAUAGGGUUAGGGGUUUAAGGUUUAGAGUAAUUAGUGUUUUGUAAUUUAUAUAUUAAAUAAUUUCUUAUAUAAUUGUAAAAGAGAUAAUCUUAAUUUUAAUAUAUUAAAAUUAUGAUUAUAGUUUAAAUUAUGUAAGAGAUAAUAGAUAAAUUUUAUACAAUCAAUUAAUGGUUUUAUAUUUUAAAAAAUUUAGUCUAAACUAUUUAAAAUAUUUAAAUAUUAGAUUUAAAAAAAAAUUGGAUUUAGCGGCGCUAGGGAAUAAACACCGCUAAAGGGUUUUCUAUUAUACAAGACGACACCGUUUUCUUUGGAUUUUUAGUGGCGUUUUAGGUUAAAACGCCACAAUAGGGUUGAUUUAGCGGCGCAAGGUUAUAAACGCCACUAAGGGUUAUUUUGUUUAGAGCAAAACGGUGUAGUUUUUAUGGAUUUUUAGUGGCGUUUUUCGUUCAAACGCCACAAUAGGUUUGAUUUAGCGGCGCUAAGGUAUAAACGCCACUAAUGGUUAAUUUGUUUAUAUCAAAACGAUGUAGUUUUAUUCGAUUAUUAGUGGCGUUUUAGGGUAAAACACCGGAAUAGUUUCUCCUUUAGCGGCGCUUGGUGAUAACACGCCACUAAAUGUUAUUCUGUUCAUAUGAAAACGUCGUCGUUUUUUUGGAUUUUUAGUGGCGUUUUAGGGUGAAAAGCCGCAAUUGAUUUGCCUUUAGCGGCGCUACGGAAAAACGCCACUAAAGUUUAUUCUGUUUAUAUCAAAAUGGUGUCGUUUUGUUUGUUUUUUAGUGGCGUUUAUGUUAAAACGCCGCAAUUGGUUUGCCUUUAGCGGCGCUAGGUGAAAAUGCCGCAAAUGUUAAUUUAUUUUAUGCUAAACGAUGUCGUUUUGCUCUCUUCUUUUUUACCCACACUGAGUUCCCCCUUCUCCUUAGUUUAUUUCCCCCAUUUUCCCUUCUUCGAAUCCCUAAAAUAAUCACCCCAUUCUCCCUAGUUUAUUCCCUCCAUUUUCCCUAAUUUGAAACCCUAAAAUAAUUAACCCUUUCUCCCCAAUUUGAAAUCUAAAAUCCCCAGUAAAUGUUCAGUUAAAGGAAGCGGUAGUAAGAAAGGGGAAGGAGCACAUUUGAAGCUAGGAACGGCUUGAAAGAAAUUUGGUAAGUUCUCUUUUGGACUGUUUUUGUUAUUUUCAUGGCUUGAAAUUAGACUGGUUGGAUUCUGGUAAGUUGUAGGGGCGGAAGGGAAUGGGGUUUUGGGGUUUAGGCUUUGGGGAAGGGAGGUGGCAUUUGAUAGUGGUGGAGCGCGGGGAAGGGGGAAAAUGUCGGCGGGUAGAGGAGGGGAGUAGGUGGGAAGGGGCAGCCAAAGACUGCAUAUUUUGUUCUUCACAGGUUGGUUGCCUUAAUGAUGGCUUUUGGGGAGGGGAUAAGGGAACACUGUAAUUCUGAUUUCUAUUUGUGAAAUUGGGCUUUUAUGAGCCAUGCUUUGCCCGUUAUUUUUUGUCUUGAUCAUUAUGUUGUUAACAUGGUCAUUAACGGCGUUCACAUACUCAAGCUAUUGCUCGUGUUUAUAUGAGUUAGUUGUUCCUUCUCAUUUUCAUUUUUGAUCAGCAGGCCAAAAAGUGCAUCAAUCUCUAAUAACGUCCAUGCAUCAGAACUAAACUCUCUAAGGUAAGCUUCUUUACAUACAUAUAUAUAUAUUGUCUGAAUGGUUUAUUAGUUCUGCUCUGUAUGUUGCAAUUGGUUAACUCAAUGAAAUGUUUGCUAGGUUUUAUAUUGAUCAGUUGAUAUCUCUAAUCCUGUUAUUAGAUUGAUACUAUUCCGGCUCGACAAUUGUUGUGUUGAAUGUGGUAACAAUGUCAACUCAUUAAUCCAAGGAACAUUUUUGUUAUUUCCUCAAACGUUUUUAGCUGUUUCGAUGGAUAGAUUGAAUAGCAUGUAAUGAAUUUGUUACUCAUUGUAUAAAGGCUUAUUCCUUUUUAAUAAUAGCAUUGGCACAGGAGGAGUUGUAGUUAGGUGGUUAGAAUAAGGAGUAAUCAUAAAAUGGUAGAACACAAAAUGAUUCUCCUGCAAUACGGAAGGGAGCUAUGUGCAUUUUGUUAGUUGUUUGUUUAGAAUGAUCUGCAAUUUGAUGUUGUUGAGUGUACCAAUGCAAUUUGAUGUUGUUGAGUGUACAAUCGAAACAAGUACAUUUUAAAAUAAGGGAUCAGUUUUUAUUUUUUUCCCAAAUAAACUACUAAUAUUUUUAGUCUAUUAUUUCAUUAAAAAAUAAUUUGCUAAAUUUUAUAAGGUUGUGCUAAAUUUCAUUCCGUGUUAUGGGUUAUUAUUGCUGAAUUUAGACUGUUGAAUGCCAUAUGCUUUGAUCUUUAGGUGCAUUAUCUAUUGACAAAAGUUGCAAUAAAGCUAAUUGUUGAAACACAGGUAGACAGUUCUUGUUGAAGUCUUAUUUUUUUAAUGUCUAUUAUAGCUGUUGAGUUAUAAAAUCUAGUUUUUUCUUGUUACAGGAUUGAAUUUAUCUUGUUACAGGUAGACAGUUCUCGUGCUCACGUUUUGUCGGAUUCAUAUUUUCUGAAGUUUGGAUUUUUUCUAACUCCCUUUGUUACAGGUUCGGGUUUUCUCGAACUCUAGUUAGAAGUUUUGACUAUUUAAUUCAAUUUUUAUUAUUUAUUUUAGCUUUGAUUCUAAAAUUUUAUUCUUAUUAAUAAAAAUAAUUAUUAUUCAAAGAUAUACAAUUAGUUAUUUUUAUUUAUUUAAUAACAUAUUACUAGUUCAUGUAAUAUAAAACAAUUAAGGUAUUUUAUAAUAUGAUAUUUGUUUACUUAUAAAUUUUUAUAGUUUCAAUUAUUAAAAAAAAGUGUAAUUAAAUAUUAUCAGAUUUAAAAUGUUUUAUUUUUUAUUUUUUUGCUUUAAUGUAUUUCAAUAUUUAUCAAUUUUAAAAUGAUUUGCUUAUAUUUCAUUUAUCAACAUUUUAAAUAUAUUUCAAUAUUUCAAUAUUUAUCAAUUAAUAUAAUUUCAUUUAUCAUUUAAUUUUUAAAUAAAUUUAAAAUUUUCUAUUAUAUUGAUCCAAAAUUUGAAAUAUUUUAUUUUAUUCCACUUUAAUUUAAUUGCAGUGCGAUAGCAGCUUGAAUUAAAUUAAAUUGUAUUUAAAGUUUUAUUUUAAAUAUUUUAUUUUAUUUCACUUUAAUUUAAUCACGACAUAUAUAUUUUGGAUAAAUUUAUUUAAAUUUUAAAUUACAUAUUUUUGGAUUAAUUUAUUUUGGAUUAAUCAGGACACAAUUUUUUUAAAUUACAACACAUAUUUUGCAAUUUAAUCACGACACAAUUUUUUAAAUUACAUAUUUUGGAUUAAUUAAAAUAAUUUUUUUAAAGGGAUAUAAUAUUUAUCUUAAUAUUUAUUAUAUAUCAUAUAAUAACUUACAUAACUUACAAAACUUACAUAAUACAUAAAUAUAUAUCAUAAAUAUAUAUCAUAUCAUAACUUACACAACUAACAUAAUACAUAAAUAUAUUUCAUAAAUAUGUAUCAUAUCAUAACUUACACAACUUACAUAAUACUCCAAAUAUAUAUCAUAAAUAUAUAUCUUAUCAUAACUUACACAACUUACAUAAUACAUAAAUAUAUAUCAUAUCAUAACUUACAUGCCUUACAUAAAUGUAUAUCAUAACAUAACUUACAUAACUUACAAAGCUUACUUAACUUACGUAAUAUAUAAAUAUACACUUGAAAAUCCCCCUGCCUGAAUUAGUUUGCACCUAUUAGAUAAUUUAUACUUGAUAUAUAUUAUCUAUUUUAGUAAACGCAAUUUAUUGUUAACUUUAGAUUUCAAGAACUACGAAAUGGAUAGGUGCUGGAUGAAAUUUUCAAGGGUAAGCAAUGCCUAUCGAAAUGGAGUACAAACUUUUCUAAAUUUUUCAUUUCAAAAUGCAAGCCAAGAGAAUAUGAUUCUUUGCCCGUGUAAGAAGUGUGGCAACAUUAAUUGGCAUUUUCGUGAAGUUGUCUAUGAACAUCUAAUUGUUGACGGCUUUAUUCGGGGGUAUAAAAAAUGGAUUUUCCAUGAAGAGUGUACAUCUAGUGGAACUUCUUCAACUAUUAAUCCGACUUAUUCUGAUAAUACUUACCAUCAGUAUGUUAGACAAGAUGACAUGGAAGGUAUGUUGCGGGAUGCAUUUAAUAUGCACAAUCAUGGUGAACAAUCGUUUCCACCUAACUUUAUUGUAUCCGACGAUUGUAAUAUUGGUGGAAAUGUUUUUCGCGAAACGGGAACAAGUGCACCUGAUGAGGAGCCAAAUGAAGAAGUGGCGAAGUUCUACAAUUUACUUAACGAAAUGAAUGAAGAACUUUACGAGGGAUCAAAAUAUUUAAAAUUGUCCUUCUGUAUUCGUCUCUUUCACUUAAAAUGUUUGGGAGGGUGGACCGGAAACUCUUUUACAAUGCUGCUAGAGUUUCUGAGAGAAAUGUUUCCGUUUGCAAAAAUCCCCUAGUCUUGUCAAGAUAUGAAGAGACUAAUAAAAGAUUUGGGCCUUGGGUACGAUAAAAUUCAUAGUUGCCCAAAUGACUGCAUGUUGUACUGGGGUGAUCAGAAGAACCAACAGUCUUGUCAUGUUUGCGGUAAGUCUCGUUGGAUGAAUGGGAAUACAGAAGAUGUGAAUGGGGAUGAAGGUGGGGCACAUUUAAGAAAGAAGCCAGUCAAGGUUAUGCGAUAUUUUCCCAUAAUACCAAGACUUCAAAGGCUUUUCAUGUCGCCAAAGACGGCAGAUUCUAUGAGGUGGCAUAAUGAUCAAUGAACCGAUGAUGGAUUAUUAAGGCAUCCUGUUGAUUCUUUAGCUUGGAAAUCGUUUGACAGUAAAUUUCCAAGCUUUGCAAGUGAUCCUCGGAAUGUGAGGCUUGGGCUAGCUGCUGAUGGCUUUAAUCCUUUUAAAAUCAUGAGUACUUCGUACAGUACUUGGCCUGUAGUGCUUGUUCCUUACAAUUUGCCUCCAUGGAUUUGCAUGAAGCAAUCUUCAUUUAUUUUAUCAAUGAUUAUCCCUAGAGAGAAAGGUCCCGGAAAUGAUAUUGACAUCUAUUUGCAGCCACUUAUUGAAGAGUUAAAACAGUUAUGGUCGGGUGUUGAGACAUAUGAUGUAUUAAGAAAGGAGAACUUUAAUUUACGUGUAGCUUUAUUGUGGACAAUUAAUGAUUUCCCGGCUUAUGUUAAUUUAUCGGGUUGGAGUACUAAAGGACGUUAUGCCUGUCCUUGUUGUGCUACGCAAACUUGUUCGAAGUGGUUGUAUAAUGGGAAGAAGUUCUCUUACAUGGGCCAUCGUCGGUGGUUAGAUGGAAAUCAUAAAUUUAGAUUUCAGAGGACUUUAUUUGACGGUAAUGAAGAGUACAGAGGAGCUCUUGAGCAGACCGGUGGAUCUGAAAUCUUGUUUAUGUUAAAAGAUAUCAACUUUAGUUACGGGAAGAUGAAUCAACCACCUAUCACGCAAACAAGGAGAAGAUCGAGGGAUGAAUCUGAUGAUGAAUCUGACGAAGAGGAUGAUCCGAAUGAGGCGGACUUGUGGAAAAAAAAGAGUAUUUUUUUUAGUUGCCUUAUUGGGAGCACAACAUUUUACGCCACAAUCUUGAUAUCAUGCAUAUUGAGAAGAAUAUCUGUGAGAAUAUAAUUGGGACAAUUUUAAAUGUCGAUGGAAAAUCAAAAGACAAUCUUCAGAGUCGACUUGAUUUAGUUGACAUGAGAAUUCGGCGUGAUCUUCAUCCUCAAGUACUUCCGAAUGGGAAGUAUCGGUUGCUGCCUUCUAUUUUUUUAAUGUCAAAGAAAGAGAAAGAGGUGUUUUGCAUGGUGUUGAAGGAUAUAAAGGUCCCAGAUGCGUAUGCGUCAAAUAUAUCUCGAUGUGUGAGUCUUAAAGAUCGAAGAUUAUAUUCAUUAAAAUCACAUGAUUACCACAUCUUGAUGCAAGAUUUACUCCCAGUUGCUUUACGGUCCUGCAUGUCAAAAAAUGUGACGUCCUGUAUAAUUGAACUAUCCAAUAUAAUGAAAGCUAUUUGUGGCAAAGUUUUGGAUGUUGAAGAACUUAAGAAAGUACAGGAUCGAGCUGCUUUGACUUUAUGCAAUUUGGAGAAGAUUUUUCCACCUUCCUUCUUCACUAUUAUGGUGCACUUGGUAAUCCAUCUCCCUCACGAAGCAAUACUUAGUGGACCGGUUUUUUAUCGAUGGAUGUAUCCUAUAGAAAGGUGAUAAUUUUUUUCUCAAGUAUUUAUUCAUUCGACUCUAUACAUUUAGUUACAACUUUUAGUAAAUAUUGUAUAUCAUGUUUAGGUUCCUAAGCAAAUUGAAAUCUUAUUGUCGCAAUAAGCGUUAUCCAGAAGGAUCAAUUGCUGAAGGCUACUUGGCAGAGGAGUGCUUGACCUUCUGUUCUAGAUAUUUAGAAGAUGUUGAAACACGAUUGAAUAGACCAACUAGAAAUGCUGGGCUCAAUGAUCAUAACUUGGCCGAAACUUAUUUAUUCCAAAGUUACGGAGAAUCAAUCGGCAAAGUUGAAAUUGCAGAAUUAGAUGAUAUAUCGUGGAUACAAGCACAUCGAUACGUACUUUUUCACCAUGAUUUAGUUGAACCGUUACGCAAGUAAGUUCUAAAAUUUCAUCACAUAUUCGUCGUUUUGAUUUAUUUAUCUUCUAACAAAUUAAACUUAUUUUUAACAUAGUAAGUACAAACAAAUUUUGAGAUCUCGUGCACGCUCUCGAAGAUUACAAUAUCGCGAUAUUAAUAAGUUAUUCACAAAAUCUUUUUAUGAAUGGUUAAGCCAAACGGUAUGUAACUAAAGUUAAUAAGUUACAUAUAUUCACAAAAUUUAGUUAAUCAAAUAAGAAUGUUUUUACAUAAUACAUUUAUAAUUAUUCAAUUUACUUUCGAUCCAAUAGGUUUGGAGUGGGAAGGACGUCAAUGAUGAAGUUAAAUGGCUUUCCCAAGGUCCGAACAGAGUAAUAAAAAGAUAUAGUGCCUUCCUUAUCAAUGGAUACAGAUUUCAUACAAAGUAUCGCGAGAGAAUGAGGAGAACUCAAAAUUGUGGAGUUGUUGUUAAUUCUUCAAUUACAAGUUAUGCUAGUGCUAGGGACAGUAAUCCGGUUGAGGGUAAUGUGGAGUAUUACGGACUUCUUACCGACAUUAUUGAGUUGGAUUACUAUGGCAGAUGGAAAGUUGUCUUAUUUUGGUGUGAUUGGGCUGAUGUUAAUACUGCUCAAGGAAUUAAAAAAGAUCAAUUUAGUUUUACAAUGGUGAAUUUCUCUCGCUUGAUUCACACUGGACAACAAUUAAUGGACGAGCCAUAUGUAUUUUCCUCUCAUGUGAAACAAGUUUUUUUUUUCGAAAGAUCCAACUGAUGAGGGUUGGUAUGUUAUACUCCGGAACACCCCUAGAGACUUGUUUGACAUGGGUAAUGGAAAUAGAGAUGACAUUGUCGAAAGAUUAGAAACAUUACCUUUUCCAGAACAAAACUUAGAUGAAAAUAUCCCUAGUACUAGUACACAACAUCAAUGGGUUCGACAUGAUGUGGAUGAAGAUAUUUACGAAUAAUGAUGUAGUAAGAUUUUAUGAUUUUUUAAUUAUAUGUAAUAUUAUAAUUUUAAUCUUGGUCAAGUUAUAUAAUUUAACUAUUUUAUAUGUACUAUUAUUGUUGUAAUUUGUUACUAAAACUUUAACUAUUUUAUGUGUAUUGCAGGAAAAAUGCGUAGAAGAAGAUUACGAGAUUUAAGUAUUGUCCAGAAUACUCCAAAUUCAGAAGAAGGAAAUAGUGAACAGCAGACAGUUGUUGGAUCUUCGAAUGUGACGGAGACACUUGACGAGCCUGAAGAAUUUCAAAGUAAUGUUAAGUUCAUUUUACAUGUAUUGACUUUUAUUAUUGAUUUAUUUGUCAAUUUUAAUAUAAUAAUAGUAUAUCAUUUUUCAGCUGAAAGUGGUGGGACACGCAGAGUUCGAGGACGUACGCUGCUUAGAGAUCUAUACAACUUAGAUCCUGCCGAGCGUGUCAAAGUAAGUAGAAAUACUCAUGGCCAGCCUGUUGGAUCUGAAGCUCGGCUUUUAGCAGGCUAUUUGGGUAUUUUAGCACGAAAUGCCAAUAUGUUGCCCAUCAACUAUGAAUCAUGGCAUCACAUGCUUGAUAGCAACAAAAAUCAGGCUCUCGCUAAUAUUAAGGUAAAUAAAUGUUAAUGUAAUUUAUAAUACUUUGGUUUAAGUUUUAUUUAUUUUUACAUUCUGAACUUGUGUUUUUUUAGGAGAGAUUUGCUUUUGAGGUCUCCGAUGAUUAUAUCAAGAAGGCAUUGGGUAAAAAAUGGAGAGACAAUAAAAGCACUUUAAAAAAACAAUAUUUUAAGAAAGACAUAAGCCUCGAGGAAAAAUUAAGAAAUGUCCCGCCGGGAAUGCUGAGGUACCAAUGGGAAGAUGCGAUUCGAUUCUAGAAUUCAAAGAAAGGAGAGGUAUUGCGUAUUUCCAAACUCUUAUAUAUAGUGUUUACUAUAUACGUAAUAAUAAUUUCAUUAUGUAGGACCGUGAGCGUGUUGGAACAAGCAGCAGGUAAAAACAAAAAUACACGCACACGGCAGGGUCGAGAAGUUUUGCUUCUGUAGCUGAGGCCGAGGUAUUAUGAAUUUAUUAGUUCUUUCAAAUAUUAAUAACUUUCUACUAUUAAAUAAUAUUUUUACUACUAUAUUGUAGGAAGUCAAAUCUGGACAAAAAGUUGGACGCCUUUAGCUUUUUGAGAUUACGCAUAGGAAGAAAGAUGGAUCUCCUAUGACAUCCGAAGCUGGAGAAAUUAUGGUAUAUUUACUUAAUAUUUGAUUUAUUCUAAAUAUUUAUAAUCUUUAAUUAUAAUUGUUUAAUUCAAUUCAUCGUUAGUAGUUUUAAAUAAUGUUAAGUUAUGUUGCAUUCAUUUUUAUUAUAUAUUUCGUUUCUAACUGUUUACUUUUUUUUUUAGGAGAAACUAAAGGAGAAGAAGGCGGAAUAUGAAGCGAUUGCUUCGACUGAUAGUUCUGUUAAUCUUGAGAACAUUGAUAACAGAAUUAUCACUGAAGUUUUGGGUCCUGAAAGGUACGGUCGGGUUCGAUUUCAAGGAUCUGGUGUUACCCCAACCCAAUAUUUUUGAUCCGGCUCCCAGCAAUACAUGCCUUCCAGAAGUCAAGCUCAAGCUGAAGUUCAGAGGUUAAGAGACCAGAUAGCUCAGAUGCAAGCGAACACGGUUGAGCAAAUUUCCGAGGUUCAACGAAAAUAUGAAGAACUCCAGCAACAACUUAGAGCGGAGGCAGCAGAAAGGGAGGCAGCAGCAGCAGCGAGGGAGGCAGAGGCACGAGCGAGGGAGGCAGAGGCAGCAGCGAUGGCAGCAGAGCAGAGCAAAAAGUACGAUGACCUCCAGCUACAGCUUCAGCAGAUGAUGUAGAUGUUUCAGCAAUCGCAAAAGCCGCCAUCUUAGACAUUAGUUUUCUCAUUGUAGGAAUGUUUUUAACUUUGUCACGUUUAACAUUAUUGUAAGAAUAUUUUAAAUUAUACUUUAUUUAUUAAUUAUAUCAUAUAUCUUUCGUUAAAUUUGAAGUAUCAUUUAGAAUUAAUAUUUUUGGUUGUAUUUUUUAUGCUAAAUUUGCUAUUUUUGGCUGCAUUUUAUAUUAUAUUUGUUGUAUUUGGUUGGAUUUUAAUGCAGGAAAGGUUGGAUAUUGGUGAAAAAAAUAUAUAGCAAAUCUGUCAAAAUUAGCGGCGUUUGCCAGAAAAAUGCCGCUAAAGGCCGUGACUUUUAGCAGCGCUUUUCCGACAAGCGCCGCUAAAGGCCGUGGCUUUUAGCGGCGUUUUUCCGACAAACGCCGCUAAAGGCCAUGACUUUUAGCGGCGCUUUUCCGACAAACGCCGCUAAAGGCCAUGACUUUUAGCGGCGUUUUUUUAAAUAAACGCCACAAAAUUUUGUGGCGGCACCUAUAGUGGCGUUUUUUGCGGCGUUUUGAAAAGCACCGCAAAAAAUUUUAGUGGCGCUUAAAAGCGCCGCUAAAGGCUAAAAAAAGCGCCGCUAAAAGUCUAUUUUGCUGUAGUGGAUGCAUGUCCUGAGGAUUGGGAUAAUUUCUUAUUUGGUCCUCGUUCGUUUUCACUCUUUUCAUUUUGGUCUUUUAUUUAUUUAUUUUAUCCCAAUUUAUCCUCUUAAUUUAAUUUAAGUUACGAUUAAGUCCUUUACUUAUUUUAAUUCUUUUAUUUAUUUAUUUACUUAUUUGGUUAUUUAUCAUUCCUUUACUUUUUGUUAUAUUUGAAUUUUAUUUAUUUAUUUUCUUUUCAUCGAGCAUUUAUUUAUUUAUCUUUUUAUUUAUUAAUUUUUUUUCUUUUUACACUUAAAUAUUAGAUUUUUUAUGCUCUUUUAUUUGUGUAUUUUUUUUAUUGUCGUUAUUAUUUUAUUUUUAUUUCUUUUCUCGUUAUUUUUUUAUUUCUUUUAUUAUUUUCGACAUUUUCAUGUCAUGUUUAUUUAUCCUUUUUAAUCAUGCAUUUUCUAUUUUUUUAUUUUAAUUUACCUUAUUUAUUAUUAUUAUUAUUAUUAUUAUUAUUAUUAUUAUUAUUAUUACAAUUACAGUAUUCCUUUAUUUACUUAUUAUUUAUCAUUCUAAUUUUCUACCUACCUAACCAUUUUAUAUUAUUUCAUUAUCACUAUACCAUACAUUAUAUUCAGGGGCGAAGGUAGGGGGCUAGCAUGGGCCCCCGCCCCCCUAAAAUGUAAAAUUGCUCUUUUAAUCUUUAAAUUUUUUUAAAAAUUUUAAAUUAAUAAAGGUAAAAUUGCACUUUGACCCCCCCUAAAAUUAUAAAAAUUCGAUUUAAUUCCUUUACAAAUUAUAAAGAUAUAAACUAUAAAAAAUUAAAAUUUUAUCCGGCCCCCCCUAAAAUUUUGUUCUGGCUUCGCCCCUGAUUAUAUUUAGACAUAUUUACCCGUUUUAUAUUGUACCCGAAUAAACUAAAUUUGCAUCACUUUAAAUGUUAUAGUAAUUUUUUUUACUUGAUCCAUGAAAAUGAGUAUUUCAAAACCAAUGCAACGUUUUUAUUUAGAGAUUCGAGAAAUCAGCCCUAACUUACAGGGUUUGAUUUUUUCUUUGAACUUAAAUAACCGAACAUCAUUUUAAAACUAAAAACACAUGAGAUUUAAACAAUAAUUGAAUAGGGAGCAGUUUUAUUUUCGAGAAUUUGAGAUGUCGUGACCUAACUUACGGGACAUGACAUUUUUCGUUAUCUCGAAAUAAGAAGGCUUAUUGUAUAAGUUUUGAUUUAAUUAAAUGAUUUAAAUUAAAAAACAUGCAAAGAGGAAUCAUAUUUGAAUCUUCAAAUUUUUAUAUUUCGACACUAAAAACAUCAAGUAAUCAAUUAGGUACCAAUUUUGGGCGUAACGAGGGUGCUAAUCCUUCCUCGUGUGUAACCGACUCUCGAACUCAUUUUUUAGAUUUUUGUAGGCUGAAAAAUAUUAUUUUAAUAAAUCAAACAUUUUAUUAAAACGAUCAAAUUAUGAGGUAACUCGAUCACACCGCUUAAAAGUAAUUGCUGGUGACUCUCGUUUUCAUUUUAAAAUAAAAAGUCGAUUUAAAAAAAAAGAUUUGGACAAUCAGCAUUACUAAGAUGAAGAUAAACAAUCCAAAACAUGCGCCUUACAACAAAAAAUAGAAAAAGCAAGUGAUCAUGAAUUUCUUUUGACAUUGCCAUCAAUCCCUCGCAUUUAAUCUCUAAUAAUUUUUUUUUUGUUUUCAAAUUAAUAUGAUAAGCAGGAUGUUGAGGCCCAAUUUUGGCCCAACUUAAAUAAAAAAUUAAUACCCAACUAAAUGCCCCAAGCUCAAAAGAACCCUAGCCCAAUACAUUAAAGAAAAAUAAAAAAGGGGGAAACCUAAAAACCUUAGCCGUUCAGCCAUCUGUUCUUUGUCCCAUCACCACUUGCCCCACCGCCACUGUGCCACCGCCCAUUUUCCUGCAAAAUUAAGUAAAGAAAAGACAUUGUAAUAUAAAAAAAAAAGGGAUUUGUAAAUGGCUAUAAAAGCCAAACGAAAUUGUAAGGAUGGGAUUCGGCAUUUGUGAAAUAAAAACAAUAUUAGAUUUUAAACAUAAAAGCAAGAAUAUAGACCCUAGCAUCAAAAGCAGAAAAAUAGCCCAAUAUCAGAGAUCGGAGAACCGAAGGUAGCAAAUCUAAGGUGAUUUAACUUUAUUUUCAUUUUGUUUUUGGAUCCAUUUCCUCAUUUACACAUAAAUUAAAAACAUAAAAAAAUAAUAAAAAAGGAGAAGAAAAAUCACCUCCAGGCGAUUUUCGAUCACCGUGUACGGUGGCCGGCACGGCGGACAACACGACGGUGACUGGUCUGCUCCUCGCCGGAUUCUGGGUUGGCAGAGAGAAAAGGAGGAAGGGAUUUCGGUUUUUUUUAAUGAAGUAGGAAAAUGAAAAAUUUUGCCCAAAAUUUUGACUUUUAUAAUGGCCCCAAACGACGCCGUUUUUGGAGGAAGUCCAGGUGCCAAAACGACACCGUUUUGGACAACCCGUGCGUGACCCGACCCGACCCGAGUAUAGGGAGAUCCGCGUGUUUAUGUAAAAGGGGAUAUUUCCCCUUUUGGUCCUUCUGCCUUUUAAGUAUUCUGCAAUUCAUUUUUCUUUAUUUUUAAUUUGACCCGAUUAUUUCGUUUUUGUUUAAUUUUAAUCCGGCAUGAGGUGCAGCGUUUUGAAGACAGGGAUAUUUUCCCUUGGGUCCUUCCAGUUUGCUCACGUGUUCAAAUCAGUCCCCUUCUCUUUUAUUUAUUUUUUAAUUCGCCUCAAAAAUCCCAUUUUUAAUUCAAUUUCAUCCCCUCUUUUUACUUUUUCUCAUUAUUCUAUUUAACUUUAAUAUUAUUCAUAUUACUAUAUUUUAUUACUGUUACUAUAUUUAUAUUUUUAUUCAUUAGCAUCUCAUUAUUAUCAUUUUUACUUAAUACUUAUAUACAUAUAUGUUAUAUAGUAUUAUUAAUAGUUUAAUAUUAUUGUUUUUAUUAAUAUAUUUGUAUGUCAUAUAUGUAUUCUCUUAACAUAUAUACACUAUACUCCAUAUUAUGCAUAUACAUAUUAACAUUAUAUUAUGUAUAUUUUUUAAAUAUUAUAUAUAUAUUUUUUAAAUAUUAUAUAUAUAUUUUUAAUAUAUUAUAUAUAUUGUGUACAUACUUUUAAUAUUAUCAUGUAUUCAUUUUUAAUAUAUAUGUAUAUAUCUAUGAAAUAUUAUUAAUAGUUGUUUUUUAACAUUAUUAUCAUUUUUAACAUGUAUAUAUUAUGUAAAUAUUUUAAAUAUUGUAUUUUUUAUGUAUAUUUUUUAAUACGGAUACAUUUUUAUAUAUUAUGUAUAUAUUUUUCAUAUAUGGUAUGAAUAUAGGUUUUUUUUAAUAUUAUUUUUUUAUAUUAUUAUGUAUAUAUUGUAAUAUUAUUAGUUAUAUGUCUUUUAUACUAUUGUACGUCACAUAUAUAUACUUUUAAUUAUACCCCAUGCUACGCAUAUAUGUAUAUCAAUAUUAUAUUAUGUAUAUUUCUCCUUUUUCUAAAUACUCUAUACGCAUAUAUAUUUUUAUAUAUUAUGUGUACAUUUUCUAAUACAUAUAUAUUAUGUACAUACUUUUAAUCUUAUCAUGUAUUAUUAUACUUAUUAUUUCCACUAUUAUUCUUAUUAACAUAUUAUCAUCAUCUUUUACUAUAUUAUUAUUCCCUUUUUUUACAAAUAUUACUAUUGUUAUUAACAUACAUUAUUAUUAUUAUCAAUUAACUAUUAAUUUCUCUUUUAUUAUUAUUACUAUAUUAUCAUUGUUAUUAUUAUUUUCCAUUAUUAUUAAUACUAAUAUUAAUUUUCUUAUUAUUACUAUUAUUAGUAUCAUAGGUAUUAUAUUAUUAUUAUUAUUAUUGUCUUUUAUAUUAUCCUUUUAUCACUAUUUUUAUUAUCAAUAUUAUUAAUAUUAUCAUUUUCAUUAUCAUUGCCAUUUUUAUUUUGCUACGUUUUAUAUUUAUUCAUUUAUUUAUUUAUGUAUUUGCUUAUUUCAUUUUCCCCUACGCGUUUGCUCUAUAUUUUACUAGCCUUGCUUUCAUCUAUUUAUAAUUGCUUAUAUCAUUGUUAUUGAUACUGUCGCACUUAUUCUUGCGUAUUAGCACCAUGAUUUGGUUUUAUGUUUUACAAUAAAUCACAUUAUAUUUUUCACUCGACACCUUAAAAUAAUUCCUUCAUAAAAGUAAUAUUCCGUAUUUGGUAAUUCAAGACAAUCGUGCCCUAACUUACUGGGUUUCGAUUUUUCUCAUUUAACCUAAAUAACAGAAUAUUCUUUUAAAUCACAAUACGAGUUUUGAAAAAUGCUUAUUCUCGGAGAUACGAGGUGUUGUACCCUAACUUACCGGGUAUGACAUUUUGUCACCGCGAAAUAAAAGUUUGUUUCAAAAUAAAGGCAAUAUUCGAUGUUUGAGAAUUUGAGAAAACGUGCCCUAACUUACUGGGUUUCGAUUUCUCUCAUUUACUCUAAAUAAUCGAAUACCCUUUUAAUAAGAUAAGAUAUAUAAAUUUUAUAUAAAAGGCAAGCUCGCUCUUGAAAAUUCAAGAUGGCGGGUCCUAACUUACUGGAUGUGACAUUUUAUAUUUUGAGACGAGAAUGUCUUUAACAUUUGAGCAUUUUCUUUACAAAGAGGGAUCAUAUUUCAAUGUCUUUCAAGUUUUCAAUCUUCGACACUAAGAUACUAAUUAAUCAACUAGGUACCAAUUUUUGGGCGUAUCGAGGGUGCUAACCCUUCCUCAUGCGUAACCGACUCUUGAACUCAUUUUCUGAUUUUCGUAGACCAAAAAUUAUCAUUUUAGUAAAUCUUAACUUUUAUUAAAAUGAUUAAUUUGAGGUGACCCGAUCACACCUCAUCAAAAAAGAUUGGUGGUGACUCUUCUAUUCGUCUUCAUUUUCAAAAUCUAAGUCUAUUCCCGUUUUUAAAAAAUGGUUAUGACAGCUUGGCGACUCCACUGGGGAAAAAAAACAAGAGAGUCAAGCCACAAGUUGAUUAACUUUUGUCUUUUUAUCGAAAAUAUACGAUCCUUUCAUGGCAUUUCAUUAGCUAUUUUUGUGGUCUAUGGUAUAAUACCCGCUGCGUUGGUUUGAGUCUUUAAAUAAGUUUUGCAUAUUGCAUUGCAUGACCGUUAUGGUCACACCUUUAAAGUGGGAGCGAGAAACUACUCCUUCGUGAGGUUUUCAACUCCGUGUAGGAUAGUGGAUCGCUUUCGGGAUACAUCUGUACCUACGUCUUCGUGAGAUUUUCAUCUCCGUGCAGCCAUAGGGAAAUGUAUUCCCCUGAACUGAACUUGGUCUAUAUGAGCCUAUAAUGGGUGAAGAUCAAGGAAUCUGGCGGUUCAGGUACCUUUACUCUAGAACCGAACCCCAUGUAAUGAGCCUUAAGAACCCACCUUAGGUAGAGCCACUCCGAAACCUUAGUGGUUACCUGAGCAAGUGCUAUAUUUAUUAUUCUUUGUUUGCUUUGAACUGCGUAUGAAAUAUUGACUUGCUUCAUUUUACUUUGAUUGUAUUUGCAUGGCAUUUUCAUCACAAAAGGUGUUGAUUCACAUUCGGUUGCUAAGUAGAUAGCUUAUCAUGGAAAAAGGGUUUCUUAUUAACAUAUUAUCAUCAUCUUUUACUAUAUUAUUAUUCCCUUUUUUUACAAAUAUUAUUAUUGUUAUUAACAUACAUUAUUAUUAUCAAUUUUCUAUUAAUUUCACUUUUAUUAUUAUUACUAUAUUAUCAUUGUUAUUAUUAUUUUCCAUUAUUAUUAAUACUAAUAUUAAUUUUCUUAUUAUAUCUAUUAUUAGUAUCAUAGGUAUUAUAUUAUUAUUAUUAUUAUUAUUAUUAUUGUCUUUUAUAUUAUCCUUUUAUCACUAUUUUUAUUAUCAAUAUUAUUAAUAUUAUUGUUUUCAUUAUCAUUGCCAUUUUUAUUUUGCUACGUUUUAUAUUUAUUCAUUUAUUUAUGUAUUUGCUUAUUUCAUUUUCCCCUACGCGUUUGCUUUAUAUUUUACUAGCCUUGCUUUCAUCUUUUUAUAAUUGCUUAUAUCAUUGUUGUCAAAACCAUCCCUUUUUCAAUUGAAAUUUUAAAGUUUUAAAUUUAAUGAAAAUACGGGGGAAUCGACCUUUUGAAAAUGAAAUGUGGAGUCGCCACCGAUCCUUUUGUUUUGGUGUGAUCGGGUCACCUAAGAAUUUGGUUAUUUUAAUAAAACAUUUUUGGUUUACUAAAACAACGAUUCUGGUCUACGAAAAUAUGAGAAAAUGGGCUUGGGAGUCGGUUACGUAUGAGGAAGGAUUAGCACCCUCAUUACGCCCAAAAUUGGUACCAAAUCGAUUGAAUACUAUCCUUAUGUCUAAAAUUAAAAAUGUUUUUGAAAUGUGGUUCUUGUUAAUAACAUUUGAAUAACCCGAGUUGGUUGCCAAAAUCUUCUUGUUUCGACGUCCCAAAGUUUAUAAUUUGAAAUUAACAAAAGGAUGCCCAACUAUUUGGUCCAACAAAAAACCGAAACCCAGCACAGUAGGGCACGAUUCCUCGAAUUUCCAAACAUCGAACAUUGCCUCACCUUAGAAAAUACGAGUGAAAUUCCGAAGGGAUCUUCAAUCGUUUUGAACAAAUGAAUAAGCGCAACCCAGCACGAUAGGGCACGAUUCUCGAAUUGCCAAACCUUGAACAUCGCCUUUGUUUUAAAGGGUUUUCCUAAAAGACAUGAGAGAAAACCUAAAGGAAUAUUCGAUUGUUUUGAGCAAACGAGAAAUCACAACCCAGCACGAUAGGGCAUGAUUCCCGAAUUGUCAAACAUCGAGUAUUGUCUUCGUUUUGGGAGGUUUUUAAUAAACACGAGUGAAAACCUAAAGGAAUAUUCGAUUGUUUUGAACAAACAAGAAAUCACAACCUAGCACGAUAGGGCAUGAUUCUCGAAUUAUCAAACACCAAGUAUUGCCUUCGUUUUAAAGGAUUUUUAUAAAACAUGAGUGAAAUUUCGAAGGGAUAUUUGAUUGUUUUGAGCAAACGCGAAAUCGCAACCCAACACGUUAGGGCAUUAUUCCGCGAAUUGCCAAAUAUUGAAUCUCGUCUUCGUUUAGAGAAUUUUUAAAUGAAUACUUAUAAAACUAGCUUAAAACGUAUUAAUGCAUUUUUUGAAAUGAGACGAAAUUAAUCGUGAAGAUUUGAAUUUUAUAAAAACCACAUUUCGCAAACCAAGUGAAAAAUGAUGAUAUGGGAUAACCGGCACACAUGGGAUACGAUACUUGAUGGAUGAGAAUAUUAAUCAACUAGCGGAAUAAGCAAUUGAAUAUGAUUAAUCUAGAAAUUGUAGCCUAAUCUCAAUCAAGCAUGAAGAACAAUUAACAAAUCAAUAAGAUGAAUACCAUGCAAUGAUAAUAUAUUCAUGCUAUAAUAUAUGAAAAAAAACAACAACAAGAUAUGUGCGAAGCAAAUGGAAUGUAGAAAUCAAAAUGGUAUAAGAUUGAUAAGCUUGAGAUAUAUAUAUAGGUUGACAAGCUUGAGUAAAAAAUAGGGAUAUAUAUAUGUAUAUUUUUGAAAUGGAUAUUUAAAAAAUGAAAAUUUGAAUCAAGUUGCAUGUAAAAAUUUUACACAAAUAUAUUUAAAAGUUGACAAACUACAUGAUGAUUUAAAUAAUGUAUAUAAUAUGAAAGAAUAAUAAAGAUAUAUGAUAAGAUAUAAUGCACUAAAUAGAUUUACAAAACAUAUAUACAUAAAUAACUUUUAAAAAUAAUUAUUUGUAAAAACAUAGAAAUAUCUACAAGCUUAAAUUAAUCUUAUAACAAAUUGUAAUAUGGACAUAAACAUCUUGAAGAUGACGUAACUACUCAAAGUUGACAAAUGUAUAUACACAUAAAAAUGGUAUUUAAAAAUGAGACUUUAAAUCAAAACAAUAUAUAAUAAAAUAUGUUCUAAAAGAAAGACUUAUAUACAUAAAAUAAUAUAUAUAUAUAUAUAUAUAAAUUUAAAAGAAUUUGUAAAAUAAAUUGGCAUGGGACUAAAUAUGCACAUAAGGUUAAAUUAAUUUUAUUUACAAAUUAUAGACUUAAAGAACACACUCAUAUGUAUAAAGUUUUUUUUUUGGUAUAAAAUAUCUAUUUAAAGAUGACCAUAUAAUAAAAGGGAAAAUGAUUUAAAUAAUAUAUACACCAUGGAAGGUUUUUUUAAAUAACAAAAAGGUAUGAUAAAAUAUAUGUUAUAUACAUAAGGUUUUAAAGUAUAUAUGUAAAUAGAUUGAAAAGAAAUCAUGCAUGUAAAGUAACAUAGAAUUAAUAUUACAUAUAUAAUAAAACUAAUUUUACCAUGAACUGCCUAUGCAUAGUAAUAUAUAAGAAUAUUUAAAUGAAGUAUUAUACAAAAUUUAAAACAAUAUGAUAAAAAAUUUAAAAUAAAGAUUUUAUAUAAAAGGGGGGUAAAAUUAUCAUGAUAACUAAAAAGCAUGUAUAUACAUAUUGUAAAAAAAAAAUAUUAAGUUGAUUUAAAAAAAGAAAAUGAACUAUACAAACCAAAAGGGCUUAAUUAAAAUAAAAUCAAACUAAAAGGAUAUCUAAUAAAUAAAAUAUACUGCUGAAAUUAAAGGAAGGAUUAAAGUGCAACGCGCGCAAAUGUGCGGGGACCAAAACUGGCAAUAUACCAGAUCACAAAAUAUUGCGUUUAAGCGCGGAUCCAUUUGCAAAUGUGUGUAAACUACAUAGCUAAAUUAAAAAAAAAAGAAAUACAAAUGAAAGCCAAAUGAAACAUGGUGCAACAGGAAGGGACCGAUGCUGCAAAUAGACCCUCGUCGCGAAAACGCUCGGGUCAUCGGGGCAGCUAAAUGGAUCGAGUCGGGGCUCCACUAGACGAUGUCGUUUUUGAGCCAUUGAAAUGGGCUUGAAACGGCGUCGCAUUUGACCCUUUAAAAGGGCUAAAAAUUGAGUUAUUCGGCCGAACCCUAGUCCCUUCCCCUCUUUUGUUGCUUAAUCGACCCCCAAGUGCUCCUCUCAGCACUAAUGCGCCACCACGAGCGACGGUCUGCGCAUCCGACCCCUAAAGGAGGGGUUUUCGUCUUUGAAACCCCCAUUCAGACUUCGAUUUCGACGAAGUGAAGGGGGAACGACGGAUAGCUUCGCAAGGUAAACUUCUCUUUCGCUUUCUUUUUUUGUUUUUGUGAUAGAUUUCAAAAUAAAAAAGAAAAUAGAGGCAUAAAAAUAAAAAUAGGGAACAACCUUUGAAUAAUAUUCAAUUUCUCUGUAUUUGAUUGCUAUUUUUUUUGUAUAUUAUGCAUGUGUCCAAAAAAGGAGCCCCAUUACAAUCAGAAAUCAUAGGCUUUAUAGCCGAAUAAUAAAAAAAAUAAAAAUAAAAAAAUACAAUUUUUCUUUUUUUUUUGUUUUUUUGUUGUUGCUGUGUUUGUUUGUUUGCAGGUACGGAGUAUGGGCGUGUGCUGGCAUUUGGAGUGGAGGUGUACGGAGGCGCUAGAGAUUGUUGAGGUUGCUGCGGCGCAAGGGAGAGAACCCUAGGGUUCUGCCUGUUCUAAAAUAUUUGGGUCAUUUGGGCCGAUUCUUGUAGUUGGGCUAUUGUGUUUGGGCUUUUGGGUUCAUUGGGCUUGGUGUAUUAGUUUUGGACUGUAAAAACUGGACUGCUGUAUUUUGUGGCUUAUUUUUUGUAUUUUCAUUUUGUUUUUAUUUUCAUACGGGCCCGGGCAUAAUUUGGGCCUUACAAUUGUUAUUGAUACUGUCACACUUAUUAUUGCGUAUUAGCACCAUGAUUUGGUUUUAUGUUUUACAAUAAAUCACAUUAUAUUUUUCACUCGAUACCUUAAAAUAAUUCCUUCAUAAAAGUAAUAUUCUAUAUUUGGUAAUUCGAGACAAUCGUGCCCUAACUUACUGGGUUUUGAUUUUUCUCAUUUAACCUAAAUAACGAAAUAUUCUUUUAAAUCGCAAUACGAGUUUUGAAAAAUACUUAUUCUUGGAGAUACGAGGUGUUGUGCCCUAACUUACCGGGUAUGACAUUUUGUCACCGUGAAAUAAGAAUUUGUUUUAAAAUAAAGGCAAUAUUCAAUGUUUGAGAAUUUGAGAAAACGUGCCCUAACUUACUGGGUUUCGAUUUCUCUCGUUUACUCUAAAAAAUCGAAUACCCUUUUAAUAAGAUAAGAUAUGUAAAUUUUAUAUAAAAGGCAAGCUCACUCUUGAAAAUUUAAGAUGUCGGGUCCUAACUUACUGGAUGUAACAUUUUAUAUUUUAAGACGAGAAGGUCUUUAACAUUUGAGCAUUUUCUUUACAAAGAGGGAUCGUAUUUCAAUAUCUUUCAAGUUUUCAAUCUUCGACACUAAGACACUAAUUAAUCAACUAGGUACCAAUUUUUGGGCGUAUCGAGGGUGCUAACCCUUCCUCAUGCGUAACCGAUUCCCGAACUCAUUUUCUGAUUUUUGUAGUCCAAAAAUUAUCGUUUUAGUAAAUCUUAACUUUUAUUAAAAUAAUUAAUUUGAGGUGACCCGAUCACACCUCAUCAAAAAGGAUUGGUAGCGACUCCUCUAUUCGUCUUCAUUUUCAAAAUCUAAGUCGAUUCCCAUUUUUAAAAAAUGGUUACGACACAGGAAAUUAGGGAAAGUUUUAGAUUCAUUAAGUAGACUUAUUCUGUCAUAAAUGGAUCACAAAAUGGCUUCAUAAAACUCAAUGAAAAUGAGUUCAGCUAAUUACCAAACCGCCGAGUGAUUAACCCUUUGUGCAAUAAGGCAUUCACAUAGCAUUUUAUCUGAACCAAACAUUUGUCAAAGUUUAUUCCCGUAACACAACAUAAACGGAUUCAUCAUAUUAAGUAGAAAAAAAAACAAAUUCUUCAUAAAUCUUAAAAAGCUGAACCUAUUCUCAAGUACUAAAAUUACUGAUCACCAGAGGUGGUGUGGGAGACAGUGCAGUUGUCAGGGACUGUGGCUUUUCUUGAACCUUCAAUUUCAUGGAGAAAUUAUAGUCAAAGUCACCACCAGGAAAAGAACAGAGUAGAGCCUUAGAGAUCUUGUAAUGAGUUGGAUUUCGAUGUAGAUGUUAUGCUGCAAUUUGGAUAUUGCUUCGUUGAGAAUGAAGUGAAAUCCCAACUCUCAGUCGAUUUUCUUACAACGACCUCAACUUGUUUAAGCUGAUCAACGGGGACGCAGUCACCUUGUCGAGUUCUAAGUCUCUCGAGUUCCAUGGCCACUUCUUUCAUUGUUGGUCUAUAUCUCCCAUCUAAGUUCAAGCAUCUCUUCGCAAUUUCAGCAACUGCUACUACUUCAUCCUUUUGAUCGUCCUUCCCAAUUUCAGCAUCAACAAUAUCCAGCAGAUGGUUUUCUUCCAUCGACGACAUAAAAUAAGAGACUAAGCCUCUCUUUUCUUGCGAUCCAAAUAUCGAGACUGCCUUUUUACCAGUUAAGAGCUCAACAAUAACCACCCCGAAACUAUAAACAUCACUCUUUUCCGUAAAUUGACUUGACUGGAAAUAUUCAGGAUCUAAGUACCCAAAAGUCCCAAGCACUUGAGUCGUCAAGUGAGUUUGAUCAAUGCUGAUUGAUCUAGAUGUUCCGAAGUCUGAUACUUUUGCUCGGAACUUUUCAUCUAGUAGUAUGUUACUAGACUUGAUAUCUCGGUGAUAAAUGGGGAUGGAUGCAGAUGAGUGCAAGUAAGAAAUUUCACUUGCAACUUCCGCUGCAAUGCGUAGUCGUAUAUCCCACGACCCCGGGUACUCUUCAUUUUGGUCAUGAAUGAGAUGGAAAAGGGUUCCAUUAGGGAUGAACUCAUAAACAAGGAGGGGCACUUCGGUCUCCAAGCAACAGCCUGAUAGCUUGACAAUAUUUCUGUGAUCAAUUUGAGAAAGAAUAAAGAUCUCAUUGAUAAAUUGUUCAAGAUACCCUUCGUUUACAAUCUUAGACUUCUUUACUGCAACAAUUCUCCCAUCAGACAACAUUCCUUUAUAAACCACGCCUUGACCACCACAACCCAAUAUUCUAUUCUCAUUAUAUUGAUCAGUAGCUAUUUCCAACUCUUUGGAACUAAAGAGUUUAGCUUUAUCCAGACCACCUUCAUUUGAAGACAUCUUUUUCUGAAACAAUAGUCCACCAUUUCUUUCAAAAAAAUUUUGUUUAAGUUUUAUGUAUUUUCUUUUCUGCAGUAUCUUACAAAACCACCAAACCCCAGCAAUUAGAAACAAGAGCCCUAUACUUAAACAAAUACCUGCAUGAGAUCAAAAUAAAUAUGUCGAUGCCACAUAUUUGAUUAACUCGUAACAUAGUCAAUGUUACCAUUUAUGCUACCGUUUGAAUAAAAUUUAGAUGGCCAUACCUUUUGAUUCUUAGCGAAUGAUGGGAAUGUUGUUCAAUCCGAAAAGGAAAUCACAAACUAUCGGGCAAGUAAAGUUGAUAUCAUUAGACAAUGUAAACUUAAUAAUAAGAAAAAAAAAACUAAAAUAAACAUACAAUACAUCAGGGACAUAUAAACAUCUCAUUUAUAUUAUACGAAGCAUAUAUUAAUAUUAAAAUGUAUAUAAAUGUUUUCAAUAUUAAACUACUGUUAAUAUUUUCAUUAUCUAUUUAUAUAAAUUAUAUUAUUGGACAUUUAUAAAACUUAAAAUAGCUUUCAUGAAUGUCAAGAUAACAUUGUUUAUGAUAAAAUGGUGAAACUAAAAUUAACUUUUCAGUGUGACUUUUUCUUCUAAAAAAAUUCAUCUAAUAGUACAAUUUUUGAAUUAAUGUAAUAUAAAAAUGAAUAUACAUCAUACUAUAUUUUUAAGAGUUUAAUCCAUUUUUUUCAUAAAAUAAUAAUUUGACGUUGAUAAUUAAAAGAAAAAUAAAAACUAAAGUGAGAAGAAAAAUAAACACUAAUAAGGAGUAAAAAAUUGUAAUAAUUAAAUAUUAUAGUGUUUACGAAUUAUUCACUAUUGUGAGCAUAUUAUUAGUUAAUUGUAAUGUGGCAAUUAUUAAAGAAGUAAAUAAAAUUGUUUAGUAAGGUAAGUAAAAUUUACUAAUUAUAUCAAACUCACGCUGGGUACUAUAAUAAAUAUCAGCUCUUGAUUGUUAAAAACUCUAAUCUGACACAUUUAAUUAAGUGUACCAACCUAGUGCAACAAGAAGAACGGGAAAAUUCUCACGGUGCUGCUGCAGGGCUUUAGCAUUGCAACCUGUUCCAUUUCUCCGACCAUCACCGUCAAAUCCUUCAGGGCAUGGACAAUUAUAGCCUCCAAAUGUAUUAUUACAUUUAACACCUUCUUUGCAAGGAUUCAGUGUUUCACAUUCAUUAAUAUCUACAGUUUUUAAACAUUUUAAAUAAACAAAAAAAAAAGUACAGUUAGCUAAUUUCAUCUAAUUGAAUCUGCAAUGGAAAAGAGCUUGAAAUCUUUAUCUUGGCAGCCGUUGGAGAGAUAAGGGUUACCCUGAAAACCAUCAUUACACUUGCACAAAUAUCCAGGGCCACUUUCUGGAUCUAUACAAGCACUAUUUUGCUUGCAAGCAUAAUAUUUUGGGUCCAUUAAUUUAGCUUGUUUACAAUUUUGAUUCCCGAUUGUCCAAUCAAGAAUAAGUUGGAAUUUCCUUUUGCUGAAAUUUGUGUCGGAAAGAUCUGAUGGAGAGAAGGUGUAGUUUCCAUUUGCCACAAGAAAUCCAUAGGUGCAAGGAUUGGACGUUAACACUGUGGAAUGUUUCCGAGACAUAUGAAAACGAAUGAAGUAAGCCCCCAUUCCUUUAGGGAUAGCCGCCUGGCAGCAGCCAAUGCCGAAGCAAUACCCAUCUAUCAUAUCGUUCACGUUACCACAAGAUAUUAAACAUCCGGAUAAGCCUCUUCUAGUCGAAUCCCUGGAGACAGUAUCGAUGGAAACGGUUGUGUCACAACCAAUGGCAGUGAACUUGUUUCUGGUAUGAGAUAUGGAGAAUUUUGGAUGGUAGAUAAAGGGACUCCGAUAUGAAGUGUUCCCUGAUGAAUUAUAACAGUCAUAAGCUAUGGAGCGGUCAUAUCGAAUGCGCAAAGAACCAUCAUCCAGGAAGAUGUUGAGAACUUCUAAACCACUGCCGUUUAAGAAUGCUUUUGGGGGGUUAAAAGCGGUGCUACAAUUAAUGAAGAAGUCUCUGCUGAUGUAGCAACCAUUGUGUGUACCAAAAGGGUAUGGGAUGCCUAUGUUUCCGCAGUGGCUUUGGCAUCCAGGUUUUGGUUGAGCUGCUACUGAAGUUGCCAUAAUUGUUACCAUAACUGCAAACACAGUAAGCUUCUUAAACAUACCACCAAACCCCAUCACCCUCUAUUGUUUGUUUUUCCCACUAUCUGGGCUAUGUAGAUAUAGAAUAUCUUACAGGUAGGAAUGGGAUGAAUGUUUGAAGAUUAAACCCCAUUUUAAUAGACAAGUUGUAGCGGCCACGUGAUUCAUUAUUACCCCUCCAUUGCCUUUUAAAGCUUUCCACUUUCUUUUUCCAUUUAAAAUCUUUUCUUCAUUUCUCAUAAAAAAGAAAAAGGCUUAAAUUUACGUUCUGAUGGAUAAAUAAUGCUUAAAUAAUUAUUUUUCAAUAUUCACCCAAUUAUUACUAAAUUAUUUUUAUCACUCAAAAUAUUAUAUAAUUAUUUAAUUGAAUAAUAAUGGCAGCUUUUAAAAUGAUAUAAUAGUAACUUUAACCCUUAACAUUUAUACAUUGUGUUAAUUUAGUCUUCAUUCUAAAAAAUUUAACCCUCAAUAUUUACAUAAUGUGUUUUUUUUCUUUGUGACCCUUUCACCUAAAAUGCUAAAAGAAUAAAUUAUCAACUAAAUUUAAUUUAAAAUAUACAAAAAAAUAGAAACUCCCAAAAAUUCAAUAUAAUAUUUUUCAUUCAUUUAAAAUUAACUCUUAAUGUCACAAAAAGAAGAAGAAGCAAAUUUGAUAAAAGAACCCAACACAAGGUAUAAAUAUUGAUGAUUAUAUUAUUUUUAGAAUCAAUAUUAAAUUGACAUAAUUUAUAAAAAUUAUGGGUUAAAAUUAUUAUUAUACCAAUUUUAAAAAUUACAACCAUAACCAAUUGAUGAUAAAAAAUAAUUAAAUAGUUAGAUAAAUAUUUUAUAAUUAGAUGAUAAAAAAUUAAUAAUAGUUAAAUAAUUAAUAUUUUUAAUAAACAUUUUCCUUUUUAAAAAGCUACCAUUGACCCCGGUAACACAGCAAAUUUAAGUGGUGUACUUAAAUAUGACAAGUCGACUCAGCUCCAAGUCUUCGUCGAUCGUUUGUGUUUUUUUCUUUUGCUUUAUUGAUUUAUUAUCUCAUAAUAAUUAGAAUCAUCGUUUUAUACAUAAAAAUUUUUAAUGUUUAAAUACUACAAAUGAUUGCUAAGCAAAUAAAACAUUAUUAAUUUCAUGAUUAGUUUUUUAAUCUAUAAUUUAUUUCAAUUAAGACAUUAUUUUUGGAAAGUUAUUUUGAAAAAAAGGGUGAAUUUUAAUACAACGAUUAAAUUCUUGCAUAAUUUUUCAAGUUUUAUAAAGUAAAAAAAAUUAUAUAUAUAAUUAAUAUUUUAAUUUCUAUCUUUACAGAUAAUCAUAAUAUUAGGAUGCAGACUCAAUAUUUGAAUAUUCUUGGAUUAAUAUUUUCAUUAUAAAUAUUUUAGACUUACUAAAUUAUGUGGAACAGUGUCAUUAGAAAAGAAAAACCAAAUCGUCAUAGAUCCUAAAAACUGAAUCUAUUCUCAAAUAUUACAAUUAUUCAUAACAGAUCAGCAGAGGUGGUAUGGAAUACAGUGAGUUAUCUGAAAUGGUGGCUAUUCUUCAACCUUCAAUUUCAUGGAGAAAUUAAAGUCAAGAGUCAUCACCAGGGGAGGAACAGAGUAAAAACUUAGAGAUGUUGUAAUGAAUUGGAUUUCAACAUAAGUGGAUGAGCAUCUGACACCGAUGUAGAUAUUAUGCUACAAUUUAGAUAAUAUUGUUUUGAGAAUGAAGUGAAAUCCUAACUCUACCAAUUUUCUUACAAUGACCUUAACUUAUUUAAGUUUGAUGAAUAAAGAUGCAGUCACUUUGUUGAGUUUUAAGUCUCUCGAGUUCCAUGGCCACUUCUUUCAUUGUUAGUUGUAAUAUAUGUCCCAUCUAAGUUGAAUCAUCCUUUUUGCAAGUUUAGCAACGGUAGAAUACUGUAGCGGCACAUGAUUCAUUAUUACUUUAAAAACUUAUCACAUUCUUUUUCGAUUUAGAAUUUUUCUUCAUUAUUCAUAAAAGAAAAAGGCCCGCAAAUUAAACUUAUGAUCUGAUGGAUAAGCAAUGCUUAAAUAAUUUCUUCGUUUUAACUUUAAUUGCAUUACUCAUCUAAUUAUUAUUUUUAUCAUUUAAUUAUGAAAAAUUAUAAAAUAAUCAUCUAAUUAUUUAAGUUUGUCUUUUUCAGUUACUAGUUGGAUAACAAUUAUAUCUUAAAAUGGCAUAACACUAACUUUAACAUUUAAAAUUUAUAUAUUGUAUCAAUUUAGUCUUGAUUGUAAAAAAUUUAACUCUCAACAUUUACAUAUUUUGUAAUUUGAAUAUUUUUUACAAUUUUACUAUUCUUUUUUAUCAUUUCACCUAAAAGCUAAAAAAAAUAGCUUAUCAACUAAAUUUAAUUGAAAAUAUACAAAAAAAAGUAACACAAAAAAAAAUUCAAGAUAAUAAUUUUCAUAUUCUUUUCAUUUUUUUAAAAAAUUAACCCUUAAUGUCACAAAGAAAAACAACAAAAAAAAAACAAAUGAAACUAUGUAUAAAUGUCAAUAGCUAUAUUUUUUUAGAAUUAAAAUUAAAUUGAUAUAAUUUAUAAAUAUUAAAUAUUAAAAUUAUUAUUAUAUAAAUUUUAAAAACUGCCACUAUAAUCGGUUGAUAACAAAAAGGAUGAUUAAAUAAUUGAAUGAAAUUUUGUAAUAUUUUAUAACUACAUGAGAAAAUAAACUUAAUAAUAGUUACAUAACUAGUAUUAUUCAUAAAGUACUUUUUCAUUUUUAAAAAGCUACAAAUUCACCCCGGGAACACAGCAAAUUUAAGUGGUGUCCUUGACUAGUUACUGUAUUUCCUUUUCUUUUGCAUUAUUGCGAAUCCUCUGGACUUACACACAGUGUUGUUGACUCCAAGUCUUCGUCGUUUAGUCUGAAACUAAUUUUUCAGUUUUUAUAAAAUGAAGAUCAAAUUCUCACCAAGUUUUUUAAAGUAGAAGAAUCAUACUUAAAAUUAAUAUUUUAAUUUCUAUAUUUACGGAUAAUCUAGACACGAAUUUGGUAUUUGAAAGGUUUUAACUCAGAUUAAUAUUUUCAUUAUAAGUAUUUUAGACUUAUUAUUAUAAAUUUUGUUAUAUGAAGCUGCAUUGUUGUAUUUGAACAGUGACAUAAGAGUUAAGUUUUGAAUUUAUUUAGCAUGUAUAACAUUUAAUAUGAUUUUAGGGUAUUGAAACUUAGAUUUUAAAUUAAUUAUGCAUAAAUUAUGGUUUUUAUUAAAAUAAUGUUAAAUAUCACUUUUUCGCUACAUUGUUAUGUAAAUGAGAUUCGAGAAACAUAUAAAAUUGGUAAUCAACUUUUGCAAAGUAAUCAAUAAAAUCAAUCGAUUUUUGAAAGAAAUUGUACCUUUUAGAAACUUACUAAAUUUCUCUACUAAAGUAAGCAAAUGUUUUAAAAAGAUUGUUUUAUAAACUCCGAUAAUUCUGCUAGGUCAUUUUGGUGGACAGUGUAAUUUUUCAAAUUCAAUCAUAAUGUCUAGGUUGAGUUUGGGAGGUUAUAAUAUUUAUAUAAAUUGACUUAUUCAAAGUCUGUACCUUGAACAAAAUGUUUUUCAAUUCAAAUUACUGUUUGAUCACCUAAACUAACAUUUAAAUAAGCAAAGUGUUGUAACUGUUUAAUUUGUAUUAGAUAAUACACCUACUUUUUUUUAGCAAAGUAAGUUUAUUUGAAAACCAUUUUAUUGUUUGGGAUACAGGAAUGUUUCAUACUGUUAAGGGAAAAAACAUUCCAUGUUAAGCUUUAACUGACAAGAAUAGCAGCGUUCAAGGCUUAGAAUUAAAUCUAAAUUCCACACAUAAUUCAUUAUUAACUUUAGCACUAGUAUUUUUCUAUGUUUGUUUUUUUUUAAGUGUUUCCUUACUAUGUUCUUAGACUUUCGGCGAGUUGCUCAAUAAAAAGGAUAAAACAACAUUUACUUCAUUAACUUAAUAAUUCCUUUUUAAUUUAAGUUUUAUAUUUUUUUUUUGUUUACAUUAAUUUUUGAAUUUUUGAAUUUCUUUAAAUAGUCUAAUUUACUUGAAUAUUGUUAGUGUCACAUUAUCACCUGUGUUUCCUAAAAAAAUAAUUAUAUAUGAAAUUUUAAAAAUUAAAAAACGUAUACCAAAAUGAUUCUAAAAAAGUAACAUUUAAGUUCAAUUAACUCGAGAGAUUAAUUUUUUGAAAUUUAUUCUAAAUAAUUACACGUCAUUUUCUUAAGGUUUAAUUUACAAUUUGACUUUUGAAAUAUACUUAUUUUCUCAUUUUGAUAUUUAAUCUCUUUUUAUCCUAAUUUAGUAACUAAAAUAUUGUUUUGGUAUGAUUUGUUUGUCGAAUUUUUGAAUGGGCAUUUAAAAAAAUCUGAUGGUUAUGUUAGCCAAUAAAAAAUGCCUCAUAGUGUUUCUUUUAUAAAACUUAUAGAUUCUUUUUUCCAAAUAUAAAAUAUAGAAAAUUAUAUAGAAAAUCAAGAAAAAUAUAUAAAAUCUAAAAUUUGUAUAUACUUUUUUUUAAAUCCUAAAAAUUGAAAGAAUUUUUAAAAAAAAAUUAAAAUAUAUAUAGUCUAAACGUAUACUAAAUAAAUAUAUAAAAAUGCAAAUAAUCUAUAAUAUAUAUACUCUAAAAGAAUUGUACUUAAAAAUAAAUAAAAAUAUAAUGUCAAGUGCUAUGCUUCCUACAGUGGAAUUCAUGACGGGUACCAAUAGUUUGGGUUCUAGCAAUGGUGUUGGUAGGGCUAUGAAAAAAGUAUGCACUAGGCUAGAGCUACAGCUAGACAAGGAUGAUCUGACAGUGGACAGAAAUGGGCAAAAAGUUCAAAGAUCAAAGGCUUCUAAAGCAUCGUAUAAAUUAACACUUUUAGGGGCUUCAUCGGAAAAUGACCUGAAUGUUUUCAAGGAGGAAAAUUUUGCCCUAACAGAAGGUGAUGUGUUAGUUGAAUUGGUCAAGGGUGUCCCAUCGAUUACGUUCUUUGAGUAAAUUGAAGGUCGAAUGGCCAGAACAAUUAUUGUGAAAAUGCUGGGGGGUGAUAAACCAUAAAAAUAACACUUUUUAAUCUCAUACUUUGCAUACUUUUGGAUGAUUUAUCAUAAGUAGUAAAUUUGAUGCUUUUAAUCCUUUAAUUUCAUGUUUUAUAUCCAGAUGAGUAUAGGAAAGCGAAAAGUGCAAGAAAAAGGCCAAAAAUGGACAAAAUAUGUUUAUUUCAGUACUGCACAUGGGUAAUCCACACGCUCGUGUGAUACACAAGGGCAGACCACACGCCCGUGUGUCAUGGCCAUGUCAACUUAAAACCAUAUCAGAAUUGCACAUGGCCUAAGCACCAUCACACGGGCGUGCUAUAUAGCCGUGUCCCUGUUGAGACCUAUUUUAAUUCUACUCAGAAAAAGGCUAAUUUUGGGCUAGUUUGGGCAUUCCAAAGUCUAUUUAAACAUACUAGGAGAGGAUCUAAGGGAAAUUUGGAGAGGAGUACACAAGAAAAUACUAUCGAAGACAGCCAUUAGAAUCAACUCAGAAGCAGGAUUUACUUUAAGACUGAAGAUCUCCAUUCAAUUUCUACCGAAGUUUUUGAGUUUCUUUAUGUUUUGUUGUUUUCCUAAUUUUGAGAUGUUUUCCCCAAUAAUUAUGAACUAAAUUCCCUAAAUACCUAGGGAAGAUGAAUCCUAAGACGAAUCUUAUUAUCUUUUGAAUUAUAUGAUAAAUGCUUGUUCUUAUUCUUAAUUAUGAGUUUAAAUUCUUGCUUUAAUAUUUCAGGAUAUUAAUUCAGGUUUUGAUGUGCUUAUUCAGUGGAGCAAAAGCCCAUGUUUAAGAGUAGAUCUUCCAUAAUUAAGUGGUGUUGAUUGCAAUCCUAGAGAUAGGACAACAUAAAUAUACCAGAUUAGAGUCAAAUCUAAUAAGGGAAUCCAUAGAUCGAGUUAAUGCGACAAUAGGGGUUUUAAUUAGAAAGAGAUUUCAAUUAAUCAACCUAGAUUCAGUUGUUUUUAGUCUCGAGAGAGAUAUUAACAUAAGCUAGGGAUUUCUAUGGAUUAAGUCAAGUGAAUAAAUCGUCUAAUUCAGAAGUAAUAAGUGAAGUAUAGGUGGAUUCUUCCUUGGAUAUUGUUUCUCCAUCGGUUUUCCAAAAGUAUUUUCCAAAUUUUAUCUCUGUCGUGUUCUUAGUUAAUUAGAUAGUUAAUCUUAGUUUAAAAACAUCCCUUUAAUUCUUAGGUUAGAUAAUAAAACAAUAGUAAAUACUAGUACUUUUAGUCAUUAUGGAUACGAUAUUUUCGAUCUCACCGUAACUAUACUACUGUUCGAUAGGUACGCUUGCCUUAGUCGAAUUUUUAGUCAGUUUAGCGACCAUCAAGUUUUUAGCGCCGUUGCCGGGGACUAAGAUAUUAGGAAUGCUUGAAUUUUAUUACUUUAGCCUUUUUUUAUUUUUAUUACAAAUUAUUUUUAUUUAUUUAUUUAAUUUUUUUCUCUUCUGAUCUCCUUGUUAUUUGCUUGUGGCAGGAAUAUCUAGUUUAUGACUAGAAGAAACUCGUCAGGACCUCUACUUUUUAACAGCAAAAUUGAAAGCACAGCUCGCAGAAAUUGUAGAGAAAUAAGGCGAAGUCUACAGUAUAUAGAGGAAGAGCACGAGGACAAUACCAAUACUACUAAGGAGAUGGCUGAAAACCAGAAUAAUCCGCUACCUCUUGUGGUUGCGGCAAAUCCUGUAAAUCAAAAUCCUGCUUCUCGUACUAUGUAUGACUAUGCUAAGCCUAAUUUAGCGGGGGCUGAAUCGAGUAUUGUUAGACCUGCAAUUGCUGCAAAUAAUUUUGAACUAAAACCUAACACUAUACAAAUGAUUGAACAAUUUGUUCAGUUUGAUGGUUUGCAGGAUGAAGACACAAAUACUCAUUUGGCCAACUUCUUAGAGUUCUGUGAUACUUUCAAAAUAAAUGGCGUUUCUGAUGAUGCCAUUCGCCUUCGGUUAUUUCCCUUUUCAUUGAGGAACAAAGUUUAACAGUGGUUGAACUUGUUACCACGAGGUUUCAUCACUACUUGGGAACAGAUGACUAAAAAGUUUUUACUAAAAUAUUUUCCGUCGGCUAAAACGGCAAAGUUGAGGAAUGAUAUCUCUUCUUUUGUGCAGAUGGAUUUAGAAACUCUUUAUGAUGCAUGGGAGAAAUACAAGGAUUUUUUGAGAAGGUGCCCUCACUAUGGGUUACCUUUAUGGUUACAGGUUCAGACAUUCUACAAUGGUGUGAACCCCUCAACAAGGAAACUGAAUGAUGCAGCCACCAGUGGAAACUUGAACAACAAAACACCUGAAGAGGCUUACGAAUUUAUCGAAAAAAUGUCACUAAACAACUAUCAGUGGCAAGUCAUGAGAACGAAGCCGACAAAAGCAGUUGGUAUUUUCGACCUCGAUGCGGUCACUAUGCUAUCUAACCAGGUAGAACUAUUGAAUAAAAAGAUUGAUGGUUUGUAUGAUUCUACUCAGGUACAUUUAGUGAUGAGGUGUGAUUCAAAUGGAGGCGGGAUGCACAACAUAGACUAUCCAUCCUUCAACCCUAGCACUGAGGGAGAACAAGUCCAUUAUAUGGGUAACAAUUCUAGACCUCAGAAUAAUCCUUAUAGUAACACUUACAAUGCAGGUUGGAGGAACCAUCCCAAUUUUUCGUAGGGUGGUCAAUGGAAUCAAAGGCCACAACACUCUCCAGGUUUUCAACAACCACUUUACCAAUAGGAGAAAAAGCCGAACCUUGAAGAGAUGCUUACAAAAUUUAUCUCGGUGUCAGAAACUCAUUUUCAGAAUUCCAAGAUAGCACUUCAAAAUCAGCAAGCGCCGAUUCAAGGGCUUGAAACUCAAAUAGGUUGGCUUGCUAAGUUGAUCUCUAAAUGACCGUAAGGUGGCUUACCUAGUAAUACAGAAACUAACCCAUGGGAGCAACUCCAUGCCAUCACUAUGCGCAACAAAGAUGGGUUAGUAGAACCUAAAUUUGAUACGAGGCAAGACACUGUGGUAAGCAAUGGUAAGGUUGAGGUGAGUCAUGGUACACUAAAGCCGGUAAGCAAAGAAUAUAGACUCGUGUGCCAUACCCCAAUGUGACAAGGAAAGACCACACAGACGAAUAAUUCGGUAAAUUCCUUAAACUACUUAAAAAAUUACAUAUUAACUUACCGUUUAUUGAAGCUUUUUCGCAGAUGCCAAAUGCAGUUAAAUUUUUAAAGGAGCUUUUAGCAAACAAACGGAAGUUAGAUGAGUCAUCACAUGUGGAGUUAAAUUUAGUUUGCUCAGCUAUUUUGCAAAACAAGCUACCCAACAAACUGAAAGAUCCAGGGAGUUUUACGAUUCCUUGUCUAAUUGGUAGUUUGAAUGCUAAUAAUACUUUAGCUGAUUUAGGGGCAAGUAGUAAUGUCAUGCCCUACAAGAUGUUUAAGCAGCUAGGACUAGGGAAACCUAAACAAACUAAGAUGAGCAUACAAUUAGCUGAUAAAAAUAGUAGAUUUCUUAGGGGUAUCAUUGAAGAUGUGCUUGCUAAAAUUGACAAAUUCAUAUUCCCAGUCGAUUUUGUUGUCUUAGACAUGGAUAAGGACAGUGACGUACCCUUAAUUCUAGGCAGACUCUUUUUAGCAACUGCUAGAUCUAUCAUUGAUGUUGGAACAUGUGAACUCACACUUCGUGUAGGAGAUGACACAAUUAUUCUCCAAGCUCGCAAUUCUGUUAAAAUGUCUAGUGAUAGAGAUGAUAUUACAAGUCAUUUUGAUGUGAGUAACAUUACAUGUAAUAGCCUGAUUUAGACCUUAGUUGGAACAGUAAUUUUAGGACCAUAAAUUUGAGGUCGUAAAAUUAUUUUAAUAUUAUUUUUGGUGUUUAGAAUAUAUUAAUUGUUAUGUGUGAAAGUUUCGUGAAAUAAUUUUAGUGUUUGAAUGCGUAAUUAUGAAAAAGGACCUAAUCGCAUAAAAGGUAAAAGUUGCAUGCUAUUUGUUAAAGGUGCUAUUUGACCUUGGCUUUUAAAGUAGAGGUCCUUGCAUGUCAAUUUGACCAUUGGUAAUGGAUUUGGACAUAUAUGGGCAUACAGAAGGUGAAUUUAUAAUGUAAUAUACUAAGGGUAAAAAGGUAAACUGAAUAUUAAAAGUUAAUCAAAUAAAAUAAAAAAUGUAUGUGCAUGCAUUUCCAUCUCUUCUUGCCGAAAUUGAAGAGGAGAAUUGCCAUUGUUAUAGUUUCAAAGUUCGGCUAGGUCUUUGGUGUGCAUGUAAGUCUAUUUCGUCUCAAUUUUUAAUGAUUUCUACGUUUUUGUGAUCGUUGCUUCGUGUUCUUGCUAGCCCGUGUCUUAAUUUUAGAAAGUGUUCAUGAUUUUUUGAAAUGCAAUUGAUGAGUGUUUGAGUUCUUGAAUGUUUAAUGUUGAACUAUGAAAGCUUAUUAGAAGUUAAAAUAUCUUUAUAAAGUGAUUUUUGACAAAAAUGUCAAAAAAGGGAUUAAAUUGUGAAUUAUACAAUUUAUUUGGUUAAAAUGUGGAAUAAAUGAAAUUUUUGGGCUGCUAGGGAACUAUAUGGAAUUCAGCUAACAUGAAAUUUGAAUUAAAUUGUGUAAUUUUGUGUUUUUAUUAAAUAAGGACUAAAUUGUAAGAAAUGUGAAACUUUAGGGGCCAAAGUACAAAAUGCCCAUUUAUAUGUUUUUGAGUGAAUUUGAAUGAAUAAGUGAUUAAAUAAGUUAAUUUUGAUUGUAAUUAGAUCAAGAACCAAAGAAAACAGAUUUAGAUUGGGGGAAUCAAAAGUAGUUGAAUAGCCAUCCGUUUUCGUUCAUUCCGUACGAGGUAAGUUCAUAUGCAAAUAAAUAUCGUUACAUUGAAUUGUUUAUGUUAUUUUAUCAUUGAAUUUCCAUGAAUCUGAUUGAUUGUAUACAAGCAAGAAUCGACAAAGUUGCAACAUUCGGAAGCCCCGUAUGAACCUUAGGAAUAGUAUAGGAUACAAAUGUCAUGACAUUAGGUAUUGAGAUGUGAUUACAUGUAAGACCCUGUGUGGGAUAGUGGCAUUGUAUUAAGAUUACGUGUAAGACCAUGUGUGAAACAUCGACAUCGUUAAUCUACUUCGUGUAAGACCCUGUGUGGGACAGUGACAUCGAUACGUGUUAACAUGUAAGACCAUAUCAAGGAUAUGGCAUUGUACAAGCUAAAAGUGAUUACCGAGUAUCCUUAACGAUUCCAAAUGGUUCAACGGGCAAAGUUAAGUCGGAAAAGAAAGUGUAAGUGAAUCGAAUAACUCAAGAAGUAGGUUUGUGAAUUUGUUUAUGCAUUUAUAUGUGCUCAUGUAUAACUUGUUAAAUUGAAUAGAAAUAUAUUGAUGCAUGAGAUGAUUUAUUUGUAUAUGGCUUACUAAGCUUUUAAAGCUUACUGUGAUUAUUUUUCCAUUAUUUUAUAGAUCAUCGAAGCUAACUCAGAUUCGGGGAUCGUCUGGAAGCGUCAUCGCACUAUCAAUAAAUAUUUUGGUAGUUUUAAAGUUAUGAAUAUUUUGGUAUAUGGCAUGUAUAGGCUAGUGUCAUAAUGGUAUAUUUUGGUUUGUAAAUGAAGUGUGUUUGUGGUCAUUUUGAUUAGCUUUAAAUGGUGAGUUUGGUUCAUGUUAUGUGAUGCAUAUAUAUAAUGCCUAGGUGAUGGUUUAUUUACUAAGUGAUUUAGUUGUUGAUUUAGUAGGUCAUGAAGCAUGUUUUAGUUGACUAUAGGAAUGGUAUGAUUUAGACUUGAAUGGGGUUGUUUGAUAGCUAUUUCAUGUUUUGAAAUGUGUCAUGUUAAUGGUUAGUGAAUAUGGGUUUGUGUGUAUAAAUUGAGGGUAGCAGGUUGGCUUGGAAAAAUAGCCUUGGGUUGUCCACAUGGGUAGACACACAAGCGUGUGUCUAGGCUGUGUGUGACACACGGCCUGCACCAUGGGCGUGUGCCCUGGCCGUGUGAAGUCUACACCUUAAUUUUGGAAUUUUAUUUGCCACACGGGCUGAGGACACGGGCGUGUGCCUUGGCCGUGUGCCCCUUAUUUGAUUGCUGACGUCACAAACAGAAUACAAGCUAGUUUUGGCACGACCGAGCACACGGCCUAAACACGAGCGUGUGCAAGGCACACGGGCUAGACACACGGUCAUGUGUUCUGGCCGCGUGAGGAAGUCAGUAUGUAUGCCUUGUAUCCACACGGCCUGAGACACGGGCGUGUCUCUUGCCAGUGUGAGUGACUCGGGUUGGGCACACGAGCAUGUGACCUAUGCAGUGAGGAAAAUUUUCUAAGUUUUGUAAAGUUUUCUUGAGUUAUCGGUUCACUCUCGAACCCUUUUUAAGUAUGUUUUAAGGUAUCGUAGAACCUUAUAAGGGACAAUGUGGAUAAAUGUAUAAAAGUUUUAAAUUGUACGUAAGUUUAUAUUGUGAAAUGUGACUGAAAGAUUCGAUGUAAGUCCGGUAAUGCCUCGUACCCUGUUUUGGUGUCGGUUACGGGUAAGGGGUGUUACAUUUAGUGGUAUCAGAGCUACGAUUUAGUUGAUUCUAGGACUAACGCAGCAUGUGAGAGUCUAGCUAUACAUGCCAUAUAUACAAACUGUGAUAGUGUGAUGAUUCCUGAUGAUUAAAAAUGUGUUUGCAUAUAGUAUAUUGAUCCCGAACGAAUGGUAGUUGAUGAUGUUGAAAGUAACGCGCCUCCUCCCACUCGAGGAGCAGCACCGACUGAUUCUAGGCCAUCGAUGAGUAGUUUUGAGGGAGAGGCGAAGCAAGCUUUCUUCCAAACUUUGAAUGAGUGGUUUGCGAAAUUUUUUUGGACGAAUUCGGCCGCUCAACAACCUCCACCCUCGUCUAUUCCCCAGAAAGUCCCGGUUGUUCCAUAAGUGGUAGAUCCAAUAAGGUUGAGUAAGCCAUCAGUUGAUAGAAUUCGUAAACAUGGAGCCGAAGAGUUUAGAGCGACAGUUGAUGAUGAUGCUGAGAGAGCUGAGUUCUGGCUCGAGAAUACAACUCGUGUAUUUGAAGACCUGUCAUGUACUCCCGAUGAAUGUAUCAAGUGUGUAAUGUCUUUACUCAGAGAUAAUGCUUAUCAUUGGUGGAAGACGUUGAUAUCGGUAGUACCGAGAGAACGAGUCACAUGGAAAUUCUUUCAAUCCGAGUUUCGUAAAAAAUAUAUAAGUCAGUUAUUCCUUGAUGAAAAACAUAAAGAGUUUUUAGAGUUGAAACAAGGUCGGAUGACCGUUGCUGAGUAUGAAAGAGAAUUCGUACGAUUAAGCAAGUAUGCCCGAGAAUAUGUUUCCACUAAAGAAAUCAUGUGCAAAAGAUUCGUGAAUGGAUUAAAUGAAGAUAUAAAGUUGUUGAUUGGAAUUCUGGAAAUCAAAGAGUUUGUUGUCCUAGUUGAGAGGGCUUGUAAAGCCGAGGGUUAUAGAAAAGAAAAAUGAAAAGUUGAUUUUGAAGCAAGAGAUUUCAAAAAACGAUCAACUAAUAAGUCACACCAGUCUGUAACAAAGAAAUUUGGAGAUUCAUUUAAUCAUUCCAAUACAUCAGCGGGACAUUCAAAUAGAGAUCGUGAAAAGCAACCAGUGGGUUCUAGAGCUCAAGCUGCAUCGGUUGCUAGUGUUGGCAGUGUGAGAUAGAACCGACUUGAGUGUGGAUAUUAUAGAAAUAGGCAUUCUGGUGACCGUAGAUAUAAAGAACGGGCUUGUUUGAAAUGUGGUUCGUUGGAGCAUUUUAUUAAAGAUUGCCCCGAGUUGGCUGAAAAAGAUAAUGUCUCAAGUGCGAGGCCGAGCAACACUGUGGCUAGAGGUAGACCACCCAGAAACCCAAGAAAUGUGAGUGGUAACCAGAGAGCAACUAAAGACUCUGCUGUGAGGUCAGAAGCUAGAGCACCGGCCCGAGCUUAUGCUAUCUGUGCACCGGAGGAUGCAUCAUCUCCAGACGUUAUUAAUGGUACUUUUACUUUUUAUGAUGCUAAAGUUAUUACAUUGAUAGAUCCUGGAUCAACUUAUUCAUAUGUAUGUGUAAAUUUAGUAUCCAAUAAGACUUUGUCUGUAGAGUCUACUAAAUUCGUAAUUAAAGUAUCGAACCCUUUAGGCAAGUGUGUGUUGGUUGAUAAAGUGUGCAAGAAUUGUCCAUUGAUGAUUAGAGGUUGUUGUUUUCUGGCAGAUUUGAUGUUGUUACCGUUUGAUGAAUUUGAUAUAAUUCUGGGUAUGGAUUGGCUGACACUGCAUGACGCUGUUGUGAACUGCAAACAUAAAACGAUUGAUUUGAGAUGUCAGAAUAAUGAGAUUAUCCAAAUUGAGUCAGAUGAUUUGAAUGGUUUACCGGCAGUGAUUUCAUCGAUACUAGCUCAGAAAUACAUGAGAAAAGAUUGUUAAGCUUAUUUGGCUAAUGUACUUGAUACGAAAGUGGCUGAAAAAGAGAUUGAAUCAGUGCCAGUUGUGUGUGAGUAUCCGGAUGUGUUUUCAGAAGAAUUACCAGGUUUACCACCAAUUCGUGAGAUUGAGAUUGGUAUGAGUUAGUGCCGAGAACUACACCUAUAUCGAUAGCUCCGUACAGAAUGGCUUCGAUAGAAUUAAUAGAAUUGAAGUCUCAGUUGCAAGAAUUGACCGAUAGAGGAUUUGCACGUCCGAGUUUCUUGCAUUGGGGUGCUCCAGUGUUGUUUGUGAAAAAGAAAGAUGGAACGAUAAGAAUGUGUAUAGACUAUCGAAAAUUCAACAAAGUGACGAUCAAGAAUAAGUACCUUUUGCCCAAAAUAGAUGAUUUGUUUGAUCAAUUGAAAAGAGCUACAAUGUUUUCUAAUAUAGAUUUGAGAUCGGUUAUUACCAGUUGAGAGUUAAAGACUCCGAUGUACUGAAAACUGCAUUCAGAACGAGGUAUGGUCACUAUGAAUUUUUGGUUAUGCCUUUUGGAUUAAUGAAUGCACCUACUAUAUUUAUGGAUUUGAUGAGUCAGAUCUUCAGACAGUAUCUAGAUCGGUUUGUUGUGGUGUUCAUAGAUGAUAUUUUUAUUUAUUCAAAGGAUGAAACUGAGCAUACCGAGCAUUUGAGAAUUGUGUUACAGACUCUACGUGAUAAGCAGUUGUAUGCAAAAUUCAGUAAAUGUGAAUUCUAGCUGUACGAGGUUGGUUUUCUGGGGCAUGUUGUGUUCGUAUCAAGUAUUCAGGUUGAUUCAAAUAAGAUUUCGGCAAUAAUGGAUUGGAAGCCUCAGAGAAAUGUUUUAGAAGUUUGCAGUUUUCUAGGACUCACUGGUUAUUAUAGACAGUUUGUGAAAGGCUUUUCGAUGAUUGCGACUCAGUUAAUGAGAUUGGUUCAAAAAGAUGUGAAGUUUGAAUGGUCUGAGAAAUGUCAGAAAAGUUUUGAGCAAUUGAAAACUCUUUUGACUGAAGCUCUAGUGUUAGUUCAACCAAAAACGGGUAAAGAAUUCGUGAUUUAUAGUGAUGCAUUGUUAAAUGGUCUUGGUUGUAUUUUGAUGCAGGAAGGCAAAGUUAUAGCUUAUGCCUCGGGACAGUUAAAGUCGUAUAAAAAGAAUUAUCUGACGCAUGAUUUGGAAUUGGCAGCUAUUGUGUUUACGUUAAAGAUUUGGUGUCAUUAUUUUUUCGGUGAAAAAUGUCAUGUUUAUUCAGAUCGUAAGAGUUUGAAAUAUUUAAUGACUCGAAAUGAUUUGAAUUUGCGACAAUGGAGAUGGCUUGAAUUGUUAAAGGAUUACGAGCUAGUAAUUGAUUAUCAUCCGGGAAAAGCAAAUGUCGUGGCCGAUGCAUUAAGUCGAAAAUAUUUAUUUGCUCUACGAACAAUGAAUACAUAAUUGACUCUAUCUAAUGACAGAUCAAUAAUUGUGAAAGCUAGACCGUUGUUUUUACAACAAAUUUGUGAAGUUCAAAAAGUUGAUAAUGAGAUGUUACCCAGACGAGCUCAAUGUGAUUCAAACUCUGAUUCAGAGUUCCAAGUUGAUUUAGAUGAUUGUUUGAGAUUCAGAGGCCGAAUAUGUGUUCUGAAAAAUUCAGAGUUGAUACAAGUAAUUUUGAAAGAAGUACACAAUAGUCGUUUAUCUGUUCAUCCGGGUAGCACAAAAAUGUAUAAUGAUUUGAAACAGCUUUCUUGGUGGCAUGGUAUGAAACGUGAUAUUUCAGAGUUUGUUUCGAAGUGUUUGAUUUGUUAACAAGUUAAAGCUGAGCAUCAAGUGCCGUCGGGUUUGUUGCAACCAAUCAUGAUUCUUGAGUGGAAAUGGGAUAGAGUGACUAUGGAUUUUGCGACGGGUUUGCCCCUCUCUCUGAGAAAGAAUGAUGCAAUAUGGGUUGUUAUGGAUUAAUUGACAAAAGCAGCUCACUUCAUUCCUAUACGUAUGGAUUUUUUUCUUAAUAAGCUUGCGGAAUUAUAUAUUUUUGAGAUAGUGAAAUUGCAUGGGGUACCUAUUUCUAUUGUUUCGGAUAGAGAUCCGAGGUUCACGUCACGAUUUUGGAAAAAGUUACAAGAUUCACUGGGUAUAAAGUUACACUUCAGUACUACAUCACCCACAGACGGAUGGUCAAUCUGAAUGGGUUAUUCAGACACUCGAGGAUAUGUUACGUUGUUGCAUUCUUGAGUUUGAAAGUACAUGGGAAAAGUAUUUGUCAUUGAUUAAAUUUGCUUACAACAACAGCUCUCAAUCUAGUAUUAAAAUGGCACCGUAAGAGGCUUUAUACGGUCGUAAAUGCCCAACUCCAUUGUAUUGGACCGAACUUAGCAAAAAUAAGAUUCAUGGGGAUGAUGUGAUUCGAGAGACUAAAGAAAAAGUGAAAGUAAUCUGUGAAAGUUUGAAAGCAGCGUCAGAUCGUUAGAAAUCGUAUGCAGAUUUGAAAUGGAAAGACAUUGAGUUUCAGAUUGGGGAUAAAGUGUUCUUAAAAGUGUCACCGUGGAAAAAGAUAUUGAGAUUUGGUCGGAAAGGAAAGUUAAGUCUGAGAUUUAUCGGGCCGUAUGAGGUUAUUGAACGGAUCGGGCCAGUGGCUUACCGGUUAUCUUUACCGUCUGAGUAGAUAAAAUAAAUAAUGUGUUUUAUGUAUCGAUGCUUCGACGAUACUGGUCUGACCAUCACAUAUUAUUUCACAGAAAGAAGUUGAAAUUCAGCCAGGCAUGUCGUAUGGUGAGGAACCAAUUCGAAUUUUAGCUAGUGAGGUCAAAGAACUAAGAAAUAAGAAAAUUUCAUUAGUGAAAGCCUUAUGGCAUCGACACGGGGUCGAAAAAGCUACGUGGGAACCCGAGGGUGCUAUGAGAAAACAAUACCUGAACAUUUUCACUGGUAAGAUUUUUGGGGACGAAAAUCCCUAAGGGGGGAGGGUUGUAAUAGCCCGAUUUAGACUCUAGUUGGAACAGUGGUUUCGGGACCAUAAAUCUGAGGUCAUAAAAUUAUUUUAAUAUUAUUUUUGGUGUUUAAAAUAUAUUAAUUUUUAUGUGUGAAAGUUUCGUGGAAUAAUUUUAGCGCUUGAAUGCGUAAUUAUGAAAAGGACCUAAUCGCAUAAAAUGCAAAAGUUGCAUGCUAUUUGUUAAAGGUGCUAUUUGACAUUGGCUUUUAAAGUGGAGGUUCUUGCAUGUCAAUUUGACCAUUGGUAAUGGAGUUGGACAUAUAUGGGCAUAUAGUAGGUGAAUUUAUAAUGUAAUAAACUAAGGGUAAAAAGGUAAAUUGAAUAUCAAAAGUUAAUUAAAUAAAACAAAACAUGUAAAUGCAUGCCUUUCCAUCUCUUUUUUCUGAAAUUGAAGAGGAGAAUUGCCAUUGUUAUAGCUUUAAAGUUCGGCUAGGUCUUUGGUGUGCAUGUAAGUCUAUUUCAUCUCGGUUUUUAAUGAUUUCUACAUUUUUGUGAUCGCUGCUUCGUGUUCUUGCUAGCCCGUGUCUUAAUUUUUGAAAGUGUUCAUGAUUUUAUGAAAUGCCAUUGAUGAGUGUUUGAGUUCUUGAAUGUUUAAUGUUGAAAUAUGAUAGCUUGUUAGAAGUUAAAAUAUGUUUAUAAAGUGAUUUUUGACAAAAAUGGUAAAAAGGGAUUAAAUUGUGAAUUAUACAAUUUGUGUGGUUAAAAUGUGAAAUAAAUGAAAUUUUUGGGCUGCUAGGGAACUAUAUGAAAUUCAACUAGCAUGAAAUUUGAAUUAAAUUGUGUAAUUUUGUGUUUUGAUGAAAUAAGGACUAAAUUGUAAAAAAUGUGAAACUUUAGGGGCCAAAGUGAAAAAUGCCUAUUUAUGUGUUCUUGAGUGAAUUUGAAUGAAUAAGUGAUUAAAUAAGUUAAUUUUAAUGGUAAUUAGAUCAAGAACCAAAGAAAACGGAUUUAGAUCGGGGGAAAUCAAAAGUAGUUGAAUAGCCGUCCGUUUCCGUUUAUUCCGUACGAGGUAAGUUCAUGUGCAAAUAAAUAUCGUUACAUUGAAUUAUUUAUGUUAUUUUGUCAUUGAAUUGCCAUAAAUGUGAAUGAUUGUAUACGAGCAAGAAUCGACAAAGUUGCGAUAUCUGAAAGCCCCGUACGAACCUUAGGAAUAGUAUAGGAUACAAAUGUCAUGACAUCAGGUAUUAAGAUGUGAUUACAUGUAAGACCCUAUGUGGGACAGUGGCAUUGUAUUACGAUUACGUGUAAGACCAUGUGUGGAACAUCGACAUCGUUAAUCGACUUCAUGUAAGACGUUUUGUGGGACAGUGGCAUCUAUACGUGUUAACAUGUAAGACCAUAUCGACGAUAUGGCAUUGUAUGAGCUAUAAGUGAUUACCGAGUAUCCUUAACGAUUCCAAAUGGUUCAACGGGCGAAGUUAGGUCGGAAAAGAAAGUUUAAGUGAAUCAAAUGACUCAAGAAGUAGGUUUGUGAAUUUGUUUAUGUAUUUAUAUGUGCUCAUGCAUAACUUGCUAAAUUGAUGAGAAAUAUAUUGAUGCAUGAGAUGAUUUAUUUGUAUAUGGCUUCCUAAGCUGUUAAAGCUUACUGUGAUUAUUUUUCCACUGUUUUAUAGAUCAUCAAAGCUAACUUGGAUUUGGGGAUCGUCUGGAAGCGUCAUCGCACUAUUAAUCUAGAUUUUUGUACUUUUAAAGUUAUGUAUAUUUUGGUAUAUGGCAUGUAUAGGCUAGUGUCAUAAUGGUAUAUUUUGGUUUGUAAAUGAAGUGUGUUUGUGGUUAUUUUGAUUGGCUUUAAAUGGUGAGUUUGGCUCAUGUUAUGUGAUUUAUAUAUAUAAUGCCUAGGUGAUGGUUUAUUUGGUAAGUGAUCUAGUUGUUGAUUUAGUAGGUCAUAAAGCAUGUUUUAGUUGAUGAUAGGAAUGGUAUGAUUUAGACUUGAAUGGGGUUGUUUGAUAGCCAUUUCAUGUUUCAAAAUGUGCCAUGUUAAUGGCUAGUGAAUAUGUCUUUGUGUGUAUAAGUUGAGGGUAGCAAGUUGGCUUGAAAAAAUAGCCUUGGGUUGUCCACAUGGGUAGACACACGGGCGUGUGCCCUGACCGUGUGAAGUCUGCACCUUAAUUUUGGAAUUUUAUUUGCCACACAGGCUGAGGACACGGGCGUGUGCCUUGGCCGUAUGCCCUUUAUUUGAUUGCUGACGUCACAAACAGAAUACAAGCUAGUUUUGGCACGGCUGAGCACACGACUUGAACACGGGCGUGUGUAGGGCACAUGGGCUGGACACACGAGCGUGUGGUCUGGCUGUGUGAGGAACUCAGUACGUAUGCCCUGUAUCCACACGGCCUGAGACAUGGGCAUGUCUCUUGCCCAUGUGAGUGACACGGGUUGGGCACACGGGCGUGUGGCCCAUGCAGUAAGGAAAAUUUUCUAAGUUUUGUAAAAUUUUCUCGAGUUAUCGGUUCAGUCCAGAACCCCUUUGAAACAUGUUUUAAGGUAUCGUAUAACCUUAUAAGGGACAAUGUGGAUAAAUGUAUAGAAUUUUUAAAUUGUACGCAAGUUUAUGUUGUGAAAUGUGACUGAAUGAUUCGAUGUAAGUCCGAUAAUGUCUCGUACCCUGUUCCGGUGUUGGUUACGGGUAAGGAGUGUUACAUUACAACUCAACUCUCUGUGCAGGAAAUUCCUCGCAAAGACGUGAUGGUGCUGAUAAAUCAUAAUAUAUACAUAUUUUUACCCCAUGCUCCUAAUCCUUUAUAUUCAUGUUUUAUACUUCGGUGAGCAUAGGAAAGCAAAAAGAACAAGAAACAGGCCAAAAACAGAUCAAACGGAUCAAAUGGGCCUAAAUCAGUGUUUCACAUAGCCUAGGCACUCCCACACGGGUAAACCACACACCUGUGUGAGGCACACGGGCAGACCACAUGCCUGUGUAUCAUGGCCGUGUCAACUAGAAACUAACUCAGAAUUACACACAGCUUGAGCACUUGUACACGGGCGUGGCACACAGCCGUGUCCCUGUUAAACCUAAGUCUAAUUCUAUUAAAAAAAGGCUAAUUUUGAGCUAUUUUGGGCUUUCCAAAGUCUAUUUAAACACGGGAUAAGAGGAUCAAAGGAGACACACAGAGUUGGAGGCAGAAAAUACCUAAGGAGACAUAGAGUUGGAGGUAGAAAAUACCUAAGGACAGCCAUCGAAAUCAGUUCAAGGGGCAGGAUUUACAUCAAGACUGAAGAUUUUCAUUCAAUUCCUGAAGAGUUCUUUGGGUUUCUUUAUGUUUUGUUGUUUUCCAAACUUUAAGAUAUUUUCCAUUAUUAUUAUGAACUAAACUCCCUAAUUACCUAAGGGAGAUAAAACCUAAGACGGAUCUUAUUAUUAUUUGAGUUAUAUGAUAAGUAUUUGUUUUUAUUCUUAAUUGUGGAUUUAACCCUUGCUUUAGUAUUCCAGGAUAUUAAUUCAGGUUUUUGAUGUGCUUAUUUAGUGGAGGAAAAGUCUUUGUUUAAGAGUAGAUCAUUCAUAAUUAAGCAGAGUUGCAUGCAAUCCUAGAGAUAGGACGACAUAAAUCCGCCAGAUUAAAGUCAAAUCUAAUAAGGGAAUCCAUAGAUCGAGUUAAUGCGACAAUAAGGGUUUUAAUUAGAAUGAGAUUUCAAUUAAUCAUCUUAGAGUCAGUUGUUUUUAGUCUCAAAAGGGAUAUUAGCAUAAAUCAGUGAUUUCUAUGGAUUAAGUCAAGUUAAUAAAUCGUCUAAUUCAAAGGUAAUAAGUGAAGUCUAGGUGGAUUCUUCCUUGGGUAUUGUCUUCCCCAUCGGUUUUAGAAAAAAGUAUUUUCCAAUUUCAAUUUCUGUCAUAAUCUUAGUUAAUUAGAUAAUUAGUUUUAGAUAAAACAUUCUCUUAAUCUUUAGGCUAGAUAAUAAAAAGAUAAUAAUUACUAGUACUUUUAGUCCUCGUGGGUACGAUAUUUUCGGUCUCACCACAACCAUACUACUGUUCGAUAGGUGUGCUUGCCUUAGUCAAAUUUUUAGUUAGUCACACAAUCAUCAAGUUUUUGGCGCCAUUGCCGGGGACUAAGAUAUGAGGAACAUUUGAUUUUUAUUACUUUAGUCUUUUUACUUUUAUUGCAAUUUACUUUUUAUUUUUAAUAUAAUUUUCUAAAUUUUCUUCAUUUGCUUUUGGCAGGUAUCUCUAGUUUAUGACUAAGAGGAACCCAUCAGGACCUCUACUUUUUGAUAGGGAGAUUGAAAGCACAGCUCGCAGAAACCGAAGAGAAAUAAGGUGAAGCUUACAAUGCAUAGAGGAAGAGCGAGAGGCCGAUAUCCAUACUACAAACGAGGGGAUGGCUGAUAAUCAGAAUAAUCCGCUACCUCCUACGAUUUCUACAGAUCUAGUAAAUUAGAAUCCUACUCCUCGUACUAUGUAUGAUUAUGCUAAACCUACUUUAACAGGAACUGAAUCGAGUAUAGUUAGACCUGCUAUUGCUACAAAUAAUUUUGAACUGAAACUUAACAUGAUUCUAAUGAUACAACAGUUUGUUCAGUUUGAUGGUUUGCAGGACGAGAAUCCAAACACUCAUUUAGCGAAUUUUCUGGAAUUUUACGACACCUUUAAGAUCAAUGGCGUUUCUAAUGAUGCUAUUCGCCUUCGGUUAUUUUCAUUUUUAUUGAGGAAUAAAGCUAAACAGUGGUUGAACUUGUUACUGCAAGGGUUAAUCACCACUUGGGAACAAAUGACCGAAAAUUUUUUACUUAAAUAUUUCCCGCUGGCUAAAACGGCUAAAUUGAGGAAUGAUAUCUCUUCUUUUGUGCAGAUGGAUCUAGAAACUCUUUAUGAUGCAUGGGAGAGAUACAAGGACUUAUUGAGAAGGUGUCCUCACCAUGGGUUACCUUUAUGGCUACAGGUUCAGACUCUUUACAACGGUGUGAACCCCUCAACAAGGCAACUUAUCGACGCAGCCACCGGUGGAACUUUAAACAACAAAACAUCUGAAGAUGUUUACGAAUUUAUUGAAGAGAUGUCACUGAAUAACUAUCAGUGGCAAGUCAUGAGAAUGAAGCCGACAAAAGCAACUGGUGUUUUCAACCUCGACGUGGUCACUAUGCUAUCUAACCAGGUAGAACUUUUAAAUAAAAAGAUUGAUGGUUUGUAUGGUUCUACUUAGGUACAUCCCAUGAUAAGGUGUGAUUCCAAAGGAGGAGGAGUGCAGAACACAGAUUAUCCGUCCUUCAAUCCUAGCACCGAGGAGGAACAAGUCCACUAUAUGGGCAAUAAUUCUAGACCUUAAUAUAACUCGUAUAGUAACACUUAUAAUGCAGGUUGGAGGAACCAUCCCAAUCUCUCUUGGGGUGGUUAAGGAAAUCAAAGGCCACAACAUCCUCCGGGUUUUCAACAACCACCUUACCAACAAGAGAAGAAACCGAACCUUGAAGAGAUGCUUACAAAAUUUAUCUCGGUGUCAGAAACUCAUUUUUAGAAUAUCAAAAAAGUACUUAAGAAUCAACAAAGCGUCGAUUCAAGAGCUCAAAACUCAAAUAGGACAACUUGCUAAGUUGAUCUCUGAACGACCACAAGGUAGCUUGCUGAGUAAUACUGAAACUAACCUAAGGGAGUAGCUUAGUGCGAUCACUGUUCGAGAUGAAGAAGGGUUAGUUGAGCCUGAACCAGAACUGAGGCAAGGAUUUAUGGUAAGUAAAGGAAAGGAUGAUGUGGACCACAGUGAGUAAAAACCUGUAGGUAAAGAAUAUAAACCUCGUGUUCCAUACCCCAGUGCGACAAGAAAAGACCACACAGACGAACAAUUUGGUAAAUUUCUUAAAUUAUUAAAGAAAUUACAUAUUAACUUACCGUUUAUUAAAGCUCUUUCGCAGAUGCCAAACGUAGUGAAAUUCUUAAAGGAGCUAUUGGCUAAUAAACAAAAGUUAGAUGAUGCGUCGCAUGUGGAAUUAAACGCAGUUUGCUCAGCCAUUCUACAGAAUAAGCUACCCAACAAGUUGAAAGAUCCAGGGAGUUUUACGAUUCCUUGUUUAAAUGGUAGUUUAAAUGUUAACAAUACUUUGGCUGAUUUAGGGGCGAGCAUUAAUGUUAUGCCCUAUAAAAUGUUUAAACAACUAGGUCUUGGGAAACCCAAACAAACUAGGAUGAGCAUUCAAUUGGCAGAUAAAACAAUUAGAUUUCUUAGGGGUAUUAUUGAAGACGUACUUGUCAAAAUUGAUAAAUUUAUAUUCCCAAUUGAUUUUGUUGUUCUAGACAUGAAAGAGGAUAGUGACGUACUUUUGAUUUUAGGACAACCCUUUUUAGCAACUGCUAGGACUAUCAUUAAUGUUGGCACAGAAGAACUAAUCCUUCAUGUUGAAGAUGACACAAUUACUCUCUAAGCUCGUGAUUCGAUUAAAUCAUCUAGUAAGCAAGAUGGCUCUACAAGUUCUGCUGAUAUGAAUAACAUUAUGGCUCAAACUUAUUUUCAGGAAACCCCCAGGAAAAACAUGAUGGUGACACAUUCUAGUCCAUAUGACAAGAACAGAGCGACUCACGAAGAAUGAAGGCUUCAGAUCGAUGAAUUAUAUGAAUGGCGAACACAUUUCAAGGAGAAACCAAAAGCACACGAUGAAUCAAAGUGACACCAUGAUAAGCGCAGGGAUGAAACAAAGUAAUUUAAGGUAAGGGAUAAAGUAUUGUUAGAUGAAAAGGACCCCCGUAUUGCUACUUUAGAGCUUAAUACGAAUGGAGUGACUCCUUUCACGGUACUGAAUGUUUUCCCAUACGGUACAGUCGAGGUAAAUCAUUCUCAAUCCAAGACUUUUAAGGUAAACAGUACUCAACUUAUACUUUAUGUGGAUAAUAGAAUUGAUAGUGAGAAAGAGGAGUCUUGACUCCGUGAUCCGCCGUAAUCAUGUGAAUGAAAGGUAAGUCGAGCUUAAACUCUAAAUAAGUGCUUCUCGGGAGGCAAACCGAGCACUAACACCACUAAUUAGUUUAUUUUAGAUAUUUUUAAUGUUUUUGUGCAGGUACAGUGGCCCACACGGCCUGGACACACGGGCGUGUCCUUGGCGGUGUGGAAAUAGGAUUACAAAAUCCCCAAGUAUCGAGCCACACGGCUAUGAAUUCGAUCCACAUGGCCGUACGACACGGCUGUUAAAGCACACGGGUGUGUCUUAGGCCGUGUGAAAACUGGAGCUAAAUUUUCAAAUUUUAAAUAAGAUAGGGAGUCAUAUAGGUAAGGUACACGGGCGUAGGAGAAGCGAACAACAUUGCACACAGCAGGGACACACGGGCAUGUCUUCAGGUCGUGUGACGAUUGGGCAUUCAAUUUUCACAAAAAACACGGGCUGAACUUGAAACAUAUGGGCGUAUGACACAGCCGUGUGGCCUAACACGGGCUUUAACACGGCCGUCUCCCUUUUAAAACCCUAACCCUAAUUUUAUUUUUUGUCUUUUCUUCUUCAAUCUUUUCCCCCAAACCCUAGCAGUCACAGCCUUCCUCCCCCACCGUCUGGCCACCCCUAGCUCUUAUUUCUUCUUUUUUUCUCUUUUCUUCCUUCCCCCAUCCCUUCCCUCUAUUUUCUUUCCUUUUUCAACUCCUUCUCACACCCACAACCCCACCCCACAACGUGCCACACGACCUCACUCCCCAUGCCCGUGGCCUCCCCUGAUCACCACCAUCAGCCCACACCAACCUUCACAUAAGCGUGGCCUCCUUAGUCACACCAGCACCGUCCACUACCGGCAACACCACUAUGGUUCCCUCUUUUCCCCUUACCUCCAUUUUUAUUUUAGUUCACUUAUUUGUUCUUUAUUUCUUUGGUUAUUUGUUAUUUCUUAAUUGUUAACCCAUUAUACUCUUAUGAAAUUUUUAUUUAUUUAUUUUGAGUAGUCUUCAUCAUAUUUGUUAUUAUUAUCAUUUUGAUGAUUAUUUUUACUUUUUCUAUUUUGUUUAUCUGACUCUUUCAAUUUUGUUCUUUGUUUAGCAUAUUUUAUUACUUUUGUUAGUAUUCAUAUUCUCAUAUAUUUGCAUUCAUCUGUUUAGUUAAAUGUUUGUCAUGAGUUUGUUUUUCUUAUUCUUUAAUGCUAUUUCUAUAUCCCUAUUAUGCUAGUCUUUGCUUUAAUUAGUGUUAGGAGAUAUUCUUUUUAAGGCUAUAGUUUUAACUUUACUUCGAUUCUAUUUUUUUUCCUUUUACUUUUGAUUAAAUAUUUAGUGCUAUUUGACUUCUAUUAUUUUCAGGAAUACCAUGACAAACACAUGAGGUAAGAAAACUGCUGUCCCCGCUUCGAAAAAAUGGAAGGGUCCUCGCGCAACCUCCUCGAGCGCCUCGACUGAAACUCUCCACCCUCUACUUCGGUUCUCGUCAGGCCCACAGCACAACCUGUUUUAGCUUCUUCGAGCACGACCAUUAGGAGUGGGCCGUUGUAUUGAUUGGGCCACUUUGGAGCAGGUUCAACUUGCUCACCUUGUUCGAUUCCAUCUCGAUACUGCCCCGUAGGAUCGGUUCUUUGCAAUUAUCGAGCCCACCUAUUCAGAGUUGACCUUAGAGUUUUGUACUACUUUCCGUCUACAGCAUGUGAUGAAUACACAUGACGAGGUUGGUACUAUCAUUUUUUGACUUGGUGGACUCGUCAGACACAUGAGUGUACUAGAGUUUGGAGCUACUUUGGGCCUUUACACGAAGGAGUUCAUGGCUUCUGAGAAUUUUUUACAACUUCACUGGCACAUACACUACUCGCCCUCUUGCUGUUGGACUGACCUUAUGGCGAGUACUGUUCCAUAUGAUGCAACUCGCUCAAAGGCGACUUCUCUUCCUCCAGUACUACGCUACAUCCAUGCUUAUGUGACUUGCCUCGUUCGACACUUCAGUCUUCUUGACACACCAGAGCAGUCCUCCACCCUUAACCUAUUAGGUUAGAUGUCCCCUCAAGGCAUCUCGACCAUGAUCCAUAUAAGGAUGAUCGAGCGACGACGUGGAGUGGACCCCUUCAGUACAGACUAGUCCAGUCUGACAGUCAGCAUGAUCUAGAGGACUUCACUGAUGAUGUUCCUCUCUAUCACGAGGACCCACCACAACCUUUACCAUUGAGUCACCGACAUGCUCCCUCUGCUGCUAGCUCUCUAGGAGUAUCCUCCGAGGAGUUUGCUAGUUUUCGUCAGUACUGUGCUCAGAUGUUCGACAGUAUUGAUGCGACUUUACAGCAGAUUUGUCAGUAUCUUUAUAUCACUCCUCCAGCGCCACCGACUCGUGACACGGAUCAGUUUGAUGAUGAGGAUCAUUGAGUCUAUUUAUCAUUAUGUUUAUUUUUAUCUUUCUCUUUAUGUUUAUUUUUAGGUCCAUUUUUAUGUUUAUUUUGUUUUCAUAUUUUGAACUUUAUCUCAAUUAUUAUGAUUGUUUCUUAACGAGUAACCCUUUAAUCUUCUUCAAGCAUUGUGUUUAUUUUCUUAUCAGUUGCUCAGAAUUUUGCACUACCCCUACAUUUAUCUACAACUUCGCUUUUCACUAGUAUUGGAAAUUAAUCCACCAUUCAGGGCAGUUUCAAUCAUCUCCCUAUCUUAUGAUAUUUUAUCUCUAUUAUGAUUUAUAUUUGUUUGUACAUUGAGGACAAUGUACAUCUUAAGUGUGGGGAGGUUAUUUAUAUGAUUAUUUGAAAAUCCUUGAUUGAUACCUUGUGUUUAAGUAAUUUGCUCAUAUUACUUUUAGAAUGAACUCUUAUUAAUUUGUGAUUUUCAUUGAUAUGUUUUAGAUUAAAUUUAUAGAAACUUGUGCAUUGAUGGUUUAAACUUUAAGAUACUAGAGAAUCAAGCCUGACAAGUUUAUUUUUCGGAAUAAAUUUUUUUAGGUUGUUUCCCUAAAUUGAGGUAUUACCUUGAAGUUUGAAAAUUGCAAGAUUGACAUCAAAAGCCAUAUUUCUUAUGAGAUUUUGAGCCCAUAGAGCAUACAUUUUUUCUUGCUCACUUUAUUAUUGGUUAUGAGUGUGUCAAUAUUGAAUUGUUAUUCUAGAACUUGCUUCGAUUAUACAUGUCGAGACCACACCUUUGAUUUGAUAUACUAAGAUGAUGAAGGUACAUAGGUUUUAACCCACUUAUCCCACAAAAAGCUUACCUUCAUAAUUAACCCUUAGUGAACCCCUUUGAGCUUAACAAAUCAUUUCUUAAUUUACCCUAAAUUUUAACCCCUACAUCAUACUUUUUGAUUCGUUGAGAAUUUUUCCUAUUUUAUUGAGCCCCUUUUUGUCGAGAUUUGAUUUGGUUAAUUGCCUAACUAUGUUCUUUUAUUUUAAUUGUAUAAUUGUCUCUCAUUAUUCAUUCAUUCAUUGAAUAUAUAUAUGUUGAUUAUUAUUAGUUCUUUAUUUUGAGCUUAAGUGUUUAAUUCGAUAUUCUGAGAAGAAGCUCAUGUUUUUCUUUAAUAAAUACGAUUGAUGUAAUUCUUUAGUGUUAGUUUAUUUUUCUAGUUAGGUAAUUUAUCAAUUCGAUCUCAAUUCUAACCUUCUUUUUCAGCCUUUUUCCACACCUUUAACCCAAGCCCUGUUACAACCCUGUAAAGACCUUUUGAUUUGUGUAUCAUCUCAUUUAUAGUGGUGGAGAUUUGAUUUUCAUGCAAGCCUAUGGUAAUAACUUUUCACGCUUGACUCUUAAGUGCUUAAUUUUUAAACCUUAAACACUUUGAGUGAUUUGAGUGAUCAUUUAGUAAGAUGUCAAUUCUUGUUAGUUUUGGAUUAAAGGUAAUUAUUUAGAUAAGGGGAAAUACCUAUGUUUUCAUGCUUUCAAAAUGCUAGACUUUGAUUGCUUGAGCAUUUAGUACUCUUUUAGUUGAAUUAUCAAUGUAUGAUUAUCUGUGAAAUUAUGAUAAAAUAUUAUUGAUAAGAAUAAUGAAUUAAGAGAGUUUAAUUUUAAUUGUGAGUUGAGAAUUUUGCUUGAGGACAAGCAAAUGCUUAAGUGUGGGGAUAUUUCACAAACCAUAAAAGUAACACUUUCUAAUCUCAUACUUAGCAUACUUCUGGAUGAUUUAUCAUAAGAUUUAGUGAAUUUGAUGCUCCUAAUCCUUUAAUUUCAUGUUUUUUAUCCAGAUGAGCGUAGUAAUGUAAAAAGUGCAAGAAAAAGGCCAAAAACAGACAAAAUAGGUUUAUUUCAGUGCUACACACAGCCCAGGCAAUUUCACACUGGUAAUCAACAUGCCCGUGUGAUACACACGGGCAGACCACACGGUCGUGUCACUUAAAACCAUAUCAGAAUUACAUACUGCCUAAGCACCAUCACACGGGCGUGCCACACGAUCGUGUCCCUGUCGAGACCUAUUUUAAUUCUACUCAGAAAAGGCUAAUUUUGGGCAUUCCAAAGUCUAUUUAAACACACUAGGAGAGGAUUUAAGGGAGAGGUGGAGAGGAGAACAUAGGAAAAUACUUGAAAACAACCAUUGAAAUCAGCUCGGAAACAUGAUUUACUUCAAGACUAAAAAUCUCCAUUCAAUUUCUACCGAAGUUGUUGAGUUUCUUUAUGUUUUGUUGUUUUCCCAAUUUUGAGAUGUUUUUCCCCCAUCAUUAUGAACUAAAUUCCCUAAAUACCUAGGGAAGAUGAAACCUAAGACGAAUCUUAUUAUCUUUUGAAUAAUAUGAUAAAUACUUGAUCUUCUUCUUAAUUAUGAGUUUUAAUCAUUGCUUUAAUAUUUCAGGAUAUUAAUUCAGGUUUUGAUGUGCUUAUUCAGUGCAGCAAAAGUCCCUGUUUAAGAGUAGAUCUUCCAUAAUUAAGCGGAGUUGAUUGCAAUCCUAGAGAUAUGACGACAUAAAUAUGCCGGAUUAGAGUCAAAUCUACUAAGGGAAUCCAUAGAUCGAGUUAAUACGACAAUAGGGGUUUUAAUUAGAAAGAGAUUUCAAUUAAUCAACCUAGGGUCAGUUAUUUUUAGUCUCGAAAGAGAUAUUAACAUAAGCUAGGGAUUUCUACGGAUUAAGUCAAGUGAAUAAAUCGUCUAAUUCAGAAGUAAUAAGUGAAGUCUAGGUGGAUUCUUCCUUGAGUAUUAUCUUCUCCAUCAGUUUUCCAAAAGUAUUUUCCAAAUUUUAUCUCUGUUGUGUUCUUAGUUAAUUAGAUAGUUAAUCUUAGUUUAAAAACAUCCCUUUAAUUCUUAGGCUAGAUAAUAAAAUGAUAAUAAUUACUAGUACUUUUAGUCCUAGUGGAUACGAUAUUUUCGGUCUCACCAUAACUAUACUAUUGUUUGAUAGGUGCGCUUGGCUUAGUCGAAUUUUUAGUUAGUUUAGCGACCAUCAGGGGGGAAUGUAAGGACCAGAUAGUCACGGGUAUUGGAUAGUGUAUUUUUGGGUCUCCAUUUUCAUAAAAUGGAUUCAGAAGUUAGUUGUAUAGUUAAUUUAGUUUUGGUUAGGUGAACUAGCUAGAAUUAAAGGUAAUUAGAUAUGAGAACUAAAUUGUAUAUAAGCUGAAAGUUGAACUAUAGAUUAAAGAAAAAGUAAAGGGACUAAAUAAGCAAUUAAACCAUUGUCCAACAAGUGGAUAGUGUUGGUGAAUAACAAGUGUAAAAAUAAUAUAUAUAUAUGAAAUACUUGAUAUUUAAGUAUAAAUAUUUUAUUAUAUUACAUUAUUAUAACAAUAAUUAAAGAAUAAAUAAACAAAACAAAUAAAAGAACUAUAAUAGAAAAAGAAACAAAGUUAAAAACGAAACAAAGAAGGAAAAGAAAAAAAAGGAGAAAAGUUGGGAUUUCAAAGUUCAAAGUUCAAUUGGUAAGUUAAUUUAGUCCAUUUUCUUAUAAUUUUAAUGUUUUUUAAAUUUUGGCAUUAAAUACUACUUGACCUAUGUUAAAAUUUUAGAAAUUAUUGAAUUUUUAAAUGUUGUCUAUGUUGAAUAAAUUGAGUAUUAGGGACUAAAUUGAUAGAUUUUCAAGUUAAAAAUGAAAAAAAUGAUUGAAUUGUAUAAUAAAUUAUAAAUUUUGAGAAUUAGGGACUAAAUUAUGAAAACUUAGAAAUUUAGGGAUUUAAGUGAAAUUAGAGAGUUGAAUCUAGUUUAAAGUGGGAAUUGAAUGAAACUAUAGAAUUAAUUGUGAAGAAAUAAAGAUAGUUUUGGUUUAGGGACUAAAUUGGAAUUUAGGAAAAUGUUGAAUAAAAAUUUGAAAUAUUCAAUGUAAAAUUUGUAUUGAUGAAUUUUAAUUGUUUUAGUUCUGUAGCUAACGUUGUGUCAGAAACUUCAACUAAGAAAGGAAAAGAAAAAGUCAAUGAGGAAUAGCUCAGAAAUUCUGGUUUGUAUUUCUAUAAUUCGAAUCAAGUUAUAUUUGUUGUAUUUUAGAUUAAUGUUUAUGGUAAGUGAUUAAGGUGAGUAUAUAAUACUUUGAUUAUUGAAUUGAAUUGGUUUAUGUAUGUGUGCAAAUAUGAUAUUGAUAAAUUUGUUGUAUUUGGAAAGUGAAUUGGAACCCUAUUAACUGUAUCGGAUUGAGUCGGAUAUAGAUGGCAUGCCAUAUUAUUGGAAGAGUUUAGGGAUUACUUCGACUUCGUGUUAAUAAGACACUAGGUGUCAAUCUAUUACUUUGGAUUAAUUUGAUGAGGCACUGGGUGCCAACUUACCUCAGUAUAGCCAAUGAGACACUAGGUGUCAACUUAUUACUUCGAAUUUUUCGAUGAGGUACUGGGUACCAAACUGGUGUGUUUUGGUAGGAUCCGUUUAUUUGUUUGAGUCCUAGUCGUGUUAAUAUAGGUAAUAAAAUGAAAUGACAAUAUGAAUGAUAUUGUAUGAUAUUGAAUGUGAACUGAAAAUGAAAUUUAUGUUUAUGAAAUGGAUAUGAAGUGAAUACAGUUAUUGUUAAAUGAUGUGUAGAUCAAAGUGAGAAAAACUAUUUGAGAUAGCACACGAGUCAGAGACACGGACGUAUGUUCAGGUCGUGUGACUCACUGUUUGCGAUUUAGGACCACACGAGUCAGAGACACGGAUGUGUGUCCAGGCAGUGUGACUUACUGUUUGUGAUUUAAGACUACACAGGCAGACGACAUAGGCGUGUGCCAAACCAUGUGGGGUCAUACGGGCCGAUCAUUUAGGCUGUGUAGAACCACACGGGCGUGUGGGUCAGAUAUGGAAUUUAUCUCUUAGGCCAUAAGCAUUGUCUAACGAGAACAUAGGCAUUUUGUAAUGUAUUUAUGACCUGAUAUAGAUCGUAUGAGUUGCUAUCUAAUGAUCUGAGACUGAAUUGUUGAUUAUAUAAAUGUAUAUUGAUUGUGAUGAUUAUCGAUGAUAUUGAUCUGUAUCAUCUGGCUAUGAAUUAAUCUGAAUGACUGUGUGUACAUUCUUGACAUCUAUAACUUGCACUUGCAUUGGGUGGGAAUUGUGUAAAGGAGGAAGUGAUCUAUUUUGAUUCAGUGGCUAAGCCACAGUUAUAUGUGAAUAUGGCGUUUUAUUGCAAUUUGAUCUAGUAGCUAGUCUGCAAUCCUAUUGAACGUGUCGGACCGACACUAUAUAUGGUGUGUAAGGCUGAAGGGGUAUUAAAUUCCCUUAUCGAUGUGUUGGGAUGGUCGGAGAUGGUAUGUAGCGGAUGGGGGUAGGAAUAAUUGCAUAUGUUUCCAAUCUGUCUUGUAUCUGAACAUGACCUGUUCUGCCAUUUAACUGAUGUGUUAAAACUAUGCUGGAUAUUCUCUGAUUCUGAGUGGAACUUGAGUUUAGGAAUUUAUUAUUAUAAUUGUGUUUCUAAUUGAAUAUAUAUAUCGGUUAUACACUGAGUUCUCAACUCAUUUUGUUGUUGACUGAAUUUUAGGUAACUCGUAAUCUUGAUCGGGUCGACAUAGCGAAAGCUCGGUCAAUCUGCUUUAUCACCCUUUAUUUAUAUUAAUAGUAGUUCAGUAUUUCAGUAUUUCAAAGUAUUAUGACUUUCUAAGAUUGUUGAAUUAUCGACUGGAUAUUAUGGUUUUAUAAUCUGUCAGACGUUUUUACUGUGUUUAUAAAAGUUGGUUUCCUAGUAACGUUAGCGUAACUUUUUGGACUUGGUCUUAACGCCUAGGCAAGGUUUAGGGUGUUAUAGGGGUGGGGGUAGUUUGAUAUUCGGUUUAUUCAAAUUAUUCAAAUUCGAAAAUUCAACUUGAUUCAAAUUUGAAAAUUGAAAAAAAAUCAACUUUGCUCGAUUAACUUGAUCGAAAUAAUUCAAAAUUUAAAUUUAUUUUGAUUUUUUCAAGUCGAAUCGAAUUUUACUCACCCAUAUUAACCAUGGGUCAUGCAUCAAGUUUCAAAAAGGUCUUUAAUCUCUCUUCAUUUCUUUAAACGAAUUUGCUCCUUCCUAAAUAUAUUAAAUUCUCCGGACAAACUGAAAGGAAUAUGGUAUAUUGAGUUCUGUUCCAACAACCUCAGCGAUGACAUCUCGUCUUCUUUACAGUUUUUUUUUUUGGCAAAUAACAUUUAAUUAUUUCAUAUAUAUAUUCAAUGUUUAUAUAUAAUUUUUAGAGUUUAUAUAUAUUUUUAGAUUAUUUAUAUACUUUUUCAUUAUUUUUAUAUAUUUUUUAAAUUUUCUUUAUAUUUUUAUAUUUUAAAAAAUUAUAUACAUUUUAAAAUUAUGUAUAUAUAUUUCUUUAUUUUUUAUAUAAUUUUUAUAUUUUAACAAUUUUUUAAAGUUUAUACUUGAAAAAGAAAAUCUAUAAGUUUUACAAAACAUACGCCACAUUGCAUUUUUCUUAUUAGAACAAUUUUUAGGUACUAAAUUGAGACUAAAUAAUAUUUAGAUAUUAAAGUGAAAAAAUGAAUAAACUUUAAAAAAUCAAAUCGUGAAUUAAGUUUCUUUUAAUAAUUUCAGAAAAUAUAAUAUCAAAAUAAAGUCUCAAUUUUUAGAAAAAUCCAAAUGUCAGCAUUACUAAGAUGAAGAUACACAAUCCAAAACAUGCGCCUUACAACCAAAAAUAGAAAAAAGCAAGUGAUUAUGAAUUUCUUUUGACAUUGCAAUCAAUCCCUCGCAUUUAAUCUCUAAUAAUUUUAUUUUUUCAAAUUAAUAUGAUAAGCAGGAAAUUAGGGAAAGUAUUAGAUUCAUUAAGUAAACUUAGUCUGUCAUAAAUGGAUCACAAAAUGGCUUCAUAAAACUCAAUGAGAAUGAGUUCAGCUAAUUACCAAACCGUCGAGUGAUUAACCCUUUGUGCAAUAAGGCAUUCACAUUGCAUUUCAUCUGAACCAAACAUGUGUCAAAGUUUAUUCCCGUAACACAACAUAAACAGAUUCAUCAUAUUAAGUAGAAAAAAAAAACAAAUUCUUCAUAAAUCUUAAAAAGCUGAACCUAUUCUCAAGUACUACAAUUACUGAUCACCAGAGGUGGUGUGGGAGACAGUGCAGUUGUCAGUGACUGUGGCUUUUCUUGGACCUCCAAUUUCAUGGAGAAAUUAUAGUCAAAGUCACCACCAGGAAAGGAACAGAGUAGAGCCUUAGAGAUCUUGUAAUGAGUUGGAUUUCGAUGUAGAUGUUAUGCUGCAAUUUGGAUAAUGCUCCGUUGAGAAUGAAGUGAAAUCCCAACUCUCCGUCGAUUUUCUUACAACGACCUCAGCUUGUUUAAGCUGAUCAACGGGGAUGCAGUCACCUUGUCGAGUUCUAAUUCUCUCGAGUUCCAUGGCCACUUCUUUCAUUGUUGGUCUAUAUCUCCCAUCUAAAUUCAAGCAUCUUUUCGCAAUUUCAGCAGCUGCUACUACUUCAUCCUUUUGAUCGUCCUUCCCAAUUUCAGCAUCAACAAUAUCCAGCAGAUGGUUUUCUUCCAUUGACGACAUAAAAUACGAAACUAAGCCUCUCUUUUCUUGUGAUCCAAACGUUGAGACUGCCUUUUUACCCGUUAAGAGUUCAACAAUAACCACCCCGAAACUAUAAACAUCACUCUUUUCCGUAAAUUGACUUGACUGGAAAUAUUCAGGAUCUAAGUACCCAAAAGUCCCAAGCACUUGAGUCGUCAAGUGAGUUUGAUCAAUGCUGAUUGAUCUAGAUGUUCCGAAGUCUGAUACUUUUGCUCGGAACUUUUCAUCUAGUAGUAUAUUACUAGACUUUAUAUCUCGGUGAUAAAUGGGGAUGGAUGCAGAUGAGUGCAAGUAAGAAAUUGCACUCGCAACUUCCGCUGCAAUGCGUAAUCGUAUAUCCCACGACCUCGGGUACUCUUCAUUAUGGUCAUGAAUGAGAUGGGAAAGGGUUCCAUUAGGGAUGAACUCAUAAACAAGGAGGGGCACUUCGGUCUCCAAGCAGCAGCCUAAUAGCUUGACAAUAUUUCUGUGAUCAAUUUGAGAAAGAAUAAAGAUCUCAUUGAUAAAUUGUUCAAGAUACCCUUUGUUUACGGUCUUGGACUUCUUUACUGCAACAAUUCUCCCAUCUGACAACAUUCCUUUGUAAACCAUGCCUUGGCCACCACAACCCAAGAUUCUAUUCUCAUUAAAUUGAUCAGUAGCUAUUUCCAACUCUUUGGAAUUGAAGAGUUUAGCUUUAUCCAAACCACCUUCAUUUGAAGACAUCUUUU
rnacentral:lncRNA from 1 species